rnacentral:lncRNA from 1 species
ACCAAAGAAGAACAAAGGAAGAAAAGAAAGAACAAGAACCCUAGGUGGAAAAAUUCAAAGAAAAAGUGUGAAAAAUCAAGAAAAACAAGUGAAAAAGGUAGGAUUUCUCAAUUUAAACUUGAAAUCUAUUUUCCUUAAGCAUUUCUCCUUAUUUUCCAUGGUUAAAUUUCAUGUUUUCAUGGUGAAUUCAUGGCUAACCGAAUGGGUAUGGAGAGAAAAUGAUGUUGGAAUGAUUUGAUUUCAAGUUAUGUUAGUGUUUUUGGUUAGUUUACCAUGUCUAGAAGCAAAACAACAAGAAAAGAAUUCAUUUUCCCCAUCACCCAUCAAUCGUCGAACCUACCUUGCAUUGAGUGAGGAUGAAUUUGAUUUUUAUUUUAGGAGAAUUGGUUAGAAAAUGAUGAAUUAUGGUGUGGAAAGUAGUAGGAAAAAUCACGGUGUUAAUGCACCAUUAUUGACCAAAAAUUCUAUGAAGAAAAGUGAAAAUGGUUUGGUCAAAUAGUAGGUUAUUUGACUUAUGUUUGGUGAAUUAAGGUAUUGGAAAAGAAAUGGAGCAAUUUGGAGCUAAAUUGGAUGCAUUGGCCAAUUAAUCGGGUGAUAAAACGAAUUAGGCCAAUACCAGGUUUAGAUUGUUACCCGUGCAUUUUGCAUUCCAUAUCAUGCAUUAGUAGUCUAAAUUUGUUUAAUUUCGAUUUAGUACCAAUGUAGUAAGUUUCUAGAUUUUGCAUCAUGUCCAGGUGGUGAAUCCUCCGCUAAGGGCAAAGAAAUUGUACCCGAGGAUCGGUAGUUAGAGUACUCUAGAAAUUCGACUCCCGAAAUAGUGAGUAACCUUAUCAUCAUUUUAAUUAUCUAAAGUGGUCUUUUUAUCCAAUUUUGUGAAUUUUAUGGAAAAUGAGUUUAAAUGGUUAAUUUUUAGGUUUUAUAAACAAAAUGUGUUUAAAUGAAAAGAUUUUAUAAAUUGUCUUGAAAUUGAAUUAUGGCUUUGAAAAUAGAGUAACUGGAGACCACUUGAUGUGUUGUAAUUUAUGGUUCUAAUUGAUGGCUUAUGAUAAUGUGUUGGCAUGAUUGGCUGGAAUUGUGGUUUGUGAACUGUAUGAAUUGUUCUGUUUUACAUUUACAGGCUGGGUAGUAUAAUAUUAGUCAUGUCAUGUUGUCAAAAUUUUAUUGUAUGGUGGGUUUAGCUUGCUGUAGUGGGCGGGUUCUGUGGACCAGCCUAUUAGAGGGGCACGGAAUCCGGUUAUAUAUGUACCUCGGUCAGAGAGCCUCGUAGGGUAUCUCCUGAGGUAUGGUUAGAGUUCAUGUCACGUCGAACCACCUCGUGCUAAUGUACUCCGCUAACGCCAAGGAACGACUGUGUUUUUCAAACUAAAAAAUAUGUUUAUGUGUGUAUAAAAUUUUUAACAGCCUUGACGGACUCGGUUAAAUACCUCGACCAAGGUAUUCCCAAGAAUGAUUUUAACAGGAGCCAACCUUUUAAGAUACUCAUAAGCCAUGUUGACUAUUUAAAUGAAAUGAAUGUUUAUGUUAUGAAAUACAUAUUUAGAUGGAAUAUUUUAAUCGUCUUCUUUUACUCGACUUUAGAUAUUUUGAAUGAUGUUUGUUUACUUGCUGGGAUUUUAUAAUCUCACCACCCUCAUUUCCACCCAUUUCAAGCUUAGUAUAAGCUAUAGAUAGCUGAUAUCGUCGAAGGCUACAGUUGGCUUUACUUCCUCAAAAACUGUAGGUUUGCAACCUUCGUUUAUUUUUGUUAUUUAAGGGUCCACAUGUCACUGUAAAUUAAAUUACAUACUUUAGUUAUUUGUACUACUGUAUGUAAGAAUUUAUUUUGCUUUUACGCUGUAAAAAUUAUUUACGCAGUGUUCUAAAAAUAUUAUUUAUAAGAAAAUAGAAUAUUUUGUUUAAUAUUUUUAUUUUAUUCUAGCAGUCAUAAUUUCACUUUAAAUGAAUGUUUAGACAUCUAAAUUUAUUUUUGAUUUUGAAAUAUGUGUUCUGCACUUAUAUACUACAUUAUUAGCUGGUAUCGAAAUUUUAAAGAAAAAUGAUCAAAAUACCCCUGUGAGACGAAAAUUAUUUUUUAUUGUUUUAAGUUGGGAAAUAGUUUAAAAUCUUUUAGAACGUGAUAUUUGGCAAUGAUUACUCACAGGGGAAAAUGAGAAAUUGAUAUUAAAGUCUUGCGGGGUUCUGGUUGGCAUUUCGGGUAAUGAGUGUCUAUCGGGACACCGCGACAGUUGUCACGGGCUCGAGGGGAGUACUGGGUCGUGACAAGUUACAGUCCCAGCAACUUGGCAUACCAAGCGAUGCGAAGUCCUUCCCACUAAUUAAAAUCCUUGUAAAGUGAUCCACUAUCCACGUACCAAACUCCUCUUAAAUGUUGGAAACAUGGAACAUGCAUGCUCACCUAAGGAUUUUUCUUAACUUAUUCUCUUACUUAAAAUGGAAUUCCAUAUUUUUCCCUUUUUUGAAAAUUUGUCCUCAAAUUUAAGUAGCAUACUAACCUUUGCUAAAUAAGUGUGCGUACCUAGUCUGCAUGUCACUCUCGAUUCCUAAGUCACCUCUUCGCUCGAGUGGUUUUUUCAUUGCACCUUUACCAAUGCUACAUCCUUGGAGAGUAAUUUCUUCACUUGCCUGUCUAAAAUGGCUAUCGGCACCUCCUUUAGAUCAAACCAUCUCUCAGCUAUAGGAGCUUAUGCUAAACCACAUGUGAUGGAUCCGAUUGGUACUUUUAUAAUACCAAAACAAGAAACAUGGGAUCAACACUAGCAAGAUCUGGCAGCAGUGCUAAUUGAUAAGCCACCGUGCUUAAAAUCAUUUAGGUUUUUAGCCUCUUCCAUAACAGUGACUUUUAGAUCUUCUACAAUAUUGGUGAAUCUCUCAAGCAUCUCAUUAAUUAAUUUACUCUCUUCCAUCCUAAAAUGCUCAUAGUCAUGAGUAAGCAAUCCAAUCUUGGAUUCCUUAACUAGGUUAGUGCCCUCAUAAGUGGUCUCUAAGGUGUCCUAUAUUUGUUGAGCACUUUAACACAUAGAAACUUUGUUGAACUCACUAACACUUAAGGCACAAAGGAGGGUGUUAUAUGCUUUACAAUUUGUUUGAAUUAAGUUCUUAUCUUUAUCACUCCACUUAUUCCUAGACUUAACCAUUAAUUUUCCUUUUACUUCCUUAUAUGGAACAUGAGGACCAUCUAAUAUAACAUUCCACAAUUUAGGUCCAUAAAUUGUAUAAACAUUUCUAUAUGUUUCUUCUAAUAAGGGUAGUUAGUACCUACAAAGAGAUGUGGCCUUUAGAUUGAUUGCCCUUCACCAAGCAUAGUUGUCUUAACCUCUAUUUUGAUGAUUUAAGCAUUUACUACGAAUCACUCAAACUGUUGCACCUACAAAAAUUGAGCCCUAGCUUUGAUACCAAUUUUUAGCAGUAUAAGCUUAAAGUAAUAUAUACCAAGAGAGGGGUAAAUUGGUAUUUAAAAAAAUCCUUUUAAACCAAGUGUAAAAAUCAAAUCUUUUUACAAUCAAAAUUCUUUUUUUGUCAAAACAAAGUAAUAGAUUUUCCUAAGGCUAAUGCAAGCAAUAAAUCACAAUGCGAAAAAUUAAAAUCAAGACAUAAAGAUUUAAUAAUGGUUCGACUUUCUUUAGUGCCUACAUCCAUUCCCUUGGAAACUAAGUAAUUUCAAAUACACUCUAUGAAAUGUGCUUUUUAUGUGAUCAAGCAUUAAACCUUUACAAUGUUUUUUCAUGGGACCAAGCAAAACCUUCAACAUACUUGUUCACGAUAACAAGUGGAACCCUUACAAUACAUUUUCACCAUCGCAUGUAGAACCUUUAACAACAUUUUUUAACGGGAGAAAGUGAAACACUUCAAUAAUUGUUUUUGUCACAACCCAAAACUCGGGCCAUGACCAACGCAUGGGCUCAAUGGGCAUAGCCCACUAAGCCCAAGCAAGCCUCUUUAUAUAAUCGAGUUCAUCAUUUCAUCAAUCAUACAUCACCAUUUCUAAACCACAAUUCUCAACUAUACGUAUUUCGGUAAUAUAACAUAGUAACCAAAUAUUUAUAUUUGUAAUAUCGUAAAGUAUUAUCAUUCAUUGCCAUCUCAUAAUGGCAUUAUCAAUCAGAAUAUACAUAUAUCGUUUGCAAAAUGAUCUUAGCGCUUCACAUCUAAUGUACAUAUGCACAUGCAAAAGACUCCUAAUGACUAGCAGAGUGACUUUGGAUGGGGGAUGCGGCUAUUGAAUGCCAUGAUACAUACCAAGGGUGAACACUAGUGGACCCCUCAAUAUAUGUCCCAACUACUUCCGGAUCUGAAAACAUGAAGUUAAAAAGAGUGAGUAUAAACCCAGUGAGUGAACAUAGGAAGGGAACAAGCAUACGAUACGGAGAGUUUUCGAAAACAUGAUGCACCCAUUUUAAAACAAUGCAAUUUGUAUAUCAUAAACUACUCGAUGCCAUGUUGAUAGUUAACUCGAUUUAAAACAUUUAGGAAGUUCAACUUUCAACAUUCAAUGCAAUCACAUAAUAUUUUCUUUAACAUUUUUAUGGUAUGUGUAAACAUGUAUAGAACCACCGGUCAUCAGCUCAUGUGCACUUCCACACCGCACAUAGCUGGAAUCAUCAUCCUCCGAUCAUCAGCUCAUAUGCACUCCCACACUGCACAGAGCUAGAAUCAUCACCCACCAGUUAUCAGCUCAUAUGCACUCCCACACCGCACAUAGCUAGAAUCACCCGUCAUCAUCGACAUGUGCCUUCCCACACCACACAUGCGUGGUUACAAUUAUCACUCAACAUUAUAUUUCAAUGCAUGGCACAUGUAACAAGAAUCUUUGCAUAACAAUACAUCACAUGCCACAAAUCAAUUGGCAAUUCAACAUAAUAUUUCAAAUACGUAAUUCAUCAGAUUAUGCAUAUCGCAUAAUAUAGGAACACAUGAGUUAAUCACAUUGCACAAUUUCACAACAUAAAGACAUUUCAUCAAGGGCUUGUUCCUAGGCACAUUUUUAAAGCAAAGACAAAUAAAGUUUUCAAAUGAUUCAUUCAAACACAUGUGCAAUUAUUUCAAAACAUUUUUUUUAAAUGCAAGUUCACUCACCUUGGUAAUGCCACCUUACAAAAUUGACACCAAUAAAACUUUACGCCAAGUUAAGUCUUGAAGUGCCAUUAAAACCUAUAUUUGCCAAUAAUCAAUAAUAGCCUCAAAUACAUCAUAAAUUUGAACUUAAUAAUUCUAAUAAGCAUAUGCUUGAUAAACUACAUUCUAGCCUAAUUUUUAACCUAGAAUUCUAGUCUAAUUCUCAAACCCAUCAUAUCAACUAUUCCAAUUUAAAAGUUCCUUACCUUGGUGAGUUUGGAGGCAUAAAGAUCAACAAAAACCUAAUAUUUCCAAGAAAAAGAAUUUGAAGAAAUUAGGAAAUAAAAUCUGAAAAUAUAACCCAUAAAUUCAUAAAUUUCAAGAGUUGAAAAUAUAUACCUUUUAGCCUUAAAAAUGGAGAUUUGAAGUGAAAAUUCAAGUGUUGGUGAUGGUGGAGUAGAAAUAGAAAAAUAAAGGAAAGAAAGAAAGAUUUUUCCUUCUCUCUCGUAGGGUUUAGUUGUGCUGGAAAAUGGAGUUGAAGCUAUAGGUUUGGUGCCCAAGAAGUUAGGAGAAGGAAGGAGUAAAAAAAAGAAAGGAAAGGAAAAGAAAAUUAAGAAAAUUUGAUUUUUCAUGGUGAAGUGAAAAUGUUGUUGGAAGCAUGAAGAAGAAGAAAAGCUACUGGAAGUGAGGAGAAAGUGUUGAAACUUUAGAUAUUUAUCUCUGAAGUUAGUCAAAGUUUCACAUAAUUUACAAUAAUGCCCUUUUUAGUUUUUUUGAUGCAAUGCUUUCACUUUAACAAGGAUUUUGACCACUUUCUGAUCAGAACUGGGCAAAGUAGUAAACAUAAAAAUUAUAGCCCUGCCUCUUAGCUUUCUAAUGGUUUAAAAAUCAUGUUAUUUAGACUUCUGUAGUAGAAGAUAUGCUGAAAAACUGAAAUAUAUGCAAAUAGAGCAACAGUCCAUUAUGCAUCUUUCUUCACCAAUUGAAAUUAAUUUUUGAUUCUACUCGUAUAAAAACAUGAAAUAAAUAUAAACAACAUAACACUAACAUUAUUAACUUAAAACAAACAUUUAAACACAUAUUAGACUAAACUAAUAAAAUAAAUAAAAAUACACAAAUUCGAUCCUAAAUCUAGUCCACCUUAGACUAAUUAGGUAUUUAAUCACCUAUUAAAUAUGUGAAUUUGAUGUACUCAUCAGUCUACCUUUAGUUAUGCAUUUAUGGAUGCCGAGGUUUCAUAGUUUUUAAUAGGCUGAACCACAAAUCCUAAAAUAGCUUUUCAAGGUUAAGCUAGAACCUUGUUAAGAUGAGUGCAAAGUAUAGUAAGAAUGCCUUUAUAAAGGCUAGCUGGUACGAAGUUUAACCUUGGGUACAAAGAGAAGAAAUAUAUUCUCAAGGAUUUUCAAGUGAAUGAAUAUUUAAAGUUGGAUGGAAGAAUAAAAUGAAUGCUAAAGAGGGAAAACAAGCUUUGAGAUUGCUCUUUAGGGUUAUCCAAGUGAGUGUUGGUCUUCUCAUGUCUUCAAAAUGACUCAAGAGUGGCAUUUUAUACCUAGAGUAAAGUUUGGAGCCGUUAGACACAAGUUUGAAUUAAAUCUGGCUAUUACUGAAGUUUGAGGGUCGACUAUGUUAUUCUAAUUUCUCAAAUUAGGGUUCCAUUGUUGAGUAUAACCUUCCUCUACUCGAUCCAAUUCCUAAGAGGGUGUAUUUUUCACAUUUGAGCGUAAAUAGUCUACUAUGGUGAAAUCAAGGUUGACUAUGGCUUUCAUUUUCCCUCUUUUUAACACAUCAAACCUACCAGGGUUGACUAUAAAAGAGCCAAGGUCGACUAUGUUUAUGUAAUUCUUCAAUUUUAUGAGUUGUUUGCUUCAAGGUAGACUAUACACACACCAAGGUUGACUAUGGCUUUAUAUUCUUCAAGCGUUUUACUCAUUCUACCUUUGGAUCAACUUUAACUUCCCUAGAGUCAACUCUUGACUUGUGUCUUGAGGAUUCCUUGACUUUUUGGCACCUCUCUUUAGUUAUUUCUUCCUUGCUUUGUUAAUAUAAUCAAAUAAUAAUUCAAGGCAUGUGUGCUACUUGUUUACUUAGUUGAAUAUUCAUUGUUUGAAAGCUUUCAUGAUGUUUUCUAAUGAUGCAUGGCUUUCUAAACAAUUUUGUAACUUUAGGGGAUGAAAAAUUUGACCGAGACAAUUUCAAAUGCUUGACAUUAAACUCAAGAUACCAUGCAAUUUUUGUCAAAUCAAAACGUGAUUUAACUCAAGGCUAACAAUUUUGUUAGAAACGAUAAGCUUAAAGUAAAACUACCAAGAAGGGGUGUGCAUUGGCUGUUAAGUAAAAAUUCCCCUUUUUUCAAAAAUUAGUUCAAUUGUGAAAGAAAAAAACAAUAAAACAGAGUAUGAACUUAAUGAGUAAAGAGUAGCAAAGUAAGAAAGGACUCAAUAGGAUUUUAUAAAGGUUUAGCCUUCCAAUGCCUACGUCUUCUCCCUUGAUAGCACAAGGAGUUUGAAUCCACUAUCAGCUUGCCUUUUCAACAAGAUCAGGUGUAACUUUUAGAACAUGGCUUUUGAAGGAUCAAGCGUAACGUUCACGACUUGCCUUUUGCAAGAUCAAGCAUAACUUCUACCAAGGCAAUGCUUUUUUUAGGUUAAACACAACCUUUACAUAAGAAAAUGCCUUUUAAAGGAUCAGGCGAAACCCUUCUACCUUUUGCGUAAAAGUAUAACUAAUGCAAUAGUGGAUUCUAGUCAACCACAAUCUAAAAGCAUCUAAAAAGGUUGAUAACGAAGUUUAGGUUCAGAAAGGUGUGAGCUUUCAUAAAAAUAAGAAUGAUCAAGGAAGGUUUAAGCUCAAGAAAGAUAGCUGAAGGAUAACGAUAUGAGCUUUAGGUUCUUUGCUUGCUUAAAGGUGCGAACUUUCUGCUUCUAGCUAUUUUUCUUGUUUUUCCAUUCUUUUCCUUUUCAAGGAUGAUUCAAACAUUUUCAAAAUCCGUUUUUCUUCUUGUUUUAACAUCCUUAAGAUGGAUAUUUAUAGUCUUUGAGAUUUUCUACCUAUUAAAGUAAGUUUUGAAUCAUUUCUUGUACGUUCCAACAAAGUUGCAAAAGUUUGUUGAUUUUGUAGAAUCUUUUCUUUGUAGUUAAGUUGUCAGUUCUUCAUAAAAUCUAUAGCUUUCUAUCUAUGAAAAACCGAUUAUUCUUUUUCAAGCUGUCUGUUCUCUUACAAUUGGGUGAAAAAGUGACACCUUUGCAAUCUUAGAGAAUCGAUUCCUUUUCCUCAAGGUGUUGGUUCUUCAAUAUGGAUUGGUGCCAAAAUUUGAAUUCAAGCUUGAAUUUUACCACUCUACUUUUGUCUAGUUUGCCACGCCUUUCUUGGUCACCAAGUUUCUAAGCAAUACUUUUGGAGCUUCAAAAACCAACUUUUUCUCUUUGUAAAAUUGAUUUUUUCUUCCUUGCUUUUCUUUUUAGCUAAAAUUGUUUGAAAAGCCAUACUUCUCUUAUGUUUACCUUUAGCACAUGCAUCACAUAAUCUAUCAUUUUCAAAUGUAAUUUUGGGCAAUCUAACAACUAGAUCAUGAUGAGAUAGUUUAGCAAUAGUAUGCAUGCUAACAUGUCCUAGUCUUCUAUGCCAUAUCCAACUAUCCUCAUUUUUCUUUGCCAUGAAACAUACAUUUUGACAGGAUAAGUCAUCUAGAUGCAUAACAUACAUGUUCUCUAGACGUUUUCCACCAAAAAUGAUUUUGUUAGUGUUUAUGUCAAUUAUUUGGUGUGAAAUCCCACCUUGAGUAAGAUGAUAAGUUAGGAAAUCCAUAGGUGAGCAUAUAGAUUACAUGUUUCGAACAACAAACUUAGAUUGACCUUUCAAAAGAAUUAUUGACACUUGUUGUUGUCUAUCCCUUUUAAAGAAGAAAAUUUUCUAGGUUUGGAAAGGGUCAAAAUAUAUGAUUUUUUUAGAACAAUCUUUUUGAAAUAAAAAAUGGCUUUAAUGAUUCCUAUGGUUUUUAGAUGAUCAAAAAUGAUUUUUCCUUAAUUUUUAGGGCAUGUUUGCUAGGGUAAAUAGGAACAACAAAUUUAAUUUCAGUCAAACAUUUUUGAUUUUGUUCUUGAAAGCAAAAUUUAGAUUUUGAUUUUUUGUAUAUUUUUAUUGAAUCCAAAAGGAGGGUUGUUUGCUUAUUUACAUUAAAUAUCUUAAGUAAACGGAAAGUAAAAAGUAAAGAGGACAUUUACUUGGAUGGUAUUUAAUGUAAAUAAGCUGGGCAGGUUUUAUAGGCAAUUUGUCUAAGAAAACUGCAUUCUGUCUCAAAUGUAUUGAUACAUGGGCUAAUUUAUUGAUAUAUUUCGUCGAUUUUAGAAAAAUAAAAAGGGUAAAAAUGUAUUUUCACACCCUAACUUAUAAAUAUAUCACAUUUUUUGAGGUUUUACAACCUUCAGCUACAUUUGCAAGGUAAAACACCUAUUCUUAAACUCUUGCAACACAUUUUUAAUCCAAAAUUCCAUUUUUAUGAUUCUAAAGCUUAGAUUUGGGUUUUAUGGAAAAAAAUGACACUUUUAGCCUUUAAAUCUUUUGGCUUUAGAUUUUCAUAACUUAAAUAGUUGCGUUAUUGCCCAAACUUUCUGUUAUUGAUUUAAGUUUAAAAGUUUUGUGAUUUGCUAAAGCAUCUAAGCUCACUUAAGGUAAAGAUGAAAGAUUUAUGGGUUUCUAAGCAUGGGUUUUAGCUAGAAAAUUAGUUUAGCCAAAGUCGAGUACUUUUGAAAGUACAUAAAAUGAUUAUUACGAAAUUCUUAUUCUAGGAAUGGUUGUGAUGAUUGUUGUACGAUAGAAACACUUGAAAACUCCACGGAUAACGUCAAAAAGGAGUUGUGAUUAGAGCUAGGAAUCGACUCUCCAAUUAGGUGAGUGGAUACCCCACUUUCAAAUUAUUUUGAUACUUAAAGCUAGCAUGAUUUUUGUAAUACCCCGUACUUUGAUAUGGUGACUAAUAAAGCUUAUCUGAUGCCAAUUGAGACAUAAUAAGGUAUUUUGGGUACCAAGGAGACAAGUGAAAUUUUUUAAAUAAAAUAAUAUUUUAUUAAUUAAAUAAUAUUAAAAUAUUAAUAUUUAAUCGGAUGUUGAAAUUAGUCAUGAAGAAGGAUCAUAUGGUUGAUCCAAGUGGGGGAAAAGAAGUACAAAUGAAUUUUGGAGAUAAAUGACGUAAGUGAGAUACGUGUUUUUUUGUUAAGUCGAGCCAACGCGGAUAAGUAAAUAUUUAAAUAUUAUGGUGAUACCUCGUUGAAGUGCAAUUUCAAUAUGUUUGUGGUACACGUGCAAAGGAAGAAAGAUAGAUGAAAAUUAGAAUUUUUAAACUUGUCGAAAGGAUUGAAUUUUAAAUAUAAAAGUUGAAAGAUUAUGUAGUAAAAUUAAAUGGGAGAAAUAAAUAAACAAAUAAUAGAAUAAUAAUAAAAGUAUAUAUAUAAUAAUAAUAAAAAAAAUAAAGAGAAAGGCCAACAUGGGUAGCCGCCCAUGUGGUCAAUUAAAGAGUCAAUAAUUUUUUUUUAUAGUGGUAGGGGCCGGCCAAAUUGAUAAGUAAAGUGAGAUAAAAAAAAAUGAAUGAAAAAUGAAAGAAGAGAAAAGACAAGAAAGAAGAGAAAAGAAAAGUCAAAGUCAGCUGUGAGGGAAAAGCUGGCUAUUUGAAGAAGAUAAAAGGAAAGAGAGAAGUUGGUGUGAGAGAGCAAAGGGAAAGCCAAAGAAGAUAGAGAAAAGUCAGUGUGAGAGAGCAAAGGGGAAAGCCAUAGGCCAAGGGAGAAAGAGCAGGCUGGAAGAGAGAGCAAAAAAAUGGCAGUUGCAGCCGCUUAGAGGAGUAAAGAGAGAGGCUUUGUGCUGCAAAAUUUUGAGAGGAAAAAGAUAGAGUUUUGCUACAAAUUUUGAGAGAGAAAACAAGGGCUGCUGUUGUUGGGUUUGUGGGGGAGUAAACAAAGGCUUAAGCUGCUGGUUUGUGAGUGAAAUGAGGGAGAAAGAAGGAAAAGAAAAAAAAAAGAAGAGAGAAGAAAGAAGCUACCGACCGGUGAGAAAGAGGAGAAGAAGAAAGAGAGAAAGAAACGAGAAAGAGAGAUAAAAGAUAAAAAAGAUAAAAAUAAAAACGAAAAUAAUUAUUCCUUUGGGCCUUUAACAGUACCUUUGGCAAAGAAAGUCCGGUGGGUUGCAAUAUUUUAUUUGGGUUAGCAUUUGAGCCCAAGUGAGGUAAAAGUUAAAAUCAAGCCCUUUUCUUUAUGGAUCCAUUAUAAAGUAUGUUGUUUGGGUUUAGUCCAACUCAUUGGGUUGAAUGUGUGAUAUAAUGACAUAAAAUAAGUUGAAUUAUUUGGUAUAAAUGUUCAUUGGGUUGAAUGUGUGAUAAAAUGACAUAAAAUAAGUUGAAUUAUUUGGUAUAAAUGUUUUAGAAUUGUUAGAUAAUAUUUAAAAUAUGAAAAUUUGUGCAAGUACAAUACAAAGGUAAAUGUCAAUAGUAAGAAAAUCAGUAAUAAAUUUAGUUAGUUUUAAAAUAAUAAUAAUAAUCAUAAUAAUAAUAAGUGAAUGGUGAGGAUGAAAAAUGGUGAUUAAGAAGAAAGAACGAGCUACUAGCAAGUAAAGAUAGUUAAAGACACCUCCAAACAAAUAGAGACUUAAUAUCUCGUUGUUACAAGGUGAGUGAACUUGCAUUAAAAUGUUUUGGGAUAUACACAUAUAUGUUUGAUUGAAUUCCCUAAAACGUUUUAUUAGUUUUUCUUCAAAAACUCGCACGGGAACAAGCCUUUAUGAAAUGUUUUUAUGUUAUGAAAUGGAUAGUGUGAUGAAUCCAUCUGUUUCUGUAUAAUAUUGAUAUUUAUAUAGUAUGUCAUAAAUGGUACAUUGUGUGACAAAAUGCAACCGUGCAUGUGCGGGGUGAGUGUGCACCUAUCGGUGAUGACUGUGGUGAGGGAGAUGGAUGGUGAUAUUGCCUGUGUGCACGAUGUGGGGGGAUGCACAUGAUGGCAUUAGCUGUGCACGAUGUGGGGGGAUGCAAACGAUGACUCCGGCUAUGUGCAUGAUGUAGGCGGAUGCACAUGAGCUGGGUGAGACGGGGUGUCCGACUAUGUGCACAAUGUGGGGGGAUGCACAUGAGCUGGGUCAGACGAGGUGUCCGACUAUGUGCACGAUGUAAGGGGAUGCACAUGAGCUGGGUGAGAUGGUGGUGUAUGUGCUUAUAUAUAUUCAUAUUUACUAUAUAGAGAUGUUUGGAUUUAAUAUGUGAUUGCAUUGACUGUUGAAAACUUGAGUAUUGUCAAUGUGUUCAAUUUAAUGUCCAAUGUGGCAUGAGUGGAUUUUAUCGGUGGCAGUGAAAGUUCCCUUAGAUUUUAUCUAGCCAGAAUUUUGUUGCAACGAGAAUGCCUUUUGACUGCGGUGAGAGUCAAUCUAUUAUGCUUGACUUGCUUGAAUUCUACUAAAGUUUCCACUUCUCAACUUCUUUGUUGUUCAUGAGUUUUUCGUCAUCAAGUGACUAAACGACCAAGGGUUUGAAUGAGGGGUUUUCAAAUAGAAAUAAACUAAAUUGCAUUAUUUUGAACUUAAGUGCAUCAUGAUUUCUAAACCUUCCUUAACAUUGCUUGUUCCCUUCCUAUGUUCACUUACUGAGUUUAUACUCACUUUUUAAACUUCAUGUUUUAGGUUGUUAGAGUCAAAGGUGAUUGGAUCCUAGGACGAGGUGUUCCUCCCUAUCCAUUGCCUGGUAGAUUUACCAUGACAUUAAAUAUUAGCAAUCGUGCCCAGAGUCACCCUGCUGACGGUCAAGUUCUGAUUACGUGUAUAUGAAUACUUGUUGUGAAAUGCUGAGAUUCAUUUGUUAAUAUAUAUAUAUAUAUAUAUAUAUAUAUAUGUAUGUAUAUUAUGGUUGAUGAUGUUAUUCUGAAUACAUAGUUGGGAUUUAUGAAUUUUUCCAAAGAAACUAUAUUGAAUGCUAUUGAUUCGAAUUUUUAAGGAAUACAGAUUAAUGUAUAAGAUUCUCUAAAUAGGGUUGCUUGGGCUUAGUGGGCUAAGCCCAUUGGGCCCUUGCGCAGUUCAUGGCCCUGAAAUUGGGCUGUGACAAUUUCAACAAAAAAAAUUAUAUAUGCAUGUUGAAAUUAUAUCUCUAAAUUUGGUUAUCAAAGGAGUUGAGAUUUUAAAAUGAAAAUGAUUUUCUAAGAAAAUAAAUUGAUAAGGAUUGUGAUGUGAUUUACUCAAUAGAUGUUUUUUUAAAUGUUUAUUGACCUACUAUGUAUUAGUUUUCAACAAAGGGGGACAAGCACCUUAUAUUUGAAGUUUACUCGAUUACAACAAUCUUCGAACUAGUGCGAGUAUGAGAUAUUGUAUGCUUAUUUAUAGAUGCUAUAAUAUGCAUGUUGGUAUGAUGAAUGCCAUAAGAUUAUGUAUAUGAUGUAAAUUUCAGACACCAUAUGAGAUGAUCAAGUAUGCAUGAUGUAUACUAUAGGAUGGUGUAUAUGUUAUAAAUUCCAUAUACCAUAUGAGGUGAUUAAGUAUGCAUGAUUAAUGCCAUGAGAAUAUGGAUAUGAUUUAUAUUCCACAUACUACAUGAGACGAUUAAGUAUGCAUGAUUAAUGCCAUGAGAAUAUGUAUAUGAUGUAUAUUUCAUAUACUACAUGAGCGGAUUGAGCAAGCAUAAAUGUCAUGAGAUUAUGUUUAUGAUGUAAAUUCCAUAUACCGUAUGAGAUGAGUGAGCAUGUAUGUGAAAGACAUUCCACAUACCACAUGUUACAAGUAUGAGAACUCAAAAAGUGUGAUUGAUACCACUCUCACGGUGUGCAAGUGACGACUUCACUCCUAUGAUGCAUCAUAAAAUACCCAAGGGCAAUGGGGACAUACGUUGCCAACCCAAGGUGCCAUGAGGUUGUACAUUGCUAGCCAAAGGUUAAUGGGGGUCAAACCAUCACAAUGUAUGAGUUUUAAUGUUAAUGAAAUGAUUAUCGUUGUUAUGUUUAUGGUAUGUUGUAUGUUGUGUUCAUUUGAGUAAUGUUUAUGGUUUAUACCUGAUGAUGGCAUGAGAAUGUGCUUAGUAAGAAGAAUUGAGCCCUAAAGAUAGUUCUCGAGAUGUAAAAGGACUUAAGGAAUGGAAAUAAUGCUAAAAUUGUUCAGAAACUUAGUCUAUGUGUUCAAAGUAUCAAUACAUGUCAUGACCCGAAACUCCCCUCGAGCUCGUGACAACAGCCGCGGUGCCUCGAUGGGCACUCAUCUCCCGGAAUGCCAACUGGAAUCUCGUAAGGCUUAAUAUCAGUUUCUCAUUUUCCCCGGUGAGUAAUUGUUGCCAAAUAUUAUGUUCUAAAGGAUUUUGAGUUAUUUCCAACUUAAAAUAGAUAAAUUAAAAAUUUUUGUCUCAUAGGGGCAUUUUGGUCAUUGUCCACUGAAAAUUUCGAAACCAAUUAAAAAUGUAGUAAACAAGUACCAAUCACAUAAUUCACAAUUAAAAAUAAGUUUAGGCAUCUAAAACCUUUAUUUAAAAUGAAAUUAUAAUUAUUUGAAUAUAAUAAAAAGAUAAAACAAAAUAUUCAAUAAAAUAUUUUAUUUUCUUAUAAACAGUAAUUUUAGAGUUAUGCGUAAAUACUUUUUGUAACGUAAAAACAAAAUAAAUUCAUUCAUACUGUAACACAAUAAACUAGAGUAUUUAAAUUAAUUUAAAUUUACAAUAUCAAGUGGGCCCACAAUAACCAAAAUUAAAGAAGUUGUGAACCUACAGUUUGGAAAAAGCAAAUCCAAUGGAAGUCCUCGAUGGAAUCAGCUAUCUACAGCCUACUCUAAGCCUGAAAUGGGUGGAUAUGAGGGUGGUGAGAUUAUAAAAUCCCAGUGAGUAAACAAACAUCAUUUAAAUAAGCUAAAGCCGAGUAAAAGGAGACAAUUAAAAUAUCCCAUCAUUUUAAGUAUUUCACAAUUUGAAAAUUUAUCUCAACCCAUGCAAACGGUUGUAUUUCAUUUAAUUUCUCAUUAAGGCUUAUGACUUUCAUAAAAAUUUGGCUCAUGCCAUCAAAUAGUACUUUACGACACCUUGAUCAGAGGUGUACACUCGAGCCAGCCAAGGCUAUUAAAAUUUCGUAUACGCGUAAAACAUAUUUUUUUUUAGUUUGAAAAACACAGCCAUUCCUUGGUGUUAGCUGAGUUUGUCAUCACGAGGUGGUUCAGCGUGACGUGAACUUUGUCCAUGCCUCAGGAGAUACCAUACACGCCUCUCCGAUCGAGGUACAUAUAUAUAUCCGGAUUUCAUGCCCCUCUAAUAGGUUGGUCCACAGAAUCCGCCUACUGUAGCAAGCUAAACCCACCAUACAAUAAAAUUUUGACAGCAUGACAGGGCUAAUAUUUUACUACUCAGCCUGCAAGGGUAAAAUAAAACAAUUCAUACAAUUCAUAGAACAUAGCCCAGCCAGUCAUGCCAACACAAUAACAAUAUAACAUAAGCCAUCAAUUUCUAAUCAUAAAUUUAUAACAUACGGAUGGUCUCCAAUUACUCUAUUUUCAAAAUCGUUAUUCAUUUUCAAUAUAAUUUAUAAAAUCUUUUCAUGUCAACACAUUCUGCUUGUAAAACACAAAAAUUUACCAUUUAAACUCAUUUUCAUAAAAUUUCAUCAAAACCGAUUAAAAACAUACUUUAGAUAAUUAAAAUGAUGGUAAGGUUACUCAUUGUACUAGGAGUUCGAUAUACUCCUAUUCCCAAUCUUCGGGCACAAUCUCUUUACCCUUGUUAGAGGGUUCACCACCUAUACAUCAUACGUGACACGAAUUUCAAUAAAUUGUGUCAAUUUAUCAUAAACUAUUUCAGGCUCUCUAAAUCUAAAUGAAUGCAUGUGAUGGGAUGCAAAAUGUUUGAUUAAUCACUUAAAUGUGAUAUUCGACCUAAGUCGCACUAUACUCGGCCUAAUCAGCUAAAAUCUCUGAUUUAACUUCAAAUCAAUUCUUCUCACUUUCUACACUCCAAUUGUACCUAAAUUACCUUAGUGACUAUGAAUGAGAUUCAAUAUAUCAGUCUCGGGUCAAUAAUCACACAUGUCUAUACAUUAGGUAAAAAUUCAGAUUUUCACACCAAAAUUUUCCAUUUAAUUUCUAGCCUCACCAAACAUCAAAUAUCACCCAAAUAUCAUGAAAUAUCAGCAAUUUCAGCCACAAUAUCCUCCCUAGAAAAUUUGGCCAAUGAUGGUGAUCGGGGAAAAGAGAUUCUUUUCUUAUUGUUUUGUUUCUAAAUAUGCUAAACUAACUAAAAACACUAACAUAACUCAAAAUCAAAUCAAUCCAACAUCUUUAUCUCUCCAUACCCAUUUUGACUAGCCAUGAAUUCAUCAUGAAAACAUGUAAUUUAACCAUGGAAAAUAAGGAGUAAUGCUUAAGGAAAAUAGAUUUCAAGUUUAAAUUGAAAAAGCCUACCUUUUUCACUUGUUUUCCUUGAUUUUUCACACUUUUUCUCUUGAAAUCCUCCACCUAGGUUUUGUUCUUGUUUUUCCUUUCUUUCCUUUUGUCUUGGCCAAAUAUGGAGAAGAAGGAUGGGAUAAAUAUGGGCUGAUUUUAAUGGAAAAUAAUAAAAUAUUCUUACUUGACACGUGGCAUGUUUCCAUUGGUCCAUUUUUAAAACUUUAAAAAUUUUAGACCUUUAAUCUCCACCACAUGAUUAGUCAAAGGUCAAAAUGAGGAUAAGGGAAGACCAUGUGCUGGAAAAAUGUCCUGGUGGUGGAAAAUUACUGUUUUGCCCCUAGGGUGGUAAAAUUACCAUUUUGCCCUUAUGCUCCAAAAAUACCGAAAUUAUAACUUUUUCACUUAUCAACCUCAAAUUAUACUCCAAUGAGUCAAAUGUGAUCAAUCUUGAUCAAAAACUUCUUCCAAUAUUCCAAUUUUAUCCUCAAGUGGCAAAAUUACCAUUUUGCCCCUAGAUAGUGAAAUUUUCGAUUUGACUCCAAAUUGAUCCUCGAACUCCAAAUAAUCAUAUUAAACUAUUCUGGGACUUUAAUAUUCUUAAUUUCAUCUGAAAUUCUCUAUUUGAUCUAGUUCGAGGCUUAAAUCAACUUUGUUGUACCUCUAGGUACAAUAUCGACUUUUGUAAAUUUUUCGGGACUCUCCUAGCAUGCAAACAUGUUAUCCAUCACAUGUAUGUCAUGACAAGUAUUUUAUAGAGUCAAGCUUGACAUCUUCUCCCCUACCUGGAUCAACCAUAUGAUCCUUUUUCAUGACUGAUUUCGACAUCCGGCUAAAUAUUAAUAUUUUAAUAUUAUUUCAUUAAUAAAAUAUUAUUUUAUUCUAAAAAUUUUAUCUUGUCUCUUUGGUUCCCAAAGUUCCUUAUUAUGCCUCAAUUCGCAUCCGACCAACUUUAUUUAUCACCAUAUCAGAGUAUAGGGCAUUUCAAUACAUAUGGAGCACGUAUCGAUACAUUCUAAACAAAUUCCAUAGGAGGCUUUCUGUGUGAAAUGUAUCGAUACAUUUUACCAAUGUAUUGAUAGAUGCUUGAAAGUAUCGAUACAUUCAAUAAUGCAUCAAUAGAUAUGGUACAGAAAAGGAUGUUUGAGUGAAUUUGAUCAAGAUUUUAAAGGUAAAGAUUUCUAAAGGUUUAUAUAAGUUGUUUUCAAACAAAAGGUAUUUAAAUGAGUUCAAAUGACAUGUAUAAUGCAUUUUAUGAUUCAGAAGUUAGGAAUGGUAUGAGUUAUAAAUGUAUGGUUACGAAAUACUCUUAUCCCCUAGCUUGUCCCCUUCCCGUAUCCACUCACAGAGUCUUUGUGACUCAUACAUUAUUUUUUCCAUUUAUUUUGUUGUAGAUUAGUGAUAGCAUCUAAUAGCAGCUAGUGUCGUGGAUACCAAUGUUUGGUCUUCAUUCCUUGGUAGGUGUCUAGCAGCCAUUUGUUGCCUAGAGGGUCGAUCACAUUCUGCUGACUAGUUGGUCUUUACUUUAUGUUAUGUUUAUAGACUAUGAACAUGUUUAUGUUGACAUCACCAAUGUUUGGGCACCUUAUAUGAAUAAUGUUAUGUAUAAGAUCAUGAUGAUUGCUCGAUAGCCUAUAUGGACACUUGAGGGUGAUGAUGAUGUUUAAUGUUUAUAUUAUUAUGCACUAUGAUAGUGGCACUUGUUAAUACACAUAUAGAUAUAUUAAGUUGAGCGUACACAAUUAAGUUGAAAAGUUUCUUUAUUGUGUAAUAAGUUUUAAGAAUGUUUGUAUUAUGAUUAUGUAUGUUAAUGGAUGUGAUAUGAUGCUUCCACAUGAGAUGAUGAAUGCUUGAUGAUGUUAUAUAGGAAGCUUGCUUGGGCCUAACAGGUUAUGCUCGUUUGGGUCCAUACGCUGGUCACAAUCCCUCUUGGAAAUGGGAUGUGACAGUGAGCCUUCAUUUUAAUUGAUGUAUGAAUUUGAAGAUUAUUUGUAUUUUACCUUAAGUUGAAAUUGUGGAAUAAUUUUUGUGGAAAGCUUGGAAAUCAUGACUUGGUGAAUUUUAUCUCAUGAAAAGUCUUUUCAUUAAUUUUCUUUGGUUUCUUUGUUUUCUUUUAUUUUGCUCAAGGACUAGCAAAAUCUUAAGUUUGGGAGUGUGAUAAUUCUAUAAAAUAUAAUUAUUUUUAUUUCAAAUUGUUCUUAAAAGUUAGCUAAGUUCUUGAGAUUAGGUUAAGAUUUAGUUAUUUUUAGUUUUUUCUAAUUAGUUUAUUUUUAUUAAGUUAUUUUGUUUUAUGUUAAUUUUAUGUUUAUUUGCCUUAGUUUAGUUUUUAUGUUUGUGUAGGACUUUAAAGGAAUAAGACUCAAUUUGGUGAAGAAAGGUGCUUAAAGAACCUAAGUCCUGUUCAUACAUAUUGCAAUAUUUUGAGUAUAACUUCCAAUCCAUAAGUCCAAAUGAGGUGAUUCUUAGACCAUUGGAAAACUAAGAGAUAGAGCUACAACUUUCAUGCAAAUCACUUUGCUCUAUUUGACUUUAAAGAUGGAGAAAAUCAUAUUGGAAUUUAAGGGAGGGUAGUAGUCAACAAGAGAAGGCCUAAAGCCAAGGGCCUGUCACAGCUUAGAUAAGGGGUGCCAUAGUGUCAAAGAGAAAAAUUUGAAUAAAUCACUAUGGGAAAGAAAUGGAUGUGAGCUAAUUUAAGUCCUAUGGGCUCUACACUUAUUUUAAGGUCAAAUUAAGAGUCCUUAGGCUAAAGUAGUUUAGUUUAGGAAAAUUUAGGUUAAGUUCCGAGUAUAACUAAAUAGCUUAAGGAGAACUUAGAGGCAUGAAGAAAAUCCUAAGAAGGAUUCAAGAGGUUAAAAGUUGAGGUUGAAGAUUGAAGAUCAAAGUGUUAAGAAUGUUUAGAAUAUGGUGCCUUGGAAAGCAAGUAUAUUCUCAUGCUUAAUUUCAUUAAAUUUGUAAUGAAAGUACUUUUGAAAAUAAGAUGAAGAGUUUGUUUUAAGUAAGCAUCCAUUAUCUAGUUAGUAAGGUACCAUGAUUCUAUUGAGAUAUUAAAAUAUAUUUUUAUGAAGAGUCAUACAUAGGAGACAUAUUGUAAUUGAAUCUAAAAAUUGUUCAUAGUCAUAUAAUAAAGUUAGUCACUUUAUUGGUUUAAGGUUGUAGUGUCAAAUUACUUCCAACGAAAUGAAUAUAAUUCAUCUCAAGGGAAAGAUGAGUCUUAAAUUAUCGAAAUGGUUAACUUCAACUAAUGACACUAUAACAUGCAUUGGAAUCAUGUGAGAAUCAAAUUUAAGUUUAAUCAUUAAUUAAAUCUUGAUCUCACACUUAUGCAUUUGCUUAUAAUAGAACCGAAAUCUUGAUGGAUAGUGGACUCGUGUUUAAUCUCCUUAUAAUCUUUGAUUUACCAUGAUCAUGAUCAUCAUAAAGUGUUGAUUUAGACUCCGUAUUUUGGGAUUAUAAUCGAGAUGAAUAUCUGGGAACAUAUAUCCAAAUAAUGGAGUUCAUAACAUUAACAUCACUUCUUGUGAUUUUAGGAAGACUGGUGAUUAAUUUGGGCCCAGAGGACUGAUGAAUUAACUACUCAUCACAUAUAGAUACUCAAAAGAUUAGAUCUAGUGUAUGGAAUCAGUAAUAGGAUGAAAUUUGAGAUUUGGGGACAAAAUUGGCAUAAAAGGUAAAACAAUAAUUUCAUCUGUUGUCAUUGGAUGGUUAUGAGGUUUACAAUAUAAGGUUUGCAAUUGGACAACUAAUAAUUAAUAUCAAGUAUUGAAUUGUUUCUUGUAAUUAUAGUUAAUCGAAGAGUGCAACCAUGAAUCUAUGAUGGAGUGAUUUCAUGAUUAAUAAGCUUGAAUUAUUUUUAAUGAGAUAAAGAAUAAUUCUAAGUUUAUUGAAGCUUGUAAUAUCUAUGUCCAAAUAGUUUUCCCACUUAGCUUUGUGAAAUUCAACUUGUUUAAGAUGGAAUGCAUGUUUUAAUUUGAUUAAUUAAAAUGUGUACAAAAAUGUCAACUUUAACAUGUUUGUCAUAACUUAGACAUGAAAACAUGUUUGGUCUUAAUUUAAAAAAUAUGUUUGUUUUAAUUUAAGAUAAGAAAAAUAUUUUUUGUCAUUAUGUAGACAAUAAAGCAUAUUUGUCUCAAUUUAGACAAGAUAAAAUAUUUUUGUCUUAAUUAAAGACAAGAGUUGUCUUAAAUUAAGAUAAUGCUAAGAGGAUUCUUGCAAAAUGAAUCUAGAUAUCCAUGUUGAUAUAAGAAGACUCCAUGUUUGACUAUCACUCUUUUAUUUAUUAUUAAUUCUUUUUAAAUAAAGAUGGAUAAUAAUAAAAUAAGAGUUAUUAUUCAAUAAGGAGUUUUAUUUUAUCAAGAACUCUAAAUGAUAAUUAAAGAAUUAAAUUAUUUAUUAUUUAAAUUUAAUUUUGAUAAUUAUGGAGCAUGUUUGAUGCUUCCAUAACUCUAAAUGGAUGGGCAAGAUUGAUUUAAAGGUGUUUGAUUUCGAUUAAACCUUUGAGGUAAGAGUUUUAAUAAAAAGAGAAGAGAUUGGAAAAACAAAAAUGUACGUGCUUUUUCUUGAAAAAGUUUUAGUCGUCACUUCUUUUCUCCUCCUCUAAAAAAACUUUGCCAUAUCUUUCUUCCUCUCUCCCAUUCUUGGUUGAAGUUUUUUGAAAGAAAAUAGCCACUAAGUUUUAGGAAGAAAAGAGAGACAAAAUCAGUUGCCAUUUUAUAGUCUUGCAUUCCACACCUUGUCCACUCAAAGUUCAAGUUGAAAGCAUUCUUGAAGAAUAAGUGGUAAACUUAUUCGGUCAAGAAAUCAUACAUUGGUGUGGUGGUGUCCAAAAAUAAGAAUCUCGAAAUAAAAGGUAUGUUUUUUUCUUACUUAAUAGCUUUUAUCUUCUUAGGAUGUGAUUAUGUUGCAAUAAGAAUGAUGUAUGCUUUCGUUCGUGUAAUUGGAUUGCUUUCUUCCUUUAUAAUAAAAUUUUUUUCAAAUCCAUGCUUUACACAAUCACAUCAUUCCACUAAGAUCCAAAUCCAACACAAGGUUGCAAAAUUAGUUUAUUUUCUUCUUCCUUAGCUUUUAUUAUUCUUGUUACUCUUGAUGGCUAAACUUGUUAUGUUUUUAUUUAUCAUUGCAAUUAUAGUAACUAAAUUCCUUUUUCUAGGAUUGCAACUAAACUCAUAUGUAGUCUAAAUUUUUAAUCUCUUUAUAGAUUAUUUUCAAUUGAAUUUAAUUGUUUUAUUCCAAUUUGUUCUUAAUGCUUUUAAUUGCUUGAUCACCAAUUAAAUUGAUCCAGAAAUCUAAACAUAACUUGGGAAAGGGAGUUUAGUGUAAACUAAAAUUGGAAUAGCAUAUAAUUAAAUUUAUUUGCUUGGUUGAAUAAAUUGGUUUCUGCAUAGGAUAAGAAUAUACCUAUAUGCCAUAUGUAACUAGUACUAGAGCUUGAACUUAAUGAAUUGGUUUUAAUUUCAAUUUAAAUAGGAAUACCAUUUUUUUGAUUAAAGUAUAUAUUUUUAUAGGACUUUUAGGAGAGCCUUAUAAAUAAUUAAGGACUCAAGGCUAGCUAUUUAAUCCAUUGAAAAAAGUUAAGGGAGAAAGGUAAUAUUUAGAUUAAGUGUGGGGGAUAUUGUAAUCGUAGGCUUGUUUAAUUUAAUUUUUAUUCAAUUAAAUUCAUGCUUUGAUUCUUAAUUAUUGUUCAUUAGCUUCUUUCUUUUGUUAAUUAAUUUUUAGUUUAAUUAGUAAUCAACUUUUAAGUGUUUCAAUAAGAUUAAAUUCUAUUAAUUUUAGUAAUUAGUGAAAUUGUAGAUCAAUUCCCUAUGGGAUUGAUACUUUGUUUACGAUUAUAUUAUCUUUUCGAUAUGUAUACUUGCAUUGGUAGAGAAUUUUAACAACAAAACGCUUCAUAUCAAUCAAGCACUUUAAAGAAAUUCUCUAAAUUAUAAAAAGAAUGACAAUUUAUGAGAGAAUUUCCUCAACAAUGGCAUAUCAUCAUGAAAUAUCAUCAUUAAACCCUUUUCGGUAAUCUCUUUUUAACAAUAUUUUCACACAAGCGUUUCAAUAAGUGUUCUCCAAAUAUGUAUAAGACUAUUAUUUCAAGGAGAAAUUUUCUCACCAAGACAGUUUAUCAAUAUCAACGAAGCAUUGCCAAGAUAUUUAGCACUUACUGCAAUGAUGUAAGAGAAUAUUAUUAUCAAGCAAGCACAAGUAUGAUUACAAAAAGAAUUUUGGUUAUCUUCACCAAUCGUGAUUUCAAUUUGUUCCAUGAAAUGCAUGCACUAAGUAUAUUAAGCUUGGUUUAUUGCUAGGAAGUGUGCAAGUGGAAAAGAAUACCGUGGAAACAUAAUCAGAUGAGUGGUGAAGUGAUAUCCUGCCAUUGUAAGGUGAGUAAGGGGUGUCUAUUUCAAAAUCUCUGCACUAUAGAUAUAGAUUUACAUUAAUAAACGUUGUUGGUUUCUUAAUUACAAUUGUGGAUAGCAUGAGUUGUUAGCCUUGAUAGGCAAUUUUAAAAUGGCUUUACAAUGAUUUAUAUAUUGCUAUUGUGGAAAACAUGGGUUGGUAGAAAUGUUAGGCAAAUUUGUGGAUGCCAUGAUAUUUUAAAUUGUUUUGGAUAUAUAUAUAUAGGUAAGCUAUAUAUGUAAAGUAUUUUAGAAACAGAGAAACAAGCCUUUUGUACUGUUUGCAUAAAAAAUCUAUGCCUUGUAUUUUUAUGUAAUAUGUUUAGUUAAAUGCAUUUGCUAAAUGAUUUAUUUGUACGUUUUUGAGAGCCAAUUUUAGUCUAUUUUUUAUUCAAGUAUUUACACCAUUCCUUUUUAAUGCGAAAAUCAAUUUGAAUAGUUAUCGAACCUUAUUUUCAAGUGAUUUAAACAAAAGUCUCAAAAAACAUGGAUUUGGUUUGGAAAACAGUUUUGACAAACCGAGAGCGUCGAGAGUAGGUUGAAUGUCAUAUCGGGAUAGUGUGACCCUUGUGCACAAGUGAGCUCUAGCUAGAGAACCUUUAGGUCACCAACGAGCUGUUAGACAUGGUUGGGACCAUGGCUUGUCAUUAUACGUGGCAAGGCCACAGGUUGUUAUAUACGGCUAGGCCACAAGUUGAUAUAUGCGGUUGUGAUCGCCUGAUUUCUCUAACAUCGACCAACAUUGUCGAGAUUACCAUGGUUGUGGGAACCCGGUGGAGUGGAGCUCUUGGAUUAUUAUUAUGUGGAAGAAGGUCCACAGAUUGAUUAUGUAUGAUUACCUACUCGAGAGGCUUGUGAGUUUUUCGAUAUGUACUCUUUUGCAUGGUGGAGAGUUAAGGUUUCUUUACAACUCCCCUUGUUUGAAUAAAAGCUUUCAGUGCUUCCUUGAUGAUCAUGAGUUAGUUUAUGUGGCUGUACACAUUAAUUUCUUUACAUGCAACACAUUUUGGGAGCGUGCAUACUUUUAUACUGUUAUUUGUAUUUUGAUGGAAAGUGAUGCUUUCGAUGUUUGAAAUCUAAUUUUGAUACAUAUGUUUUCAACAUCUUUUGCCAAGUGAAAUAUUGCAUUAUGAUUUUAUGGCAUGUUUUUACGAGGCGCAAACACCCUGCUUGCGAUUUGAUUUUUCUAAGAUUAUCACUUUUUAUUCUAGUUUUACUAUUCAAAAGAUGUACUUAAGCUAGUUUCCCAUCUCUGCCCUGCUCACGGAGCCAAUGUGAGACGUUGAUCUUUAUAGACUCAUAGCUAAAAGUAGACGCAAUAUCACUAACUGGGAGUAAUUCCGUCAUUUCCUUAACGAGGCCCUAGAAGAAUGCUUUCAAACAUUAUUAAGGCCUAAGUAGGCCUAAGGCAUAAAUGAAUGAUGAAAAUAAGGAUAAAAUGAUGAAAGAAAUAGAAAUAAUAAUGAUUUCCAAGGUAGAGGCAAACUGGUCAUUUGUCAUCUCAAGUCAAAAUUUUUAAGUUUUCGUGAACCUAAGUAUUUCUAGACUAUUGUGGACUUUGUCUUAGUGUCAAAAGAGUAGAAAGAUUGCACAAAGGAUUGGAGGAAGACAAAGCCAACUUGUUAAGGGCAUUUUCAUAAUUUAAGUAGAGUUUGGAUAAGCUUUAGCUAUAAAUAUCAUUUUUCCAACUGCUUCUUCUUCUUCCUCUCAUCUCACAUUUCUUUCAUCCUCCAUGGAAGCUUGUUUUGAAACCCGCAUAACUUAUCUCAAGCUAGCUCCAAUUUUCAUGCUUUUGUGCACCUUUUCAUAGAACCUUUUGUGCUCUUUCACUCUCUCACUUUAAAACGUUUGAAAAGUCUUACUUCCAUACUUCCUCUCACUAGCUAGGUGUUUUAGAGAGAGAAAGAGGGAGCUUUUAUAUUAGCUUGAAAAUUUUUGGAAAGAAAUUCAAUUACAAAGCUACCAAGGUGAGUAGUGAAUUAGAGUUGAUUUUUAAAUGUUGAGAAUGGCUAGUGAUUAGACUUGUGAGUGUUUUGUAGUUGAGGCUGUUUAUUCAUUUUAGAGUGAUUAGGAUAGUGAAAAUAAAUAGCCACUUAAUGGCAAUUGGAAGCUAGUUAGGAGAUAGCUUUUAAAAUUUAUAGUUAUGUGAAUUGUGAUGCUAAUGUGAUGAUAAGUUCCAAUGAAGCCCCACCACCCCAUUUGGACCUUUAGAGGAAGUUGGAGUUAGGUAAAGAUUUAACAAAUACCGGUGAAUGAACUUGCAUUAAAAUGUUUUGGGAUUAGGGCAUAUGUGUUUGAUUAAAUCCAUUGAAAUAGUUUAUCUAUUUUUCUCUAAAAAUAUGCAUGGGAACAAGCUUUGAAUGAAACGUUUUGCAUUAUGGAAUGCGACUGUGAUGAAUCCAUGUGUGUUUUUCUCUAAAUCUCGCACCCUCGUUGGACACAAAUUAGACCUUAUUGAUAAAACGAAUUAUCGUUUGAUGCGAACUGGCGUACUAAAGAGUGACAAAGGAUGAAAGGAACGUUCAAGAAUAAAAUGCUUUGCGCGUGCAGAAACAAUAAUUAAAUAAUAAUAUUUUUGUUGGAGAGGAAUUAGUAAGCUAAAGGAUGAUUCAGAAGUAAAUCAAGAUGUAAUGAUGUGUUUCAAGACCAAAUAAGGCAAGUGAAAUUUUUUGAAAUAAAAUAUUAUUUUAUUCAAUAAAAUAAUAUUAAAAUAUUAAUAUUUUAUAUGUUGUUGGAAUUAGUCAUGAAAAAUGAAAUAUGACUAAUUUAAGUGGGGGAGAAGAAGUAAAGAAGAAUUUUGAAGGAAAACGAUGAUAAUUGUGUCAGUGUGAUUUUAUUAAAUCGAGCCAACGCGGGUAAGUAAAUAUUUAAAUAUUAUGGUGACACUGCGUUGAAAUGCGAUUUCGAUAUUUUGAUUAUACACGUGUAAGAAAAGGAAGAUAGAAGGAAAUUAGAAUUUUUACACGUGUCGGAAGAAUUAAUUUUAAAAUAUGAAAAAUUAAGGGAGGUGUAUUAAAUAAAAUGAAGUUAAGGCAUAAUAUGUGAAUUUUAUUAUUUUGAAGAAAUAAAAAUAAAAUGAAAAUAAAAUGGAUGAUAAAAUAAUGAAGAAAAGGUGUUGAAAAGUCAAACAGUAUUAUUAUAUGUACAUGAGUGGCUACAUGAGUCAAGAAUGGAAUGAGGACAAAAACAAAAGAAAGAAAAGUGUGUGGCGGAUGGAAAAGGUGCACAAGUUUUUUUUGACUUUCAAUUUCAAUCCCAUGUGAGUAAAAAUAAGCAAGAUAAAAAUAAAAGCAAAAGAAAAGAAGAAAGACACGAAAUAAAUAAAGAAAACAAAAGAGAAAAAUGUAGAAAUGAUGGUGGGGCCAGCCAUGUGAGAUGAAAGAAAUGAAAAGAGAUAAAAGAGAAAAAAGAGAGGAAAUCGGUUGAGAGUGGGAGAAAAGAAAUAAAGGAAAGAAAGAACGGUGGGAGAGGAAGAGAAAAGAGAACAAUUUUGCUGCACUUUGAGAAAGGAAAAAGAGAGCUUUUGCUGCAAUUUUUGGAGGAAGAAGAAAGCUAAAAAUUUAUGAGGUAAGAAGCUGAUUUUUGCUGCACUUUGAGAGAGAAAAUUCGAUGCUUUUUAGAGGGAUUUUGGUGCUGAAAAUUCAAGGUUUUUGCUGCUAAAUUUUGAGGUUAUGUUGCUAGAAAUUUUUGGAGGUUUUUGCUGCCAUUGAAGGACAACUUUGGCUGCUAAAAAUUUGAGUUGUUUGCUGUCAAUUUGUGCAAAAAAAUUAGAGCUGGUUGCUGGUAGUUUGUGCAGGAAAAUUGGACAGCUUUGUGCUACCAAAAUUGAGAAGUUUUGUUGCUGGAAAUUUGAGCUGAAAAUCUACUGAUUUUAUAGCAAAAAAUGGCAGCAAAAAAAGGUGAGAAAAUGAGGCUUUUGGUGAUCAAUUUUGAGAGGCAAGGAAGAGAGGAAGCCACGGUGGUGAAGGGAGUGAUGGGUUGGAAAAAAAGAAGAAGAAGAAACGUGGAAAAGAGAAAAAGAAAGAAAAAGAAAAUAAAAAUAGGGAUGGCCCAAUAGGAGAUAUAUGGGCUUAGCCCAAAUAGGAAAAAUUGGAAAAGCCCAUGAAAGGGGGGGCCCCAAAGGUCAUAAAGAAAUGAAAAAGGCCCAAUGGUAAGUUAAUGUUAUAUUUUAAGGUUUAUUGGUAGUUUAAUAUUGUGCAUAUUUUGGAUGAAAAAUAUGCAAGUUGCUUAAGGAAUUUUUAAUUAAGUUGCUACUCAUACAAAUGUGUGAUUAAGUAUACUGAGUUUAAAUUGUUGCUAAAAAAGUUUGUCAUGGAGGAGUGCCGAACGAAGUAUGUGAUCGACAAAUAGGAAUAAUUAUAUACGCGUACGAAUCAAUAGUGAAGUAAUAUCCCAUUAUUAUGAGGUGAGUAAGGGGUGUCAAUUUUAAAAAUUUCAUAUAUAUACAUGUACGUAUAUUUUAUGUGAAGUGCAAAAUUUAUGGAAAGCAUGCGUUGAUAGAAUUUUAAGGAAUUGUGGGUGUAAGUUAUUUUUAGAAAUCAUUUGAAAUAUAUAUAUAUGUAUUAGACGUAAAGUGUUUUAAACAGGGAAACAAGCUUUUCGAAAAGAUUUACAUCAAAGGAAAUUGUGCCUUAUUGUUUGUGUGGUGUGCAUUCAUGAAAUUUAUUACAUAUUCACCAUGCCAUUUUGAUACAAAAUAUCAUGAAAAUAUUUACAAUGAACAUUUUACGAAAAGAGAGUUUUAACGUGAUCUGGGGAUCGAUAUUUUGAGAAAGAUUUAAAAUAUCCCCUUGAAGAUCAAAUUUGAAUUCUUUUAAAAAGUAAUUUCAUUUUAACCAAGAAAUUCAAGAGUAAUUGGAGACUACUACUUGUUGUGUUAUAAAUUGUAUUUUGAAUUGAAUGGCUUAUGAUAAUGUGGGAAUGAAUGGCUGGAUUGGUAUUUGUAUUGAAAAUGUAUAAACUGUUGUUUGCCUUGAUAGGCUGGAUAAUGAUAAAAUUGCCAUGUCAUGCUGUUGAAUUUUUAUUGAAUUUGUGGGUUUAGCUUGCUGCAGUGGGCGGGUUCUGUGGAUCAGCCUUUUUGAGGGACACAGAAUUUGGGUAUAUUCUUACCUCGGUUGGAGAGGCGUGUAGGAUAACUCUCAAGGUACAACUUUAGAGUUCACUUCAUGCCAAACUACCACGUGAGGGUGAACUCAGCCAACGCUAAGGAACGGCUAUGUUUUCAAAAUAAAAAUAUGAUUUAUGUGUACAUGACUCUUUAACAGCCUUGGCGAACUCGGUUAGGAUAGCCUCAAGCCAAGGUAUCCCUGAUAACUGAGUAUGAGAAUGAUUUUGGCACAAGCCAAGUUUCUAAGAAAGUCAUAAGCCAUGUUGUUUGUUUUUGAAAAAAAUGUAAUGGUUUUAUCUGAGUUGAAAUAAGUUUUAAUAUUAUGAAUUAUAUUUCUCUGCAUGGUGAAAAUGAAAUUAAACAGCUUUUCGCAGCUUCCUUGUUUGUUUAUCUAUGAAAUGAAUCUGUAAUUCCUCGCAUAUAGGGCGAGUUAUGAUUUGUGCAUGAUUUUAAAUAUUAUUUGGUUUCGCGGGAGCUCACUAAAUUUUAUUGAUUUGAUUCGAAAAUGAUUAUUAAUAUAUUUUGAUGCGAAAAAUUUUAUUACCUCGAUUAUUUAUACUUUAUAAGAAAUUCUCGAUUUUUAUAUAAGGCACAAACCCUCGUUUGAAACGAGUUGCUUUUAUAAUCUUACAUUUUUAUAUUCAACUGAUCUGUCGUUCGCUUGUUUCCCAUCUACGCCCUACUAGCUGAGUCGAUGAUUAUCACUGAGUUUAUGAGACUCACACCCCUUUAUUUCCCUUUUUGCAGAUAGGGAUCCGCCUAGCGUGUAAUCAGUGACGCAUUCGGUCCACCGUGAUAGGUAAAGGCAUCUCCUAGCAUUUUAUUCUGAGUCGCUCCACUGUUAGAGGUCAAGUCGUAGCAUUUUAUUUAUUAAGUUGUAAACGAAUUCUAAAUUUUUAUAUAAGCAUUAAUUUAAAGAUUAUAGAUUUUAAUGCAUAUACUUACGAAUAAAAGGAAAAAGUUUGUAUUGAUUUUUGUAUUUAUGGUUCAAUUUAUUAUAUGAAAGUAUCAAUAUUAUAUAGUUAUUGAAUGUAGUGGAUUAACGAGCAAAUUCUAGACAGGCUUGUUCGAGACUUGGCGAUCUUUUUUGGAAGUCUUGGACGCUGGUAGCAACCGGGGAGAGGUCGUUGCACCGUGUGCCAUGUGUUAUGUUGAUAUAUAUAUAUAUCUAAAUAUAUAUGAUAUGUAUUGAUAACAAUAUUGUUUGUACUUAUCACCGAGCAUGUGCGCAAUAUGGGGGAGCACAUGCUGGGUGUGGGAGUGUGGAUGAUGAUAUUGCUUGUGAGCGAUGUGAGAGAUGCACACGAUGACUCCAGCUAUGUGUACGAUGUGGGGGUUGCACAUGAGCUGGGUGAGAUGAUGGUGGUAUUGGUGGUUAUGUAUGUAUAUAUAUAUAUAUAUUUAUGCAAUAGAAAGUUCAUGAAUAUAGUAUAUGGUUGUAAUGUAUGUGAAAUCUUAUAUGUUGAACCUUGGGAAUUGCUAAGUAUUUUGAAGUUGAUUUUGUCAUUGCAGCAGAAUGGCCUUUUCUUGAUAUAAUGAAAACUUUUUCUUGGUGUCCUGUUUCUCGUUGAGUGAUAAACUCUCGGGUUGGGAGGCUGGCUAUAGCCUUGUAACUCACUGCAGCAAGAAUACAUUCUCUCUACAACGAGAUGCCUAUGGGAAAUUUCAUUGCAGCGAGAAUUCAUUCUCACUGCUGAGAGAAACCUUAUGUUGUGCUUGCUACCUUGUUUGGUUACGACCCUAUUUUUCACUUCUUUAGCACCAUAAUUGAUCUUGGACUUCCAACAUCAAGGAAUUAAUUGAUUAAGUUUGUAAUGAGGGGUUUUAGUGAGAAUGCCUUUCCUCUGCAGCGAAAACCCAUCAUUUCGCUUGACUUGCUUGAAUGCUACUAAAGUUUUCACUCUUCAAAUUCUUGGUUAUGUAUGGAUCUUUCAUCAUCAAGUGAUUAACCAAUUAAGGGUUUAAUAAGGGGUUUAAAUAAGAAUUAAAUAAAUUGCAUUAUUUUUGAAAAUAAGUGCAUCAUGAUUUCUUAAACUUUUCUUAUUGUUUGCUUGUUCCCUUCCUUUGUUCACUCACUGGGUUUAUACUCACUAUUUUCAACUUCAUGUUUUUAGAUCAGGAGGCAGUCGGUAACUAGAUCGAGGUGUCGUCGUAGAUUCAUCUCCUUGGUAGGUAUCUCAACAUUCAAUAGUUGUACUUUCGCCCGAGUCUCUCUGUUGGAAGUCAGGUAUCCUUUUUGUUGUGUAUAGACAAACCCGAUGUAAAUUAUUAAGAUGUAUGUUGUAGACGAUACAUGCAUAUUUUGAUUGGUAAUGCCACUAUGAAUUGGUAAUGGUUAGCAUUAUUUUGAAUUGGAAUUAUGAAAUGUGACUUUAGCAACUUUUGAUGGAUUGAUAAAUAGGUAAUAUAAAUAGGCUUGCUUGGGCUUAGUGAGCUACGUCCAUUAGGCUCAUGCGCCGGUCAUGGCUCAAAAAUUUGGUCAUGACAGCUGAUGAUCACUGAGUCUAUGAGACUCACCCCUCUUUUUUCCUUUUGCAGAUAGUGAUUGGCCUAACAUGAAAUUAUCAGCACUUAUGGUCCACCGUAAAGAGGCAUAGGCAUCUCAUAGCACUUUAUUUCGAGUCGUUCUGUUGUUAAAGGUCAAGUUGGUCAUAGCAUAAGUUAAUUGUAGAUAGUGUUUGUGAGACCCCAACCUCUAUAGGCUUGUAGCUAAGCACAGAUGUAAUAAUACGAGCUAGGGGUAGUUUUGUCAUUUUUUGUAAUAAACUCCCAGAAGAAAGUUUUAUGAUAUUUUAAGGCUUAAAUGGGUAUAAGACUACAUAAAUGAUGUGUGCUGAUGAAAACACAAAGAAAACUAGAAGUUUCAAUAAUUUUCAUAACAGGGGUAAAAUGGUCAUUUUUCACCUCGAGUUCAAAUUUUAUGUUUUUAUGAACCCGAGCAUGUUUGGACCAUUAUGGAUAUUGUCCCAGUGUUAAAAGAGCAAAAAGAUUGCAUAAAAGAUUGGAGUAGAGUAAGUUAAUUGGUGAAGGGGCAUUUUCUUAAUUUUAAAGGAAAAGAUAAGAUUGCCUAUAAAUACCUUGAAUUUCUAGCAACUUCUUGAAUUUUCUAGCAGCUGGUCUUCUUCUUCCCUUCUCCUCUCUCAUGUUUCUUCAAACUCCAUGGAAGCUUGAUUUUCAAACUUCCAUAACUUUCUCUCUCUAGCUCCAAUUUUCAUGCUUUUGGUGCACCCUUCCAUAAACCCUUGUGCUAUUUCAUUUUCUCACUUCAAAAAUCUUGAAAUAUCUUGUUUUCAUGCUUUCUCUCACUAGUUGGGCGUUUUAUAGAGAGAAAGAGAGAAUCACUCCAUUGAUUUGGAAGCUAUUAGAAGAGAAUCCAACUAUAAAGGAACCCUAGGGUGAGUGUUGCACCAAGUUUGAUUUUUAGCUGCAGAAAAUGGCUAGUAAUUGUGAUUUAUGAGCUGUUUUAUUGUUUAGUAUGUUCAUUACUUUUUAGUGAUUAAGAUAGUGAUCAUAAAUAGCCAUUUAAAGUGGCAAUUGAAAACUAGCUAAGAGAUAGCUUUUAGAGUUCAUAGUGUGUAAAUUAAUGUUAUGAUAAGGGUAUAUGAUUGCUAGUGGUGACAUAUGCCCAAAGGAUGAUUUUUGGCAUAUCGCAAAAUGUGGAAUAGAUAUGUUGGAAUUAAUGUUUUGAUUGUGUACUUGUGAUAGAAAGCAAGUGCUGCAAAUUGUGGUAUAGGCUUAGAAGAAAGCCAUAUGAUUGAGAAUGAUUAAUGUAGCAGCCUUACGGGUAGAAGAAUUGCUUUGAUAAAGUAAAUUCCAACAGCCAUAGCGACACAACAUUGACUCUUCAGCGCUGCAGCGUUUAAGCCACCUAAUUUCCAAUAGCUACAAUGCCUCAACGUUGACUGUCCAGCACCUUAGCGCUAAGAACACCUCAUGUCUAUGACGCAUGAGCAAGAUGUGAGUGGCAUGGUGAUGAGCUUACAAGUGAAAUUAUGGUCCCGGACUUGAUGUUAAGCUUUGUUAAUUGGAGUUAUAAGUGUUUUGGAGAAUGUUCAUAUGAAUGAAUUGAAAAGUUUCUUUAUUGCCUUGUAUGCGGGCGUAACGACCUCUAACCUGAUUGUUGCCGGCAUCCGAGACUUGCAAGUAAACCCGCCAAAUCUUGAACAAGCCUAAGUCGACCUUCCUAUUAAUUCCAUCAAAUAUACCUUCAAGAAUACAUUGACUAGCAAUAAUGAUACUAUCGUUAACAAUUAACAUGAUCAAAUGUCAUUAAACUCCAUACAAAAUUAACGUCACACUUAAUAUUCAUUACACAAUCACAAGUCUUUAACAAAUAUAGAUCCAUAAGGUUAACAAUACUUUAUAACAUCUAGCGGUUCUACGUGACACGACCCUAGGUAGUGGAAUGACUGGGAGUGGAGGGCUACAAGAUGCCACUACCUACGUCAUAGCAAAACAAGAUAUGUUAGACAACAUGCUUACAAUGAUCACUUGUCUGUAAAAGAAGGUGAAGGGGCUGAGUCUCACAUAUUCAGUGAUCAUCAACUCCGUGAGUAGGGUGUAGAUGGGAAAUAAGCUAAAAGUAGAGAAUUUGAAUGUUAAAAAUGAAGAAUAUAUAAACAGCUUAACUUAAAAAGGGAUGUGUGCCUUACAGGUAAACCAAGAAAUUUAAUGCAAGAUAAUUAAUCCAAAUCAUCAUUAUAUACGUAUCAAAACCAUUUAAUAUACACAUGCAUGCUCUCGUCAAGCUAAACUCUUGGAAAACUUAUAAGCAAGUUCACAAAUCACCUCAUGCAUGAGGAGUUAAAACCACAUCAUUGUAUAAACAAGGAAGCUGUCGAAAAUCUUAUUGCUCUCACCAUGUGUAGGAAUAUGAGUUCGAAAACCCAAAGAGACUUUACUCUCGAGUAGAAAAUAAAAUAAAACCCGUGGACCCAUUUCCAUGUAUUAACAUUUGGGAGCCCCACUCCAUCGGAUCUUACAUGCCAUGGCAGUCUCAACGAUGUUGGUUGACAUAAGAGAAAUCAAGCGAUCACAACCCUGAAUAUCACUGGUGGCCUAGCCACAUAUAUAUCAUAGACCAUGGCCCCAACCAUGUCUAACAACCCGUCGGUGACCCAAGGUUUCUUUAGCUAGAGUUCACUUGUGCACAAGGGUCACACUUAACCGAAGUGACAACCGGUAUACUCUCGAAUCUCCCGAUUUAGUUAAACCAUUUAAAAAUCGAGUUACGUUUUCAAAGGCUCAUUUCAAAACCUUUAUAAGCUUUGUAAUAUAAAAUCAUUGCAUGAAGUUAAUGUAUAAAUUCGUAUGGUGAACAUAUGUUUAUUUCAUGAAUGCACACCGCACAAACAUCAAGGGACAAUUGAUAGAAAAUCAUGGUGUAAAGGCUUGUUUCCCAUUUAAAAAGCACUUUACUUAUCUAACUUAUAUAUAUAAUAUCAAACAUUUCCAACCUUCUAAAAACAUUCACAAAGUUCCUAGGAUUCUACUAGCUCAUGUUAUCCACAAAUUUGGGUUUAAAGUAAAUCAAUAAGUAUAUAUAUAUAUAGUUACGAGAAUUUUUAAAAUGGACACCCCUUACUUACCUCGCAAUAGCGGGAUGCUACAUCGUUAUUGAUUCAUGUGCGUAUAUAACUAAUCCUAUUUGUCGAUCACUCCUUACCUCGGCCAGCACACCACCACAGCUCACUUCCUCUAUUUAUACAUUUCCUAGCAACCAUUCAAACACAAUUCUCUUAUGUACUUGUGCAUGACAGCAAAUCAACAAAUAAAUUCUUAAAUCUUAACAUGCACAAUUCUUAUCCUUAUUUUCUUCCACAUUGCAUCCUUACAACAUCAAUGUCACCACCAAUACAAGCAUUCCUCCUAAUCUAUAACCAUAUAACAUAAACAACCAAAGAUUUGGCCACAACUUGCCUUACCUUUACUCAAUAAUUCAACUCGAGCUUAAAAUCAAGAAAUCUCACAUUCCUUGUGGUUCACAAACAUGCAUGGUUUCCUCUUACUGUCACAAACAUUUUCACAUGUUAUAAUCGGUUUAAAAAGCAAAUAUUCUAUCAAACUAACAAUUUCUACCUUCCUUACCUUGAAAUCUUUAUGCCAAACCUCCAAGCUCUCCUUGAUUCUCAACAAUGGCAUAUGGGUCGGAGGAAAAAGCUCUUGAUUUUUCUCUAAGUCUUCCACCCAAACCUUCCCUCAUUUCUCUCUUUUUCUUUCUUUCUUUCUUUCCUUUCUUUUCUCUUUUCUUCUUUCUUUCUUCCCCUUUCUCUUUCCUCUUUGGCUAUGGGCGGAUUCUUUCAAGUUGAGCCUUGAAAAUGUUUGGCUUUCCUUGUUUAUUUUUGCACUCAUACGGGCGGAUUGCCCAAUGUUUGCCUUUUUCCUUAUUUUUCUUUUCUUUUUUCUUUGUUUUCUUACCAUGGGCAGAUUGCCCAAUGUUCCAUAGCUUUUUGACUUUUUUCCCACUUAUUUUAUGGUAUAAAAUCACAUGGCAAAAGGCAUUGCCACCUUCCACCCACCACUCACAUUUCAUUCUUUAUUUUUCAUCAUUUUUCAUUUCUUUAUUUCUUAUACCAUUUUUACUUUAUAUCUUAUUUAAUCAUUUAUUGUCCCAUCCAAACCUCAUUCACCCCACUUUCUUCUUCCCUCAUUUGACCACCAUUGAACCAAUCACCUUUCAUGCAAACCAAUUUUUAAUCUUAUUCUUUCUUUUACUUUACAUGGUAGGGGUCCCACAUGUCUCUCACUAACUUUUCCUUUUUGCAUGCUAUGGUUGCAUUUAAUACUAACUUUUACAUGUACAUCACAUUUUCCACUUAGUCUAACCUUCCUUGGUUAGCAAAUUCCCCUUUUUAACUCUAAAUAUUGAAAUUACAAAUGAGUCCUCAAACUUUUUCUUAUUUACCAUGCGACCCCUCCAACUUUCAUCCUUUAUAAUUGGGCCAUUCCAACAUUUCUUAUGUCAUGACCCGAUACUCCCCUCGAGCCCGUGACAACCGUCGCGGCUUCCUGAUAGACAUUCAUUGCCCAAAAUGCCAACCAAAACCUCGCAAGGCUUUAAUAUCAGCUUUCGCACCUCCCUUGUGAGCAACAGCUGUUAAGUAUCAUGUUUUGAGAGAUUAUAAACUAUUUCCAAAUCAAAACAAUAGAAAAAUAAUUUUUUUUCUGACGGGCAUUUUGGUCAUUUUUUCUCAAAACUCUCGAAACUAGCUAAAAAUGUAGUAUGCGAGUGGAAAACACAUAUUUCAUAAUAAAAAUAAGUUUAGAUGUCUAAUACAUACAUUUAAAGUGAAACUAUACUUAUUUGAAUAUAAUAAAAAUAUUCAAUAAAAUAUUUUAUUUUCUUAUAAAACAAUAUUUAUAGAGUUACCGGUAAAUAAUUUUUGUAGCGUAAAAGCUAAAUAAAUUCAUACAUACUGUAAUACAGAUAACCAAAGCAUAAGAUUUUAUUUACAGUGACACGUGGACCGACGAACGACCAAAAGUAUCAAAAGCGAUAAACCUACAGUUUUUGAGGAUGCAAGUCCAACUGUAGCCCUCAACGAAAUGAGCUAUCUACCGACUAUCCUAAGUCUGAAAGGGGUGGAAAGGAGGGUGGUGAGAUUAUAUAAUCCCAGUGAGUAAACAAAUAUCAUCUAAAAUAUCUAAAGCCAAGUAAAUGGAGACAGACAAAAUAGAUUAGCAUAAAAAUGAUUCACAUCAUUUCGAACUCAUUUUAAUAAGAUAAAAUAGAUUCAUUUCAUCCAAAUAAACAACGAGGCUUAUGAUUUCCUGAAAAGCUUGGCUGGUGCCAAAAUCAUUCUCAUACUCAAUUAUCAGGGAUACCUUGGCCUAAGGCUAUCCUAAUCGAGUCCGCCAAGGCUGUUAAAAAGUUAUGUACGCAUAAAUCAUGUUUUUAUUUUGAAAACAUAGCCAUUCCUUGACGUUGGCUGAGUUCACCCUCAUGUGGUAGUUUGGAGUGAAGGUUGUACCUCAGGAGUUACCCUACGCACCUCCCCAAUCGAGGUAAGAAUAUAACAGGAUUACGUGCCCCUCAAAAAGGUUGGUCCACAAAACCCGCCCACUGCAACAAGUUAAACCCACCAUACAAUAAAAUUUGCAAUAGCAUGACAUAGAAAUUAUUUUAUUUUACAGCCUCUCAAGGAAAAUCAAUAGUUCAUACAUUUUCAGCACAUUUACCAAUUCAACCAUUCAUGCCAAUAUUAUCAUAAGCCAUUCAAUUCAAACCAUGAUUUAUAACACAGCAAUUAGUGUCCAAUUACUUCAUUUUCAAAACCAUCUUUCAAUUUCAAGACAAUUUUAUAAAAUCAUUUCAUUUAAUCACAUUUUUGCUUAUAAAACAUAAAGAUUUACCAUUUAAACUCAUUUUCCAUAAAAUCACAAAAAUGAAUUAAAAUUCACUUUAGAUAAUCAAGAUGAUGAUAAGGUUAUUCACUGUAUCAGGAGUUUGAAAUACUUCUAUUCUCAGUCCUCUGACACAACGUCUUUACCCUUGUUAGAGAGCUCACCACCUAUAUACAAUACACGACACAUAAUUCAAUAUAUUGUGUCAUACCAUUAUAAAUCUAUUUCAGACUCUUUACUAAUGCAUGAAAUGGGAUGUGAAAUGCUCGAGUAACCAUCUAAAUACGGUGUUCAAUAUAAGUUCAAUUGUGUACCUAACUAAAAUGGUAUCGGCCUAAUUCGAUCUAUCACCCGAUUAAUUGGCCAAUACGUCCAAUUCAACUCCAAAUAAUUUCAUUUUUCUCCCAAUACUCCAAAUCAUCAAACAUAAGUCAAAUAGCAUAAAAUUUAGCAAAAAUCAUCUUCACAUUUUCUCUUGGGAAUUUCGGCCAUGGUGGGUGCAUCAAUACUAUGAUUUUUCCUACUUGAUUUUCUCACCGUAAUUCAUCAUUUCCUAACCAAUUCACUUGAAAUAAAAUCAAAAUCAUCAUCAAUAUUCUACAUGGAGAAUUCGGCCAAUGAGGGUUAUGGAAGAACAUGAAUUUUUCUUGCUUGAUUUUCAUGCUACACAUCACCAAUCAACUAAAAACACUAGAAUAUCUUAAAAUCUAACCAAAACAAUCAUCAAAAUCUCUCUCUAAGUGUUCAGCCAGCAAAAUACCCAUCAUGAAAUCAUGUGAUUCAACCAUGAAAAAUGCAAAAGAAUGUAUGGGAAAGGUAGAUCACAAGUCAAAAUCAAGAAAUUUUACCUUUGAUUGCUUGAUACUUGAAAUCCACGAAUUUUCUCUUGAAUUUUCACUCUAGGGUUUUUGUUCUUUCUUUUCUUCCUUUGUUCGUGCUUUGGCCGGCCAUAAGAAUGAAUGUGGAAGAGUUCAAAUUGGCUUUAUAAAGGAAAAUAUUGAAUGGAGAAAAAUUUGACAUGUGUCACCAUUUCAUUGGUCCAUGUGUCAUACUUACCCAUUAAGCAAUCUCUCUCUACCACUUAAAUUUCCUCAAUUAUCCAUGAUAAUAUUGGGUAAAAUCCAUGUGCUGGACAAGUGUCGAGUGGUGUAGAAUUCCGAUUUUGCCCUUGGGCGACAAAAUGAUUAUUUUACCCUUAUGCUUUAAAAAAUGUCGAAAUUAAAAUUUUUCACUUCUUAAACUCAAAUUAUGUUCUAAAUAGUCAAUCUUGAUCAAAAACUUCUUCCAACAUUCCAAUUUUAACCUCAGGUGGCAAAAUGACCACUUUGCUCCUAGGUCAUCAAAAUUCCAAUUUGACUCUAUAUUGGUCCUCAAACUCCGAAUCACCAUCUUAAGUCAUUCUAGGGUUUUAAAAUUCACAAUUUCAUCUUAAAAUCUCUAUUUGUACUAGUUUGAGGUUUAAUUCAACUUAAUUGUACCAUUUGGUACAUUGUCGUCUUUUAACGAUUUUCAAGGUACCCAAGUAAUCAAACAUGCAUUCUUAUAUAAGAAUAGCAUAAUAAACAUAUUGUAGAGUCGGGCUUGACAUUUUAAACUCCAAUUUCCUUAUAUUUUCCUUCCUAAACAUGUGUACAAACAAAAUAUAACGUUUGCAUUCCAACACGGUAUCACCAUAAUAUUUAAAUAUAUACUUACCCGCGCUAGCUCAAUUUAGUAAAAACAAGUGGGCCCCACUAACAUCAUUUUUCCUUCAAAAUCCUUUCUACUUCUUCUCCUCCACUUGGAUUAGUCAUAUAACUCUUCUUUCUAACUAACUUCAAUAAUGAAUAAAAGAUUAAUAUUUUAAUAUUAUUUUAUUCAUAAAAUAUUAUUUCAUUCUAAAAUAUUCUUUUUGCUUGUCACCGCUCUCUGGCACUUAAAUUAUACGUCAAAUGACAUUUCAUGUUAUCGAUAAGGCCUUAUUGGCUUCCGAAUAAGGGUACAGGGCAUUAUAGUGGGCAUGUAAUUAAAAGAAAAGUUGAAAGUUCUUGAGAUGGCUACAUUGAGAUAAGAUAUAAUGUGAAGUAUUAAAAUGAACACUAUGUUGACUAAAGUCAAAUCUUAAGAAUAAAGAAGACAAGAGAGUAAGCCUUGUCAAAGGCUAAGGAAAGAGUGGGUGAAAGUUUAGAUGAAAGUAUGAAACAUUGAUAAAGGAAUGCCAAUACCAAGUGAGGGAAUUGUGAAUGAAGGAUUAUAAAGUUGGCGUAGCAAAUGAGCUAAUAUAACUAAAAGAUUGCUUUGAGGAUUUACAAAUCUUAUUUUGACAUAGUGGAAAGAAAAAGAGCAGUAACAACACGUUGUCAAUCAUGUGUCAUGCUAGAAACCCAUGAGCAUAAAUUGAGGUAUGAAUAGAUGAUUAUGCAUUCAGAUAUCUUGGAGAAUAAGUGUAUGCUUGUUGGAGUGGUAUGCUCGAAAUGCUAAUGAACAAAUAGGUAAUUAAGUGUUUCAAAAAUACAUCGAAGUUUUAAAAAGGAUGUACCAAACUACAUGUGGCAAGAAUGAUUGUUGGUAUUAUUUUGGAAUAUGUUAUAUGCACAAUGAUGUAAUGUGGUAUUUGGAAAUUGCUAAGGAGCCUAAUAGUUAAACCAUGAGUUAGGCAGUUACAUGUUGUGAGACAUAAACUUUAAGUGGGCAUUUGCAAGAAAAUACUCAAGAGGAAUCUACUAUGAAUCUUGUGAAAACAAGCAAUGAAUUGUGUAGUUACAAAAAAGAAGUUAUAAGUUUGAAAAUGAACACUUUUAAUGACAUUGAGAAGCAUUUAAGUAAAAUCCUGAUUCGAGUUUUAUAAUUACGAGUACUAAUCGUAUGAUGGAUAAAGAGGAAUGAUGUUACAUUAGUAUAAAAGAAUAGUACAAAAGAUGAUUGAAGGUAACCAUGCUAAUGAAGUCGGUUAAUGAAAACCUCCAAAUGUAUUAUGGAAAUUGAAAUUUGAAAACGUAUGAGUUAUGCAUGGCUCAAAUAAGUCUAAGUCUUAAGUGACUAAUUAAUAUUAAAAAGCAAUAAAGAUAUAAUGUAUAUGUUAGAGGUAUGAAAGAUAAUUAAGAAAUGAGGAUGACUUUUGGGAAUUGUGGUAUUGCAUAAGAUGCCAUGAUCAAGUAAUGAUGAAUCUUGAAGGGUCAAUGAGAUUAUAAAGCAUAUACAAAUAUUGGAUUGCAACUUAAUGAAAAGGAUGUUUAGCAAAUAAGAUGUGAUUAAUGACAUUAUGAUGCAAAAGGAUAUAUAUAGUACACUAAGACUUAUGCAUAUGAUUGGAAAUGAUAACAAAAAAAAGCAUAAACAUGUAAAUUAUGUGAAGUUAUGCAUAGGCACAAUGAGAAUCCGUAUGGAUUACACAAGAGAUAACUUAUGGUAGGAUGUAAGUUAAAUGGUAACUUAAACAUCCAAAAAGGUAAUCUGGAAUUGAUUAUGCCCUAAUAUUCAUGGAUUAAAUUUAAAUCAUAGGAAUGAAAUGGAAAAGUAAAAAGGGAAACAUGGACUACGAGAAUAUGAUUUUGAACCUUGGUUAUGGAUUACAAUGAAUAAAGGGAAUUUAGUUCGAACGCAGUUGACGAGGGUUCCUACGUAUAGUGAUAGAUGUCGACACUUAAAUGUGUUUGUACAUACAUAUAUGUGGAGAUGAUUAUGUGACCAACUAAAGUGAAGAAUUAUUCUUAGUGAUUUGAGAUUUGAACCCAAUAUGUUUGAUGAGAUGUAUAGAUGAUACAAUGAUAGAGGGCACUUUCAGAAAUUGAGUUAUGGUGAUAUGGAAGAAUUCUGAAGCAAUAGUCAAGGAAGGAAUAUCAGGAAAUGGAAUCUAUAGUGUGGUUAAGCCAUUCAAGAUGGGUUAAUAUGGUUGAGAUGUAAGAAUUGAUUAAAUUCUAAGACAUAGUUGUAUUGGACUCUCCAUAAGGCAAUAGUGCAAUGGAUGGAGAAUAAAUGGUGAUGGUACUAUAAUGUGAGUAUUUGGAGAAAUUGAUUAAGGAAGAUAAAAUUCAAUUUUGUCAAUGAUGAUCAAAAAGUUCUAAGUCACAAUAAUGAUAAUAUAUUUUGAGACAUGAAGAACUAGAGUUUAUGAAGAAAAUUUGGUGGUGAAUGAAAGGGCUUACAAUUAAAGUUAAAGAUCUGCAAGAGAGUUACCUUUCCACAUGAUAUAAAUUGUAUCGAAUUAAGAAUGAUGCAGAAGAGUAAACCUUUGAACGUGCAAUUAAUGGAAAAAUUAAGAAGAUUGGAGUCGCAUAAAUGCAAGAUAAGCAUGAAGUAUGAGAGAAUAAUUGAAAGAUUCAACUUCCCUUAAUGUCAAAAAUUUAUAUAGGAAGGAAUAGGGCAUAUUUAUAAUGCCAUAAAGUUAUGUAACAGUGAAUAGGGAUAAGAUGAAUGAAUUUUGAAAAGUUUAACAAGAAUUGAAAUAAAGAUGUGGUAAUUAGGUAUACAUAAGUAAGCAUGAUUUGUGAUCAAAAUCGGUAUGAUUGAGAUUGAGAUGUGUUUAAGGUUUGUAAUAGAGUUAAAGGCAUACUUGAAAUCUUAGUUGUAAGAGAAAACAAAUGAUGAAGGGUACCGUUGUUUUGUCUCAAGGUGAUAAAAGGUGUAACUUACGUACCUAAUCUUGUAAAGUGUUCUAGUUAAAUUGAAAGUAAACGAAGUGACUAAAUCAAAUUCCCUAUGAAGAAGGAAAUGGAAUAAGAUCAAAGAGUGAGAUUAAUGACCCACCUCUGAUGUGAAUUCAGGGAUGAAUUCUUUUUAAGUGGGGGAGACUGUAACAUCCCGUACCCUUGUAUGGAAGCCAAUAUGACCUUAUCGACAAGAUCAAGGGUCGAUUGAUGUAAAUCUAAGUGUCAAAAAAUAGUUAAAGGAUAAAGGAAUUUAAUACCUCGUACUUUGAUAUGGUGGCUAAUAAAGCUUAUCGGAUGUCAAUUAAGGUUAAUUAUAAUAUUUAAAAGUGAUGAAAGGUGAAAGAAAUAAUUUGGAGAAAAAUAUUUUGCACACGAAGAAAUAAUAAUUGAAUAAUAAUAUUUUUAUUGAGCAUGAAUUAGUGAGAUAAAAAGUGAUUUAGAAGUGAAUCGGGCCAUGAUAAGACAUUUUGGGUGCCAAGAAGACACAUGAAAAAUUUUAGAAUAAAAUAAUAAUUUAUUAAUAAAAUAAUAUUAAAAUAUUAUUAUUUUAUUCAAUGUCAAAAUUUUCCAUGAAGAAUGAGUAUAUGAUCAAUCUAAGUGGGGAAGAAGAAGAACGAGAAAAUUUCAAAGGAAAAUGACGUUAAUGGGGCUCGCGUGUCUUUAUUAAAUAAAACUAGCGCAAGUAAGUAAAUAUUUAAAUAUUAUGGUGAUACCGCGUUAAGCUAUAAACUUGAUAUUUUAUUGGUACAAGUGUUAAGGAAGAAAAAUAGGAAGAAAUUGGAAUUAAAAGAUUGUGGGAGGAAUUAAUUAAAAAUGGUGAAAACCUUGAAGGGUAAAAUGGUAAUUUUGCAUUAGUCAUCCUUAUCUCAUGGCCGGCCAUCAUGUCCAAGGCAUUAUCUUCCUUCUUGUUCUCCUUCCAAUGCCAUUUUCAUCCUCCACCAUAAAAAUCAAGCUUUUUUUCCAUUUUCUUUUGCUUCUUUUCUUUUCAUUUCUUUUCUUUUCUUACUUCUUUCUUCUCCUAACUUCUUGGGCACCAAACCUGCAGCUUCUAACUCCAUUUUUCAGCACAACUAAACCCUAGGAAGGAGAAGGAAAAAUCUCUCUUUCUUUCCUUUAUUUUCUAUUUCUACUCCGCCAUCAUCGCCAACACUUGAAUUUUCAACUUCAAAUCUCCAUUUUUAAGGCUAAAAGGUAUAUAUUUUCAACUCUUGAAAUUUAUGAAUUUAUGGGUUAUAUUUUCAGAUUUUAUUUCCUAAUUUCUUCAAAUUCCUUUUCUUGGAAAUAUUAGGCUUUUGUUGAUCUUUAUGCCUCCAAGCUCACCAAGGUAAAGAACUUUUAAAUUGGAAUAGUUGAUAUGAUGGGUUUGAGAAUUAGACUAGAAUUUUAGGUUAAAAAUUAGGCUAAAAUGUAGUUUAUCAAGCGUAUGAUUAUUUGAAUUAUUAAGUUUAAAUUUAUGAUAUAUUUGAAGCUAUUAUCGUUUAUUGGCAAUUAUAGGUUUUAAUGGUAUUUCGGGACUACCUGGAUUAAGAUUUUGUUAGGUGGCAUCGUUAGGUGAGUGAACUUGCAUUUAAAAAUGUUUUAGGAUAAAUACACAUGUGUUUGAAUGAAUCAUUUGAAAACUUUAUUUGCCUUUGCUUUAAAAUGUGCUUGGGAACAAGCCCUUGAUGAAAUGUCUUUAUGUUGUGAAAUUGUGCAAUGUAAUUAACUCAUGUGUUCCUAAAUUAUGCAAUACGUAUAAUGUGAUGAAUUACAUAUUUGAAAUAUUAUGUUGAAUUGACAAUUGAUUUGUGGCAUGUGAUGUAUUGUUAUGCAAAGAUACUUGUUACAUGUGCCAUGCAUUGAAAUGUAAUGUUGAAUGAGAAUUGUAACAACACGUGUGCGGCGUGGGAGUGCACAUGCUGGUGAUGACGAGUAAUUCCAGCUAUGUGCGGUGUGGGAGUGCACAUGAGCUGAUGACCGACGGGUGAUGAUUCCAAGUAUGUGCAGUGUGGGAGUGCACAUGAGCUGAUGACCGAUGGUUGUAUACAUGUUUACACAUACCAUAGAAAUGUUAGAGAAAAUAUUAUUUGAUUGCAUUGAAUGUUGAAAGUUGAACUUCCUAAAUGUUUUAAAAUGAGUUUAAGAACAGCACAUCAUCGAGUUUUGUUCAUAAUAUACAAGUUUGCAUUGCUUUUAAAUGAGUGCAUCAUGUUUUCGAAAAACUCUCCGUAUCGUUUGCUUGUUCGUUUCCUAUGUUCACUCACUGGAUUUAUCUCACUCUUUUUAACUUCAUGUUUUCAAAUUCAGAGGUAGUUGGGACCUAGAUUGAAGUGUCCAUUUGUAUUCGCCAUUUGGUAGGUACCAUGGCAUUCUGUAGAGGCACCCACAUCCAGAGUCACUCUGCUGAUAGUCAAGGUCUUUUGCAUGAGUAUAUAUAGUUACUUAAAUAUAAAUUAUGAGAUUGUUGUGCACUUUGUAUGUUGAUUGAUUAACCAUGUCGUUUAGGGUUGACGAAUGAUAAUCCUAUUUUGGGAACGUUAUAUAUAUAUAUAUAUAUAUAUAUAUAUACUACUUNAUAUAUAUAUAUAUAUACACUUGGUUCUCACAGUCUAAUUUCAAAAGAACAUUCAUUAGAAAUUACAAGUAUUAGAUCUUAAAGAAAGAGAGGCUUGCUUGGGCCUGGUGGGCUAUGCCUAUUAGGCCCUUGCGCCGGUCAUAGCUCGGGAAUUGGGCUGUGAUAGGAAUAUUUUGAAAUAAAAUAUUCUGCACGUGAGAAUAUAGUAAUUAAGUAGUAAUAUUUUAUAAAGAAUGAAUUAACGAGUUAAAAAGGUGAUUCGGAAGAUAACCGGGACAAAGUGAGACAUUUUGGGUCUCGAGGAGACAAGUGGAAAAUUUUAAAACAAAAUAAUAAUUUUUGAAUAAAAUAAUAUUAAAAUAAUGCCGAUGUCAAAUUGGUUAUAUUACAUGAAGAAUGUGCAAUUUGUACAAUUUGUCUAAGUGGGGGAGUGGAAGUAAGGAAGAAUUUUGAAGAAAAUGACAUUAGUGGAGCCUGCAUGUCUUUAUUAAAUAAAGCUAGAGCGGGUAAGUAUAUAUUUAAAUAUUAUGGUGACACCUUGGUGAAGCGAAAAUUUGAUAUUUUAUUUGUACAUAUGUAAAGGAAGAAAGAUAGAAGGAAAUUGGAAUUAAAAGAAAUGAUUGAAGUACCAAAUUGUAAAGGAUGAAAAGUAUGGAGGGUCGAAUGGUAAAUAAAGCAAAGUUGAGGACUUAUGUGCAAUUACAAUAUUUGAAGCUAAAUGGAAAUUAACUAACCAAGGAAAAAUUAGGUUGUGUGGGAGGAUGGAAUAUGCAUGUAAAUUCACUAUUACAUGCAAAAAUAUGCAUGCAAGGAGAAAGUUAAUGGGGAACAUGUGGGACCCCCACCAUGUGAAGUAAAAAGAAAAGUAAGCUUAAAUCUAUUUGUAUGUAAGGACAUUGGUGCAUUAGGUGGCCAAAUGAGAAAUAAGAUGGGAGAAUGCAUGAAGGACCAUUGGUUGGCAAAGUGGUCAAAUGAAAAUAAAGGAAGAUUGGUGCAUAUAUUGCGAUUGGUUCCAAUAGGCGGCCAUAUAAAUACUAAGUUGCAAGAGUGAAAGAGAGAAGUGAAGAGGACUUUGGUGAGACUUGAGGGCUAGCCAUUUAAAGAAGAAAAGAAAGGAAAGAAAGCUUGAGAGGUUCCUCCCAAAGUAGAGAUUACUUAACGUGCCACACAUUUUGGGAGCAUGCAUACUUUUAUACUAUUAUUCGUAUUUUGAUGCAAAGUGAUGCUUUUAAUGUUUGAAAUCUAAUUUUGAUACGUUCGUUUUUGGCAUCUUUUGCCAAGUGAAAUAUUGCAUUAUGAUUUUAAGGCAUUAUUUUUACGAGGCACAAACACCUUACUUGUGAUUUGAUUUUUCUAAUAUUAUCAUUUUUUAUUUCGAUUUUACUAUUCAAAAGAUCUACUUAAGCUUGUUUCUCAUCUACACCAUACUCACGGAGCCGAUGAUCACUAAGUCUAUGAGACUCACCCCUUUUUUUCCCUUUUACAAAUAGUGAUCGGCCUAGAGUGUAACCAUUGGCACUUCUGGUCCACCGCGGAUAGGUAAAGGCAUCUCAUAGCACUUUAUUUGGAGUCGCUCCACUACUAAAGGUCGAGUCGGUCAUAGCAUAAGUUAAUUAUAGAUAGUGUCAAUGUAAAUGUGCAGUUGAAUAUUAUAGACUUUAACGUAUCCUUACAAUUAUGGUGAAUAAAGGUUAUGAUGGCUUAUUAUGAUUUAUGUCCAAAUCUUAUUACAAGAGUUAUAUGGUUCAAGGUAAUUUUACAGGUUGAUGGCAUGAAUAUGAAGUCAUAACAUGGAUUGGUAAACGAGUAUAGUGAAUUAAUGGGAAUUUCUAAUAAGGCUUGCUUAGGGCUUGGCUGGUUUUUUCUGGAGGUCUCGAACACCGAUAACGAUCGAAGAGCAGUCGUUACAGUUAUAGACAUCAAAUCUUAAGGUCAAGCAAGAUGAGAUAUCAUGUAACCAUGUGACUUGACCAAAAUUAUAGAUGAGCUAAAAAUGUUUUUCAGAAAGUUUAAUUGUGUUCAUCAUAAUCAAUUUCAUAUGCAUAACCAAGAAAUCAAUUUUGACACAAUCAAUUAAGGACAAUAAUAAAGUAUAUUCCAAAAAUUGAUUCUAGACAAAGCAUUUUAGCAUUUCAAUUUCUCAAGAAAUUUGUAACGACCCGUUUCUCGAUCGUUACCGACGUUCGAGUCUUGCAGAAGAACCCACCAAGUCCCAAACAAACUGUAUUAGAAACCAUUGUUAAUACAUUAUAUUCAUUCCACCUAUUCAUAUAAUCACUUUGAACCGUAUAACUCUUUGUAAUAUGAUUUAAUCCAAAAGUAGUAAUAAAUUGACUUAAACUUUAUUUCGCAUAAUUGUAAAAAUACAUCAAAGUUUAUAAUCUCCAAAUGUACAUUCGUAUUAACACUAAUGUCUAUUUUCAUAACAAAAUAAACUAUGACGACUUGACCUCUAGUAACAGAUUGACUCAAAAUGAAGUGCAAUGAGAUGCCUUUACCUAUCUGCAAUAGACAAUAAGUGCCGAUGAAUGCACGCUAGGCUGAUCACUUAUCUACAAAAAGGGAGAUAAGGGGGUGAAUCUCAUAGACUUAGUGAUCAUCGGCUUCGUGAGCAAGAUGAAGAUGGGAAACAAGCUUAGAGUAGAUAAUUUGGAGUAUAAAAUGAUAACCUUAUUAAACCAAAUAACAAAUAAGGUGUUUAUGCCUUGUAAAAAUAAUUUCGUAAAAAUCAUAGUGCAAUACUUUCCUUACCAAACCAUGCAGAAAACGAAGCGUAGUAAAAUAAAUUUCAAUUAAACAGGGGAGUUGCGAAAAAACAAUAUCUCUCCACCAUGCAAAAGAGUACAAGUCUAAAAACUCUCAAGGCUCUCGAGUGGGUAAUCAUAGAUGAUCAACCCGUGGAUCUUUUUCCACAUAAUAACAAUCUGGGAGGCCCCCCUCCACCAGAUUCCCAUAGCCAUGGCAGUCUCGACAAUGUUGGCCAACAUCGGAGAAAUCAUGUGGUCGCAACCAUGUAUAUCAACUCAUGGCCUUGUCACGUAUAACAACUCAUGGCCUUGCCAUGUAUAAUCACAGAUCGUGGCCUAGCCAAGUCUAACAGCCCGUCGGUGUCCCAAAAGGUUCUGUAGCUAAAGCUCACUUGUGCAUAAAGGUCACACUAUCCUGAUGUGACAUUUGGCCUACUCUCGAUGCUCUCUGUUUGUCAAAGCCAUUUUCAAAACCAAAUCAAGGUUCCCAAGAGUUUCCCUUAAAUCAUUUGAAAACAAGGUUUGAUAACCUUUCAAAAAUUGCUUUUCACUUUAAAAUGCAUGGUGUAAACAUUUGCAUAUAGCUUAGAUUAAACCGGCUCACAAGAAAUCAAAUUUAAGCCAUUUAUCAAGUGCAAUCAACUAUGCACACUUCACAAAGAUUCAAGGCACGGUUUUGAUGCAAAACAUUGCAAAAAGGCUUGUUUUCCUGUUUUUAAAGCACUUUACAUAUAUGUAUAUAUAUAUAUAUACAUACAUACAUAUAUAUAUAUAUAUAUAUANNNNNNNNNUAUAUAUAUAUAUAUACUAUACAUACAUAUAUAUAUAUAUAUAUAUAUACAUACAUACAUAUAUAUAUAUAUAUAUAUAUAUUCUACGCAAACAACUUCCAAAUCAAUUUGCAUCCAUAAUUGCCUAUGGUUUCUACCAGCUCAUGCUUUCCACAAAAGCAGUGGAGGUGCCACAUGUUCCCCACUACUAGUGCAUCCUUGCAUGCAUAUCUUUGGAUAUAAUAGUAUUUGUUUACAUGCAUAUUCCAUCCUCCCACAUAAUCUAGUUUUCCUUGGUUAGUUAAUUUUCAUUUAAUUUCAAAUGUUGAAAUUACACAUAAAUCCUUAAACUUUUUCUUAUUUACCAUUUGACCCUCCAAAACUUUUCAUCCUUUACAAUUUGGUCCUUCAAACAUUUCAUAAACUACAAUUUGAUCCUUCAACUUGUUCAUAAUUAUAGCUUUACCCCUUUACUUUUCGUUAUUUGUAAUUCCACCCCUUAACUUCUUAUUCUUUUCAAUUAGGUCCCCCCAUCAUUCCUUUAAUUCCAAUUUCUUUCUAUUUUUCUUCCAUUGCAGUUGUACAAAUAAAAUAUCCAAUUGACACUUCACCAAGGUAUCACCGCAAUAUUUAAAUAUAUACUUACAUUCUUUUGCUUUAUUUAAUGAAGGCAUGUGAGCCCCACUUACGUUUUUUUUCUUCAAAAUUCUUUCUUUCUUUUUCCCCCCUACUUAUAUUAGCCAUGUAGUCCUCCUUCAAGACUAAUUUCAACAAAGAUAAAAUAUUAAUAUUUUAAUAUUAUUUUAUUACUAAAAUGUUAUUUUAUUCCAAAAUUCUCCACUUGUUUCCUUGAGCCUUAAAGUGUCUUAUUUUGUCCCGAUUCACUUCCAUAUCACCUUUUAACUUGCUAAUUCAUCUUCGAUAAAAAUAUUAUUAUUUAAUUAUUAUUUUCUCGCAUGUGAAAUAUUUUAUUCCACAAUAUUCCUUUCUCCUGUCACCACUCUUUGGCAAUUAAAUUUACAUCAAUUGACCCUUCGUCCUGUCGAUAAGGUCUUAUUAACUCCUAUACGAGGGUACGGGGUGUUACAAUCUUUCCCAUUUAAAUAAAAUUUGUCCCCGAAUUCAUGUCAGCAUCGUGUUAUUAAUCUCACUCUAUGAUUUUAUUUCAUUUCCUUAUUCAUAGGGAAUUUGAUUUAUCCACCUCGUUUACUUUUAGUUCGACUAGAACACUUUACAAGAUUAGGGUACGUAACUUAUAUCUAUUAUCAUCUUUGAAUCAAAACAACGGUACCCUUCACAAUUGUUCUCUCUUAUCAUUAAGAUCCCGAGUAUGCCUUUAACUCCAUUACUAACCUUAAAAAUAUCUUUAUUUUGAUUCUUGUCAAACUUCUCGACAUUCAUUCAUCUUAUCCCCAAACACUAUUACAUAGCUUAUGGCAUUAAAAACAUGCCUUAUUCAUUCCUAUACAUAUUUCCAACAUUAGGGAAGUUGAAUCUUUGUCACAACCCAAUCUCGGGCCAUGAUCGGUGCAUGGACCUAAUAGGGAUAGCCCAUCGAGCCCAAGCAAGCCUUUCUAUGAAAACUUGUUCAUUAGACCAUUUGUCCUUCAUUUACCUUUAAGGUUCUUAAUUCAUAAUUAUCAAAAUAAUUUAUUCUCAAGGAUAAAUCAGGGCAACCGAACAUAUACUGUUCACAAAAUAAUAUUACCAUUUGCCAACUUGUGGCGAUAUUACUAUUCAAGCCAAACAUGCAAUGUUUAUAACCAAUCUCAUGAAUUACAUUUAAAUAGCCAUAUAAACAUACAACAGACCUUGACUAUCAGCGGAGUGACUCUAGCGUGGAUAUUAUCAUGGGGUGUUCUAGUAAACCUACUGUAAGAUUAAUAGGAGGAAGUGCCUCUACCUAAGAUCCAACUAUCUUCGAACUUGAAAACAAAAACAUGAAUUUGAAAAGAAUGAGUAUAAACCUAGUGAGUGAAUAUAUGAAGGGAAUAAGCAAACGAUAAGGAAAGUUUUAGAAAACAUGAUGGACUUAUAUUGAAAAUAAUGCAAUUUGGUUUAAUUUCUUCUUAAAAUCGCUCAAUUCAACCCUUGAUUAUUUAAUGCCUUAGUAUUGAAAGAUCCAUGAUCAACAGUUAAGUUAAAGAGUGAAAACUAUAGUAGAGUCCAAGCAGGGCAAGCAUGGCAGAGUGAAUCUCACUACAGUGAGAAUGAAUUCAGGGCAAAAUUUUUAACCAACCAAAUGGGAGUUUCUCGCUGUAGCGAGAAUAUAUUUUCGCUGCAACAAAAAUCUGGGCUAGUCAAGCCCCCAACACUUGAGAGUUUCUCGCUGCAGCUAGAAUGAAUUUCGCUACAGCAAGAAACAAGGAAAUGAAAUUAAGAGAAUUCUUGUCACAAUGAAAAUCCAUUUUUAUAAAAGUGAAAAUCAAUUAGAAAGCAUUUGUCAAAUUUUAGCAUUCAAUAUUCAAUGCAAACACAUAAUAUUUUCCCUAACCUCCCUAUGGUAUGUGUAUACAUGUAUACAACUCCCAUCUCACCAGCUCAUGCGCACUUCCACAUCGCACAUAGCUAGAAUCAUCUUGUGCACUCCCACACCGCUCAAGGCAAUAUAUCAUCAGUGUGUGCACUCACACAGCACACCACUAUCAUUGUCAUGUGCACUCACAUAGCACACCACUAUCAUUGUCAUGUACACUCUCAUACCGCACAUGGCAUAUAUCAUCAGUGUGUGCACUCACACAGCACACCACUAUCACCAUCAUGUGCACUCCCACACCGCAGACGACAUAUAUCAUCAGUGUGUGCACUCACACAGCACACCAUUAUCAUCGUCAUGUGUACUUCCACACCGCACACGCACGGUUACAAUUGUCACUCAAUAGUGCCAUUCAAUGCAUGACAUACAAAUCAACAUAAUGUAGAAACACAUGAGUUCAUCACAUUCAUAUUUCACAACAUAAAAAUGUUUCAUCAAGGGCUUGUUCCCAAGCAAAUUUUAAAGAAAGGCCAAUAAAAUAUUUCAAGUGGUGAAAUCAAGCAUAUAAUCAUUUAUUCCAAAAUAUUUUAAUCCAAGUUCACUCACCUUAACAAUGCUACCUAACGAAACUAGCGCCCACAAGAUCUUAAUUCAGGUAGUCUCAAAAUACCAUUAAAACCUAUAUUUACCAAUAAACCUUAACAACCUCAAUUGAGUCAUAAUCUGAAUCUAAUAAUUUUAGUAAAUGUAUACUAUACAAUCUACACUUUAACCUAACACUUAACUUAGAAUUUUAGUCUAAUUCUCAAACCCAUCAUAUCAACUAUUCCAAAUUUAAAGAUUCUUUACCUUGGAGAGCUUGGAGGCAUGAAGAUAAAAAAAAAACCUAAUAUUUCCAAGAAAAAAAAUUUGAAGAAAUUAAGAAAUAAAAUCUGAAAAUAUAACCCAUAAAUUCAUAAAUUUCAAGAGUUGAAAAUAUUUACCUAUUAGCUUCAAAAAUGAAGAUUUGAAGCCAAAAAUUCAAGUGUUAUUUAAAGUGGAGUAAAAAUAAAAAAUAAAGGAAAGAAAGAGAGAUUUUUUUUCUCUCUCUUAGGGUUUAGAUGUGCUGAAAAAUGAAGUUAGAAGUUUCAAGUUUGGUGCACAAGAAGUUUGGAGAAGGAGGAAGUAAGAAAAGAAAAGAAAAGAAAACAAGGAAAAGAAAAUGAAAAAUCUUGAUUUUUAUGGUGAAGGAACAAAAAUGGAGUUGGGAGGAGAUGAAGGAGGAAGGUGAAGCCUUGGACACAAUGGCCGACCAUGGGAUAAGGAUGGAGAGUCAAAGCUUCCUUUAGAAGCUUUGACCAAGCUUUAUGAAAAAUUACUGUUUUACCCUUUAAGGUUUUCACCCUUUUUAAUUAAAUCCUCCCACAAUCUUUUGAUUCCAAUGUCUUCCUAUUUUGCUUCCUUAACACUUGUGCCAACAAAAUAUCAAGUUUAUAGUUCAACGCGGUAUCACCAUAAUAUCUAAAUAUUUACUUACCCGCGCUAGCUUUAUUUAAUAAAGACACGCGAGCCCCAUUAACGUUAGUUUUCUUCGAAAUUUCCUUGUUCUUCUUCUCCCCCACUUAGAUUGACCAUACACUCAUUCUUCAUAGAAAAUUUAGACACUGAAUAAAAUAUUAAUGUUUUAAUAUUAUUUUAUCCUAAAAUUUUUUUUGCGUCUUUUUGGCACCCAAAAUGUCUUAUUAUGCCCCAAUUCACUUUCGAAUAACCUUUUUAUCUCGUUAAUUCAUCCUCAAUAAAAAUAUUAUUAUUCAAUUGUUAUUUCUUCAUGUGCAGAAUACUUUUCUCCAAACUAUUCCUCUUACCUUUCAUCACUUUUAAACAUUCUAAUUAACCUCAAUUGGCCUCUGAUAAGCUUUAUUAGCCACCUUAUCAAAUUACGAGGUAUUAGAAUCUUUCAAUUAUUCCCUUAUACUUCAUGUUUAUCUUGUAUUUAUGCAAUUUAAAUCUUCUUAAUCAUAUUAAUCCAUUUUGUAUGGCUUAACCAUGCUAUAGAUUACAUUUCCUUGAUAUCCUUCCUUUGACUAUUGCUCUAAAGUUUUUUAUAUUAACAUAACUCAAUUUCUGAUGGGAUCUCUUGUCAUUGUAUCAUCAAUACAACUCAUCAAACAUAUUGAGUUCAAAUCUCAAACCAUUAAGAAUAAUUCUUCACUUUAGUUGGUCAGAUACAUAUACGUAUGUACACACACAUUUAAAUGUCAACAUUCAUCACCAUGAGUAGGAAUCCUUGUGUCAAAUGCGUUUGGACUAAAUUUCCCUUUAUUCGUUCUAAUCCAUAACCAAGAUUCAAUAUCAUAUUCUCAUAGUUCAUGUUUUCCUUUUUACUUUCUCAAUUUCGACAUUUCUAAUUUACCUGUCCAUUUCAUUCCCAUAAAACAUAUUUAAUCUAUGAACAUUGGGGUAUAAUCAAUUUCAUAUUACGCCUUGGGAUGUUUAAUUUACCUAUCAACUUAUAUCCUAACAUAAGUUAUUGUCACGACCCAAAUUUUGGGCCAUGACCGGCAUAAAGGCCUAAUAGACAUAGUCCAUUAAGCCCAAGCAAGCCUAUUAAUUUGACAUGUUCAUUAUUCCAUCAUAAACUGCUAAGUCAUAUUUCAUAACUUAGAAUAAAAAAUAAUGGUAAACAUUGCCACUUCAUACUGGCAUAUUGAACAAGUGUAUAUACAUUAUCUACAACAUGAAUCUUAAUAAUUUACAUUAGGUUUGUCUAUACACAACAAAAGAAUACUCGACUUCCAGCGGAGGGACUCGGAUGAAUGUACAGCUACUGAAUGUCGAGACACCUACCAAAAGAUGGAUACAAGUCUACAAGGACACCUCGUCCUAGUUACCGACUGCCUCGUGAUCUGAAAACAUGAAGUUGAAAACGGUGAGUAUAAACCCAGUGAGUGAACAAGGAAGGGAACAAGCAACAACAAGGGAGAAUUUAAAAUCAUGAUGCACUUAUUUCAAAACAAUGCAAUUUAGUUCCAUUCAUAUUAAAAACCCCUCAUCGAGCCCUUAAAUGAUUAAUCAUUUGAAAAUCAUAAACCCAUACAUAACGAACCAUUUGAAGAAUGAAAGCUUCAAUGAUACGCAAGCAAGUCAAAUACGACACUAAGAAUGCCUUUCCGUUGUAGCGACGUUGGGAUUUAGUUAUUAGCCGAACGAGGGUUUCUCAACUGGCUGAAGGUUUCUCACUAAACCUCCUCAUUUUAAACUUAACUCAUUUAAUCCUUAAUGUUGAAAGUCCAUGCUUAGAUAUGAUAGCAAAGAAGUGAAAAAUAGGGCAGCAAUUCGACAAGAUAGGAGACAAAACAUAAAGUUUUUCAUUGCAGCGAUAUUCAAUCUCGCUGCAGCAAAUUGUAACCCAGAAACAGAAAGUUUCUCACUACAGCAAAAUUGCAACCCAAAAACAGAAAGUUUCUCACUGCAGCGAAAAUGAAUUUCGCUGCAGCGAGAAGCUAUAGUGUCAUUCUCGCUGCAGCGAAAAUGCAUUCUCGUCAUAGUGAGUUUCCUGCCAGUCUACCCCUCCAAACCAGAGAGUUUCUCGCAACAGCAAAAAUGAUUCUCGCUGUAGUGAGAAACAGGGCACCAAUGAAAAAUUUGCCCUUCUUCCCAAAGAAAUACCACCCUGCUGAAAUGUCUAAACCAACAUGGAACGCAUAACAAUUUUCCAUAGUUUAACAUGUCAAGUUUCACAUGCAUUACAACUAGAUACCAUUACUCAUUUAUUUCCUAUAUCACACAUAUUUACAUAUGUAUAUAUAUGUAUACGUAUACCCAUAAUCAUCAUGCACACCAUCCCAUCAUCAUCAUCACCAGCUCAUGUGCACUCCCUACUCGCACAUGGCUGGGUUAUCACCGGGUUAUGCGCACUCCCUACUCGCACAUAACCAUGUCAUCCUCGGCUUACGCACACUCCUUACUCGCACAUAGCAGAGUCAAUGUCAUUACACAAUAAUAUAUUCAUAUAUAUAUAUAUCAACACAAUGUGGUAGUGCAUGUAUCAAUAAUAGUCACAUGUCACAACAUAAACCAUUUCUCAAGAGCUUAUUCCCAAGGCACUCAUUUUUAAGAAAAGUUGUAUAAAAUCAUUCAAACACUUUGUACAAAGCAGUCAUAUUUCCAAAAUAGUUUUGAUAGGCAGUCCACUCACCGGUUGAUUGUAGAGCCUUUAGCUGACUCUAAUUCCCCUAAUGAUCCAAUUGUAAGGAUGGGACUUCAUUAGAACCUAGGAUCACAUUAGCAUAAGCAAUAGGUCAAUUCACACACUAUGGACCCUAAAAGCUAUCUCUUAGCUAGCUUUCAAUUGCCACAUUAAAUGGCUAUCUAUGUUCACUAUCUUAAUCACAAAAAAAGUAAUGAACAUACUCAACAAUAAAACAGCUCUUAAUCUAAAUUACUAGCCAUUAUUGACAGCUAAAAAUCAAGCUUGGUUCAUUACUCACCCUAGGGUUCCUUUGUAGUUGAAUUCUCUUCCAAUAGCUUCCACACAAAUGGGGUAAUUCUCUCUUCUCUCUCUAGAAUGCCCAACUAGUGAGAGAAAGUAUAGAAAUAAGAUUUUUUCAAGGGUUUUAAGGAGUGAGAGUGGAAGAAUACAAGGGUUCUAGUCAAAAGGGCUCAAAGGUAUGAAAACUAGAACUAGAGAAAGAAAAUCAUGCAAGCUCCAUAUCAAGCUUCCAUGGAGGUUGGAAGCAACGUGAAAGAGAAGAAGAAGAAAAAGACAAGCUGCUGAAAAUGGGAGAAGAAUCUUCUAGAAGAAAGGUAUUUAUAGCCAAUCUUAUCCAUUCCCUUAAAAUUACCAAAUUGCCCCUCCACCAAUUAACUUACUCUCCUCCAACCUUCUAUGAAAUCUUUUUACUCCUUUGACAUUGGGACAAGAUCCAUAAUGGUCUAGACGUACUCGAGUUCAUAAAAACUUAAAAUUUUAACCCGAAGUGAAAAAUGACUAUUUUGCCCCUGCCGUGAAAAUCAUCAAAAUUUUGGUGUCCUUUCCAUUUUACCCCUAAUUUCACCAUCCAUUUAUGCCUUAGGCCUACUUAGACCAUAAUAUUGUUUAAAAAUCUUACUUUUAUGGGCUUACUAAAGAAAUGACAAAAUUAUCCCUGAUCAGGGAUAUCGCGUAUACUUUCCUUUACGAGUCUAUAAAGGUCAAGGUCUCACAAUUAUCUCUUAUGUAAUCCAUACGGAUUCACAUUAUGCCUAUGCAUAUCUUCGCUUCAUUUAUUGCUCAUACUCCAUUUUAUCAUCUCUAAUCAUAUGAAUAAUUUUCAUUAUACCAUGUAUCCUUGCAUCACAAUGUCAUAAUCACUUCUUAAUUACCAAUUAUCAUUUUCAUCAAAUUAAAAUCCGGUAUCCGUGUAUGCUUUAUUAUCUCAUUAAUCCUUCAAAAUUCAUCUUCACUUGAUCAUUGCAUCUCAUGCAAUACCACAAUUCCUAAAAGUCAUCUUCAUUUCUCAAUUAUCUUUCAUACCUUCAACAUAUAUAUUAUAUCCUUGUUGCAUUUCAAUAUCAAUUAAUCACUUAAGACUUUGGCUCAUUUGAAUCAUGCAUGCCUUAUGCAUUUUCGAAUUCCAAUUUUCACAAUGCAUUAGGAGGUCUUCUGUCAUGACCCAAAUUCCAAGCCAUGAUCGGUGCAUGGGCCCAGUGGAUGUAGCCCACUAAGCCCAAGCAAGCCUCUUUACGUAAUCCCGUUCACUAUCCCAUCAAUUUUUCAUCACCAUUACUAGACCAUUAUUUGUAAUUUGCAACUAGACAUAUUUUCAUAAUACAACACAGAUACCAAAAAUUUACAUAUGUAUGAUAUCAAAAUAAGUUUAUUCAUAGCCAUCUCAUAAUGGCACCAUCAUUCCAAACUAUACAUGCAUCAUUAGCAAAGUGAUUCCUAGCAAUUUACAUUUAAUGUACAUGUACUCAUAUAAAAGACUUUUGAUGACUAGCGGAGUGACUUUGGCGAGGGUACGGCUAUCAAGUGCCAUGAUACCUACCAAGAGUGAAUGCAAGUGGAUGCCUUGUCUUAGUCUCAACUAUCUACGGAUUUGAAAACUCGCAAUCUAAAAGAGUGAGUAUAAACUCAGUGAGUGAACAUAAGAAGUCAACAAGCAACGACAAUGAAUGUUUUAGAAAGCAUGAUGCACUUACGAUAAACAAUGCAAUUUAGUCUAAUUUUUUUGUUAAAACCCCUCAUUUCAAACUUUGAAUGUUUAAUCCCUUAAUGUUACAAGAUCCAUGAUGAACCAUAAAGUUGAAUAGAAUGAAAAUUUCAGCAAUGACUAAGCAAGACAAACAAACAGAGGGUUUUCUCGCUGUAGCGUAAAGGCAUUCAUAGUUUACAUAUGCUUUGGUUUUUCAAGUAUAUCUCCCACGACAAAAGUCCAAUUGACAUGAUUUUUGGUCAUUAGAAAGCUAAGAGGCUGGGCUACAACUUUGAUGUUUACCAUUUUGCCUAGUUCUGAUUGAAAGGUGGUCAAAAUCUAUGUCAAAGUGAAAGCACUGCACCAGAAUUUUGGAACCACUCGAGAGUUUCUCGCCACAGCGAGAAGUUUCAGGAAAUUUCUCGCUGCAGCGAGAACCAGGCCAGUGUAACCGCCCCUAACCCUUGAGUUUCUCGCUGCAGCGAGAAUGAAUCUUGCUGUAGUGAGAAACAGAGCAAUUUAGUUAAAAGGGGUAUUGUUACAUCAAAAAGUCAUUUUCUUGGGGAAAUGAAAAGCAAUUUUGGAGCAAUUAACAAUGCCAACAUACAACUCAAUCACAAUUAUUUUCAUAAACUUUCUAUCACAUAUAUACAUAUAUAUAUGUAUAUACAUAUAUCAUCAUGCAUACCAUCCCUCCACACUCAGCUCAUGUGCACUCCCUACUCGCACAUAGCCAGGUCAUCAUCAGAUCAUGGGCACUCUCACACCGCUCAUAGCUAGGUCAUCAUUAGCUCAUGUGCACUCCCACACAAAAGGAGCAUCCAAACCAUAAUAUACAUAUCAAUAUAAUGUGAUAACGCAUGAACUGUUCAUAUUGCACAUUUCACAAGAUAGAAACAAUUCAUCAAAGGCUUGUUCCCCAAGUAAAUUAUUUUUAAAGCAAAAAUAAAUGAAACUUUCAAAUGAUUUAUUUAAGCAUAUAGGCACUUCCCAAUGCAUUUUGAAAUGCAAGUUCACUCACCAGUAGUUGUUAAAUCUUAGAUCGAUUCCAAUUUCCACUAAUGCUCCAAAUGGAGAUGUGGGGUCUCGUUGGAACCUAUCACACACAAUAGCAUCACAAAUCAACUCCAUUCACAUAAUCAUAAUUCCAAAAGCUAUCUCCUAAAUCAUGUUCUACUAGUCAUUCCUAAUUAGCUUCCAAUUGCCAUUAAGCAGCUAUUUACUUUCACUAUUCUACUCACACUAAAGAUGAAUAAAUAAUCCUCAACUACAAAACAUUCACAAAUUUAUCCACUAGCCAUUUUCAACAACUUAAAAGUAAACUCUAAUUCACUACUCACCUUGGUAGCUUUGGAAUUGAAGUCCAUUCCAAAAAUUUUCAAGCUAUUAUAAAAGCUCCCUCUUUCUCUCUAUAAAACACCUAGCUAGUGAAAGGAAGUAUGGAAGUAAGACUUUUUAAGGGUUUUAAAGUGAGAGAGUGAAAGAGCACAAAAAGUUCCAUGAAAAAGUGCACAAAAGCAUGAAAAUUAGAGUUAACUUGAGAGAAGUUAUGGAGGUUUCAAAAGAAGCUUCCAUAGAGUAUGAAAGAAACGUGAGAUGGGAGGAAGAAGAAUAAGAAGCUGCUGGAAAAUGAGAAGAAGUUGCUUAAAAAUGAUAUUUAUAGCUAAAGUUUAUCCAAACUUCACUUAAAUUACGAAAAUGCCCUUAACAAGUAGGCUUUGUCUUCCUCCAAUCCUUUGUGUAAUCUUUUUACUCUUUUGACAUUGAGACAAAGUCCAUAAUAGUCUAGAAAUACUCAAGUUCAUGAAAACUUAAAAAUUUUGACUCGAGAUAAAAAAUGACCAUUUUGCCCCUACUUUGGAAAUCAUAAUUAUUUCUAUUUCCUUCGUCAUUUUAUCCUUAUUUUCACCAUUCAUUUAUUUCUUAGACUUACUUAAGCCUUAAUAAUGUUUGAAAGCAUACUUCUAGGGGCUCCCUAAGGAAAUGACGAAAUUAACCCUAGUUUGUGAUAUCACGUCUACUUCUAGCUACGAGUCUAUAAACAUCAAGGUCUCACAUUCUCCCCCACUAAAAGAAAUUCGAUCCCCGAAUUUAAAUCGAAUUAUAAAGUAGCAUACCUUUAUGUAUUAAAGAGGUGCAGAUACUUUGUUCGCAUCUCCUCCUCGGCUUCCCACGUUACCUCCUCACUGGUGUGGUUUCGCCAUAACAACUUCAUUGAUGCUACUUCCUUUGAACGAAGCUUUUUGACUUGCUUAUCAAGGAUAGCUGCUGGCUGCUCCUUAUAGGUUAAAUCAUCUUGCAAUUGGAUGUUUUCAUAGCAUAUUACAUGAAUUAGAUCUGGGUUAUACUUUCUAAGCAUUGACACAUAGAAUACGGGGUGAAUAUGUAAGAGGUACGGCGGUAGCGCCAAACGAUAAACCACUACUCCAACCCUUUCUAAGAUCUCGAAGGGUCCUAUAUAUCGAGGACUUAAUUUUCCUUUCUUGUCGAACCUCAUUACCCUUUUUAUUGGUGGGACCUUCAAAAAUACAUGAUCCCUCACCUGAAACUCUAAGUCUCUCCGCCUGUUAUUAGCAUAUGACUUUUGUCUACUUUGUGGUGAUAACAUCCUUUGACUAAUCAUGCGUAUUUUCUCGAUGGCUUCCUGUACCAAUUUUGGCCCUAAGAGUUUCCUUUCUCCCACCUCUAGCCAUCCAAUGGGUGACCUGCACCUCCGUCCAUAUAAUGCUUCAAAUGGUGCCAUCCAGAUGCUAGCUUGGAAACUAUUAUUGUACGAAAACUCCACCAAGGGUACAUACCGAUCCCAUUUGACCCCAAAGUCUAUUACACAUGCCCUCAACAUAUCUUCCAAUGUUUGUAUUGUUCGUUCAGAUUACCCAUCAAUCUAAGGGUGGAAAGCCAUGCUGAAAUCCAACUUAGUGCCCAACACUUCCUGUAACUUUCCUCAUAACCUACUGGUGAAUUGUGCUCCUCUAUCAAAUAUUAUAGAAAUGGGGAUACCAUGUAGUCGUACUAUUUCAUCCACAUAAACCGGAGCGUACUAGGCAGCCUUGUAAGUACUCUUAACUGAAAGAAAAUGGGUGACUUCGUUAACCGAUCUACUAUGAUCCAAAUCAAGUUGUAGUCCCCACUAGUUUGAGGCAAGCCCAUUACAAAGUCUAUUGCAACAUGCUCCCACUUCCAUUUGGGCACUGGUAAUAGCGUAGUAGCCUUGUAGGCCUUUGAUGCUCGGCCUUAACCUACUGACAAACUAGGCACUUGAAGACAAACUUAGCAACAUCUUUCUUAAGUCCUUCCCACCAAUAUACCUUUUUCAAAUCAUGAUACAUCUUUAUAGCCCUUAGAUAUACCACAUAGGUUGCCAUGUGCGCCUCCUACGAUAUUUCUCUUCUCAAUCCAUCAUUAUCGAGCACAUAAGGUCUGGUUCCAUACCUUAAUACUCCAUUUGUGCCUUUAGUAAACAUUUUCCUUUCCCUCCUUAAGAGUCCUCUAAGGCCUUAGUUACGAACUCAUCUUUACCUUGGGCUUCUUUGAUCUGAUCUAUGAAAAUAGGCCUUACUCUAAAAUGUGCUAGCAAUGUAUUUGCCUCCAAAACUUCCAAAUACACACCCAUGUCUCCCAAGCUAUGCAUCUCCCUAAUCAAAGAUCUCUUAUCUAUAGAGAUAUGUGGCAAGCUCCCCAUUGAUUUUCUGCUCAAGGCAUUUGCCACUACAUUUGCCUUACCGGGAUGGUAAAUAAUAGUACAAUCAUAAUCCUUUACCAACUCCAUCAACCUACAUUGCCACAAGUUAAGAUCCCUCUGCUGAAAUAUAUACUUUAGGCUUUUGUGGUUCGUAUAUAUCUCUUAAGUCUCACCAUACAAGUAAUGUCUCCAAAAUUUUAAGGCAAACAUGAUUGCUACCAUCUCUAGAUCAUGUACGGGGUAAUUUUGCUCAUGCAUUUUAAGUUGCCUUGAUGCAUAUGCAAUCACUUUCCCAUGCUGCAUUAAUACACACCCUAAAGUAACCCAUGAUGCAUCACAAAACACCGUAUAACCUUUUGUGCCUUGCGAUAGGCUUAAUACUGGAGCUGUGGUGAGACAUGCCUUAAGCUUCUCAAAGCUAUCCUCACAAGCAUCUGACCACUCAAAUUUUGUAUCUUUAUGUGUCAACUUAGUCAGAAGGGUGACUAUUUUGGAGAAGUUCUUCACAAAAUGACGAUAAUAGCCAACUAAACCCAAAAAGCUUCUAAUCUCCGUAACUGAUGUUGGGCUUGGCCACUUUUCCACUGGCUCAACUUUCUUUCCAUUGACUUGUACUCCAUCCUUGGAUACCACAUGUCCCAAGAAUGCAAUGCUUUCAAGCCAGAACUCACACUUGGAGAACUUGGCAUAAAAUCGAUGUUCUCUCAAAGUUUGGAGCACAAUCUUAAGAUGUUGCUCGUGCUCCUCUCGGCUCUUCAAGUAGAUCAAGAUGUUAUCAAUAAACACCACCACGAACUUGUCCAAAUAGGGCUUGAACACUCGGUUCAUCAAAUCCAUAAAGGCUGCAGGGGCAUUCGUAAGCCCAAAUGACAUCACCAAGAACUCAUAGUACCCAUAUCUUGUUUGAAAUAUGAUCUUUGGUAUAUCUUCAUUUUGGAUUCUCAACUGAUGGUACCCAGAUCCUAGAUGUAUCUUAGAGAAACAUUGUGCUCCUUGUAGUUGAUAAAAUAAAUCAUCUAUUCUUGGAAUAGGGUACUUAUUCUUCACCGUCACUUUAUUAAGCUAUCAGUAGUCAAUGCACAAUCUAACUGAUCCAUCUUUCUUCUUUACAAAUAGUACCGAUGCUCGCCAUGGUGAGAUGCUAGGACGGAUAAAGCCUUUAACCAACAAAUCUUCUAACUAAUCCUUAAGCUCUUUAAGCUCCGUAGGUGCCAUUUUAUAUGGGGGUAUGGAUAUAAGUCUAAUGUCGGGAAUCAAAUCUAUGCAAAAUUCAAUCUCUUGCUUCGGGAGGCAAACCUAGUAGCUUUUUAGGAAACACAUCCAUGAACUCAUUCAUACCGACACUUGGCUUAUGUCUUCGACCUUCGCUUGAGUAUCCCUCACAAUAGCCAAGUAACCUUGACAACCCUGUCUUAAUAGCCUUCUAGUAGAUAGGAUAGAUAUCAAAUUGGUUGGAGCAUUGCUCUUAUCCCCUUGAAUACUAAAUAAUGGUUCAUUGGGAAAAUCAAAUCUAACCAACUUAUGAUAACAGUCAACGCUGGCAUGGUAGGGCGAUAACUAAUCCAUUCCCAAGAUCAUGUCAAAAUCUAAGGUUUCUAAUACAACUAUAUUUACCAAGGUUUCUUUAUUCUUGACCCGAACUACACAAGACCUAUAUUCUCAUUCCGCCAUAAAUACCUCCUUUAAAGGGGUAGACACCACUAAUUGUUCUUAUCCCAUAACACGAUCUUUACCCAAACGAGAUGCAAAACAUAAAAAAAUAAAAGAGUGGGUAGCACCAGGAUCAAACAAUACCCGAGCAUUCAUAUUACAAAUUGAGAGAAUACCUUAUGCCACUACGUUGGAUGUUUAGGCCUCCUACGGUGUUAAAGCAAACACCCUUUCGUGACCCCUACCGGCGAAACUCUAAUGUCAAGACCCAGAAGGCCUACCUUGAGAGGAAGUAACAGCACCUCUACCUCUUGAUUCGAUACCCUAGUGAUCAGAUGAGGAGACUACUGAAGAAGCAGAUGAGGCUGGUUAUGAGGAACUGCGAGCAAAACCUUGGGAUUGAUGAGCCAUCGGGCAAUUCUUCUUAAUAUGUCCAAGUUGACCGCACAAGAAAUAAACUCCCGUAGCACGAAGGCAUCUUCCUCUAUGUCGUCCCCCACAAAUAUUGCAACGAUGGAUAACUUAACUACCUUGCCUUAAAUAUUGCUACCUCUCAACACUGAAGGUUCUCUAUCUCGCCCCAAUACUAGCACUAGGUGAGUCACUCCCUUAUUGGGUUAUCAUGAGUCCCUCUGUGGGCCCUGAUGGCCAGAAGAUGAAAUACUACCACUAAAGUCUUUACGACCUUGAUAGCCCUCUGUCUUGGCCCUCUUUGCUCUAUCCCUCAUAACCUUACUCUCACUGGUCCUCAUCUCAAUCCGCUGAGCGCAAUCCACUACUUCGAAGUAGGCAUUGAAAUCUCGGGAUGCCACAACCUUAAACAAUGGCUCCACUAGCCCAUCCACAAACUUCUAAAUCUUUAUCUCCUAAGUAAAAACAAGAUAGGGCGUAAACCGAGCCAGCUGCGUGAAUUUGAUGUCGUAUUUCGACAUUAUUAUACUUGGGGUCUGUAGUAAUGCCUCAAACUCCUUAGCUCGUGCAUUACGUACACUGGGUGCUAAGAAUCUAUCUAAGAAGGUUAUAUUGAACUCCUUCCAAGUCAAAGAUGUUGUAUCGCCGGUCGACCUCUACGCAAAGAGCCAUACCACUUUUGCACUACGUCUUUUAAUCAGAAAACUACUAGCUCGACUGAUCUAAUACUAGAGCAACCCAAGGCCUCACAAAUUUUCUCCAUCUUAUCUAAGAAAAUCUGGGGUUUCUUUGAUGCAUCAAACCCUGAAAAUGACAAGGUUUAAGCUUCAGGAAAUCAGGAAAGGAAAUCUCUAAAUGACCCUUCUCAACCUCAAGAUAUUGGCGAUCAGCCUGCCUUUGAGAACUAAAGAAUUCUUGUACUAUAGAUCUCCUUUCCACGAUCCUUUGUAUAUAGUCCAUACGGGUUGCCAUCAUUUCUACAACCCGAUUAACUCCCUAUAGGCCUGCCACCAAGUUCUUGAUGGUGAUGGCCCCAGUUGGUUAUCUAUCCGCAUCGCCCGAAGACUGCCCUUUCUUUCUUCUACUCAUAAGUGUAUCCACCCUCACCGGCCUAGCGGCCCUGCCAUGUCUAUCUCACCUCCUAAGGGUGGAUGCCCGUGGCCUAUCUGUCAUCUCAUUAGGAGCAUCUUACGCCCCCAUCGGUCUUGAGGCGGCUCGUGUCUUCGGUGACAUUCUUACCUAGAUAAGAGCAAACGCUUGUUAUUAAACACAUUUUGCAAUUAUAAUCGUAUCUAAGGAAAAAUGUGGUUUCUAAGAUAGGGAAUCUAUGCGGCCUUUUGGUUGUAAAAUGUGUCGCGGUUCACACUUCACAACCAAAGUUUCCACAUAAAGACCCAACACUCCGCUGGACCAACAAAAAGAAGUCCUAGGACCUAAACAACUUAGGGCUCUGAUGCCAAGUCUUUCACCACCCAAAUUUAGUGCCAUGACUAGCACAUGGGCCUAGUGGACGUAGCCUAUUAAGCCCAAGCAAGCCUCUUUACAUAAUCCCGUUCACUAUCCCAUCAAUUUUUCAUCACCAUUACUAUACCACUAUUUGUAAUUUGCAACUAGACCUAUUUUCAUAAUACAAUAUAGAUACCAAAAAUUUACAUUUGUAUGAUCUCAAAAUAAGGUUAUUCAUAGCCAUCUCAUAAUGGCACCAUCAUUCCGAACUAUACAUGCAUCCUAGCAAUUUACAUUUAAUGUACAUGUACUCAUAUAAAAGACUUCUAACGACUAGCGGAGUGACUUUGGUGAGGGUACGGCUAUCGAAUGCCAUGAUACCUACCAAAAGUGAUUGCAAGUGGACACCUUAGUCUCGAUCCUAACUAUCUAUGGAUCUGAAAACAUGCAAUUUAAAAGAGUGAGUAUAAACUCAAUGAGUGAACAAAAGAAGGGAACAAGCAAUGACAAUGAAUGUUUUAGAAAACAUGAUGCACUUAUGAUAAACCAUGCAAUUUAUUCUAAUUUUUUGGUUAAAACCCCUCAUUUCAAACUUUGAAUGUUUAAUCCCUUAAUGUUACAAGAUCAAUGACGAACCAUAAAGUUGAAUAGAAUAAAAAUUUUAGCAAUGACCAAGCAAGACAAACAAACAGAAGGUUUUCUCACUGCAGCGAAAAGGCAUUCUCGGUUUGCAUAUGCUUCGGUUUUUCAAGUAUAUCUCCCACUAUAGAAGUCCAAUUGACAUUAUUUUUAGGUCAUUAGAAAGCUAAGAGGUUGGCUACAACCUUUAUGUUUACCACUUUGCCCAGUUUUGAUUGAAAGGUGGUCAAAAUCUUUGUCAAAGUGAAAGCAUUGCACUAGAAUUUUGGAACCACCCAAGAGUUUCUCGCUGCAGCAAGAAGCUUCAGGAAAUUUCUCCCUGCAGCGAAAACCAGGCUAGUGUUAUCCCCCUAACCCGAGAGUUUCUUGGUGUAGCGAGAAUGAAUCUCAUUGCAACGAGAAACAGAGCAAUUUAGUUAAAAGGGGUAUUGUUACAUCAAAAAGCCAUUUUCUUGCCGAAAUGAAAAGCAAUUCAGGAGCAAUUAACAAUGCCAACAUACAACAAAAGUACAAUUAUUUUCAUAAACUUUCUAUAAUAUAUAUACAUGUAUAUGUAUAUACAUACAUCAUCAUGCAUACCAUCCCUCCACACUUAGGUCAUGUGCACUCCCUACGCGCACUUAGCUAGGUCAUCAUCAGCUCAUGUGCACUCCCACACCGCACAUAGCUGGGUCAUCAUUAUCACACAAAAAGAGCAUCCAAAGCAUAAUAUACAUAUCAAUAUAAUGUGAUAACGCAUGAACUAUUCAUAUUGCACAUUUCACAAGAUAGAAACAUUUCAUCAAGGGCUUGUUCCCCAAGUAUAUUUUUUUUAAAGCAAAAAAAUGAAACUUUCAAAUGAUUUAUUUAAACAUGUAGGCACUUCCCAAAACAUUUUGAAAUGCAAGUUCACUCACCGGUAGUUGUUAAAUCUUAGAUCGACUCCAACUUCAACUAAUGCUUCGAAACAGAGAUGUGGGGUCUCGUUGGAACCUAUCACACACAAUAGCAUCACAAAUCAACUCCAUUCACAUAACCAUAAUUCUAAAAGCUAUCUUCUAAAUCAAUUCUACUAGUUAUUCCUAACUAAUUUCCAAUUGCCAUUAAGCAGCUAUUUACUUUCAUUAUUCUACUCACACUAAAGAUGAAUAAAUAAUCCUUAACUAGAAAACAUUCACAAAUCUAUCCACUAGCCAUUUUCAACAACUUAAAAAUCUGCUGUAAUUCACUACUCACCUUGGUAGCUUUGUAAUUGAAUUCCUUUCCAAAACUUUUCAAGCUAUUAUAGAAGCUCCCUCUUUAUCUCUCUAAAACACCUAGCUAGUGAGAGGAAGUAUGGAAGUAAGACUUUUUAAGGGUUUUGAAAUGAGAGAGUGAAAGAGCAUAAAAAGGUUUUAUGAAAAAGUGCACAAAAGCAUGAAAAUUGGAUUUAACAUGAGAGAAGUUAUGGAGGUUUCAAACGAAGCUUCCAUGGAGAAUGAAAGAAACGUGAGAUAGGAGGAAGAAGAAGAAGAAGCUGCUGGAAAAUGAUAUUUAUAGCUAAAGUUUAUCAAAACUCCACUUAAAUUACGAAACCACCCUUAACAAGUAGGCUUUGUCUUCCUCCAAUCCUUUGUGCAAUCUUUUUACUCUUUUGACACUGAGAGAAAGUCCACAAUAAUCUAGAAAUACUCAGUUUCACAAAAACUUAAAAAAUUUGACCCGAGAUGAAAAAUGACCAUUUUGCCCCUACCUUGGAAAUAAUUAUUAUUUCUAUUUCCUUCAUCAUUUUAUCCUUAUUUUCAUCAUUCAUUUAUGCCUUAAGCUUACUUAGGCCUUAAUAAUGUUUGAAAGCAUACUUCUAAGGGCUCACUAAGGAAAUGAUGAAAUUACCCCUAGUCCGUGAUAUCGCGUUUACUUUUAGCUACGAAUCUAUAAAGAUCAAGGUCUCACAUUUUGAUAAACUGACUUCAUUAUGAUAGUUACCUCCAAUCAUCUUUUGUACUAUUCCUUUAUACCAAUAUAGCAUCAUUCCCCUUUAACCAUCAUAUAAUUAGUACUUCUAAUUACAAAACUUGAAACAGGAUCUUACUUACAUACUUCUCAAUGUCAUUGCAAGUAUCCACUUUCAACUUACAGCUUUUUUUUUUGUAACUACACCAUUUAAUGCUUGUUUUCACAAGAUUCAUAGCAAGAUUCCUCUUGAGUAUUUCCUUGUGAAUACCCACCUUAAGCUUAUGUCUCAUAGCAUAUGACCACAUAACCCGUGGUUUAGCCACUAAGCUCCUUAGCAAGUUCCAAAUACCACAUUGCAUCAUCAUGCAUACAAGAUAUUCCAAAAUAAUAUCAACUAUCAUUCUUGCGAUAUAUAGUUGGUACAUUUUUUUCAAAACUUGAUGCAUUUUCAAAACACUUAAUUACUUAUUUAUUCAUUAACCUUUCAACAACAUUCAUUCCAAAAGCAUGCAUUUAUUCUCCAAGAUAUUUAAAUGCAUAAUCAUCUAUUCAUACCUCAAUUUAUAUUCGUAGGUUUCUAGUGUGCCACAUAAUUGGCCUUGUGUUGUUACUAAUCCUUUUCUUUUAACUGAGUCAAGAUAAGAUUUGUAAAUCCUCAUAGCAAUACUUUAUAUUAGCUCAUUUGCUAUGCCAACCUUGUAAUCCUUCAUUCACAAUUUCUUUACUUGGUUUUGGCAUUACUUUAUCAAUGUCCCAUACUUUCAUCUAAAUCUUCACUCACUCUGUCCUUAGCGUUUAACAAGGUUUUAUCUCUUGUCUCUUUUAUUUCUUAGGAUUUGACUUCAGUCAACAUAGUUUUCACUUUAAUACUUCACAUUGUAGCUUAUCUCAAUGUGGCCAUCUCAAGAACUUUCCAACAUCUCUUUUAAUUACAUGGCAAUCUAUAAGGCAAUAAAGAAACUUUUCAAUUCAUUGAUAUAAGCAUUCUCCAAAACACUUAAAACUCCAAAUAACAAAGCUCAACAUCAAGACCAAUGACCAUAAUUCGGCUUGUAUGUUCAUCAUAAUGCCACUCACCACUUGCUCAUGCCUUCUAGACAUAAGAUGUUCUUAACACUGCAGUGCUAGACAAUCAAUGGUGUGGCGUUGUAGUUGCUAGAAAUUGGGGGUUUCAACGCUGUAAUGCUAAAGAGUCAGUGUUGCGACGUUGUGGCUACUAAAUUUUUUUUUAUCAAAGUAAUUCUUCUACCUUUAAGGUUACUACAUGGAUCAUGCUCAACCAUUUGGCUUUCCACUAGGCCUAUACCACAAUUUCCAUAACCAUGUGUAUCUUCUCUUUUGCUUAUCAUAUGCACUAGGCCAAGUCAAUAUUUUCAAACUCAUAUUAUCCUUUAACGCUUAUCAUCAAUCAAUAAGUCCCACCUUAGGACAUCAUUUCCAUAUUAUGCAAUAAAUUCUCAAUAAACAAUACCACAUAUAUAAUUAUUCACUAGCAUCCCACAAUUCCUUAAUAUCCAUAACUAAUUGUCUUUCUUGUCUUGCAACUCAAAUAGUUUACAAGCUUUCACCUUAAAAUUGCCAUGGAAAUAGUUCAUCUUGAUCAACACCUUAUGCUCACAUUAUUAUUAAUUCAAGAAUUUAUCUUUCCCAAGUUCCAUAAUUUAUCUCCAAUAAUCUAUAUUUGUAUCAAAUUAUCAUUCUAGAAUGUCAUGACACCAUGUGUCUUCAUCCUUACCAUCUAUCGUACUCCACAAGAAUCAAUUAAAAGAUUUACAUACUUCUACCAAUGCCAAUCCAAAUAAACAACACAUGAAAAUUCCAAAUACUCAACAAAUCAGUAGAUUAGCAACUACAUAACCUGUUCAAACCACAUGAAAUCAGCAUGUUUCAAAUCCUCCAAAUACAUAAAUCACAACUACAAUUCAAUCCAACUAUAUCAGUGUAGUCUCAUAAUCAUACUAGUUUCAAAUUAACUAUUUGACUUAACUAAGAACUAUCGUUAUCUGGACCUAUACACAUCGACGGAUCAUAAUCCAAAUUGUCCUCGGCCUUUCGAGGAUCCUCUUCAUCCUCACCAUUCUCACUUUGUUGUUCAUUCACAUAAUCUUCCCUAUUAAUGGGUUCAGCACCUUUCCCACAACCAGGAGGAAAAUCUCAAACAGCAGAUACUUUCCUUGGAUGAUAGCUUCUGAUGGCUACUUCUUCCAUUUUCUCCUUGUCCUUUUUCUUAAGAUCAAUUGUAGUAUACGCCAUCCUUUCAAGGCUUUCCCAGCUCUUAAUAUUAUUUCACGUCCCAGGGGAAUCCAUCCAAUAGGGAGUCAGGGUAAGUUGCUUUCUGGCCUUUCACACUCUUGCACAUAACGGCUCUAAGCAAUGGAAUCUAUUGAUCCCUCUUCAGUACUAUGGGAAUCAUUCCCUUUCUCCUCACUGCUGCUCCUGUUGUGUCCUAGGGGCACCUCAAAAACCUGUACAUAACCAUGCGUUAAUUCUUAACCUAUUACGUAUUAAGACAAAGGUAGGCUUAUAGAUGAAUAAGAGUUUAUGUAGCCUCAUUCCCUUGAUUCGUGUUGUGCACCCAUAAUCCAAGGGCAAGACUCUAUACUAACUCUAACAACUCUUCUAAUAGACACAGAAAAUCCUAGAACUUAACUCAACCUAGGGCUCUAAUGUCAAGUCUGUAGCGACCUGCUCCUUGAUUGUUAUCGAUGUUCGAGUCUUGUGGGAAAACCCGCCAAGUCCCGAACAAGCCUUAUUAGAAACCAUUGUUAAUACAUUAUAUUCAUUUGGCCUACUCAUAUAAUUACUUCGAAACAUAUAACUCUUUGUAAUAUGAUUUAAUCAAAAAGUUGUAAUAAAUUGACUUAAACUUUAUUUCGCAUAAUUGUAAAAAUACAUCAAAAUUUAUAAUCUCCAAAUGUACAUUCGUAUUAACAUUAAUGUCUAUUUUCAUAACAAAAUACACUAUGACGACUUGACCUCUAGCAGUGGAGCGACUCAGAAUGAAGUGUUAUGAGAUGCCUUUACCUAUCCACGGUAAACAAUAAGUGCUAAUGAAUGCACGCUAGGCUGAUCACUUAUCUGGCAAAAGAAAGACAAUGGGGUGAGCCUCAUAGACUCAAUGAUCAUUAGCUCCGUGAGCAUGGCGUAGAUGGAAAACAAGCUUAGAGCAAAUAAUUUGAAGGAUAAAAUCAAAGUAUAAAAUGAUAACCUUAUAAAACCAAAUAACAAAUAAGGUGUUUGGGCCUUGUAAAAAUAAUUCCAUAAAAAUCAUAGUGCAAUACUUUCCUUAGCAAACCAUGCCGAAAACAAAGCAUAGUAAAAUAAAUAUCAAUCAUCUAAAUCAUCUGUUGGCUCCAUUAGUUUUUGAUGAUAAUAAAACAUUCCCAUUCAUUUGUGUCUAAUUUUUCUACUUGAGUGUGCAGGACCAAAUUGUAUGCAAAUAAACAAUCAAUCAUUAAAAUGCAUAUAUCAAAAAGCAUAGAAAUAAGGAAGUCACAAUUAAUCAAUAAGACAAAAGCCCCUUAGUUGAUUAAUGAAGAGUUAGUCAGCUAAGAUUUAAAUCAAAGGAUUGGCGGGCUGAAGAGUAUUGAAAAACAGAACCAACUUAGUCGACCAAGGAAUGAGUUAGUCGACUAAGUGCACACUGCCAGAACUGCUAGAAAUUGGGAACAGAAGACAGAGACAACUUAGUCGACUAAGAUAUCGGUUAGUCGACUAAGAGCAUUCUGCUUGUAAUUUUGAAGUCUGCACUGAAUAACAGAUUAACAGCUAGAACCAGCUCCCAACUGUUUCCAACAGUCAAAAAACUGUCAAACUGCCACCAGAGUUGUUUCUCUAAAUAUAAAAGAGGGUUCCAACAGCUAGAAAUACUAGAUUGAAGGAAUCCAAGAAAAAAGAGCUUAAAACCAGCAAAAAAUCUCUUUACACUUUACUGCACUCAAUGCCCAUCUUUGUAGUUAUGUUUUGCACUUCAACUUGUACCACUUUAAUCAACUUUGUGAUCAUAGAUACACUUCUAUUUCAUUUCUCUUUAUGUUUUUAUAGUGAAAGGGUCACUCUAAGGGGUUCAAUCAAGCUAGAAUUGCUUGUUUAGAUAAAGGUUCUAACUUAGCCUUGAAAAGUUAGGUGUGGGUUAUAGUUGAACCCGAAAAAAACUAUUGUGAAAGAUUUUUGCUAAGCUUGGUAAAAGCCAUUGCAAAGCUUGGUGAAAGCUUGCGAAUUUCACUGGUUCUUAAUGGAUUGGUUGGAAAAUCCUUGGUUGGAUAAUUAAGGUAGUGGAUGUAGGUCUUGGACUAAACCACUCUAAAUUCUACUGUCUUAUUUACUCUGUUUUUGUUUUAUUUGCAUUCCUCUUUUAUCUUGCAUUUGUCUACACUUAGAGACAAUUUUUUAAAGAGCCAAAUUAUGCUAUUCACCCCCCCUCUAGCACAUUUAACUGGGACCAAUAAGUAGUAUCAGAGCUACUUCCCUGUUCUUAAGGUCUAACACCCUUUGGGAGGAUCUAAAUGGCUCAACUAAAAUUAGUAGUUGCUGAGGGACAAUCAACAAACAGACCACCUCUAUUUGAUGGCUCUAACUAUCCUUAUUGGAGCACUAGGAUGUCUAUAUAUAUUAGAGUAAUUGAUUAUGAGAUGUGGGAUGUUAUAACUGAUGGACCAUACAUUCCCUCAACUCUAAAUGUAGUGAGAAAUGAGAUGAUCCCAAAGCCAAGGUCUGAAUGGAUCGAGGUUGACACUAAGAGAGUCCAAACAAAUUUUAAUGCUAUCAACACAUUGCAUUGUGCCUUGACUCCCACCGAAUUCAACAAGGUAUCAAGCUGUACAAUAGCUAAACAAGUGUGGGAUAAGCUUAGGAUAAUUCAUGAAAGGACUUCUCAAGUCAAAGAGUUCAAGAUAACCCUCUUGACCCAUAGUUAUGAAAUGUUUAAGAUGGAGCCUGGUGAAGAUAUCACCAGCAUGCUAGAUAGAUUCACAAACAUCAUAAACAAACUUAGUCAGUUAGGCUAACCAAUACUAGAGCAUGAGAUUGUUAAAAGACUUCUUAGAAGCUUACCAAAAAAUUGAAAGCUUAUAGUGACUACAAUCCGAGAAGCAAAGGACCUAAAUGUUAUUACUCUAGAUGAGAUUUGUGGUUCUCUCUUUACUCAUGAGCUAGAACUCAAGGAAAAAGAAGAAGAAGAUAGGAGGGAAGCAAAAAAAAUGAAAAAGAGCAUUGCACUAAAAGCCUACAUUCUUGAAGAAGAGUUGGAAAAGCUAUCUUGUGAUGAUGAUGAAGAGUUAGCAUUGGUUGCAAGGAAAUUUAGAAAGCUUAUGGGCAAAAGAAAUCGAAGAUUGGCUAGAAGAGGUUUUAGAAAGGAUCAAGGUUUUUCAUGGAGAACUAGAAACAAAAGUGACUCCAACAAAAAGAUGAGCUAACCUACUUUGAAUGCAAGAAGCCUGGACAUUUCAAGCCUGAAUGCCCAUUGCUGAAAGAUGAGACUCUAAAAAAAAACAAGAAAUCAAAUAAGGCAAUGGUAGCAGUUGCCUGGUCAGACAGUGACACAUCAAGUUCUAAAAAUGAGGAAGAAAAAGUUGAGGAAAGAGCAAACAUAUGUUAGAUGGCACAAGAUGAUGAAUCCUAGGUAUCCUCAUCCCUUUGUAAUAAUUCAAUUGCUGAUUUACAAGAUGAGUAUGAGUGCCUUUAUGAUGACUUUGAAAAACUCUUUUCAAAAUACAAGAUUCUAAAGAAAAAUAUUGCAUCUUUUGAAAAUGAUUUAGAAAAGAUAAAAAAAGAGUUCAAUUUUGUUUCUGGGCAAAGAAAUUUUCUACAAAUUGAGUUAGAACAUUCAAAACAGACUUUGAAAUUUUAAAAUUAGAGCUAGACGAUAAAUCUAAAGCUUUGUGAAAAACACUUGAUGAAAAUACAGAUCUUAAAAGUUUGAAAAAUGAAACUUCAAAAAGAAAAGUCUACUACAAGAAAAACUAUGUUAAUGCAACAUCUAGAUACUAUGUUUGCAAUAAAAUUGGCCAUUUAUCAUAUGAUUGUUUUAAAAAAAGAAGCACACAAAAAAUAAGAAAAAUAUGGGUUCCAAAAGGAUCCUAUGUUGUUGCUAACAAUCAAGGACCCAUCAAGGUAUGGGUACUUAUAAAGAAAAACUGAAAUUCUGUUUUGUAGGUUGAGCUGCACUUAAAGGAGACAUGUUCAAGAACUUAACUCAAGAAAAAGCAGCCUUGGUAUAUGGACAGUGGCUGCUCACAGCACAUGACAAGAGAUGAAAUGUUAUUUGCUCAGGUAGACAAAAGAAAAGGAGGUAUCGUAUCCUUUAGUGAUGCUUCAAAACGUAGAAUACAUGGUAUAGGAACAGUUGGUAAGAACUCCUAAACUCAAAUCAGUCAUGUGUUAUUAGUUAAAGGCUUAAAACAUAAUUUAUUAAGUAUUAGUCAAUUAUGUGAUAAAGGAUUUAAAGUAUGCUUUGAUUCAAAUAAGUGUGAAGUAAUAGAUAUAAGCACAAAUAAAGUUUCAUUUAUAAGAAAAAGAUUAAAGAAUAUGUAUGUUGUAUUUCUUGAAGAUCUUGAAAUGAAUUGUGAAAUGUAUUUAGUGGGAAAUGUUGAAAAUGAUAGCUGGCGAUGGCAUAGGGGACUAAGACAUGUGACCAUGCACACUAUGUCAAAAUUAAUUAAAAAAAAUCUAGUUGUUGGAUUGUCGGAUGUCAAAUUUGAAAAUAAUGAAAUAUGUGAUGCUUGCCAACUAGGAAAACAAGUUAGAACAUCCUUUAAGACUAAGAAGAUUGUAACUACAUCUAGACCUCUUGAAUUGCUACACAUUGAGAAGAUUGUAACUACAUCUAGACCUCUUGAAUUGCUACACAUUGAUCUAUUUGGUCCAAUAAGGACAACUAGUCUAGAAGGAAAAUCUUAUGGCUUUAUGAUAGUUAAUGACUACUCUAGGUACACUUAGGUUUAUUUUCUUACUCAUAAGAAUAAUGCUCCACCAGCAUUUAUAAGUCAUUGUAGGAAAGUUGAGAAUGAGAAAGGACUGACAAUAGCUGGUAUUAGGAGUGAUCAUAGUGGAGAAUUUGAAAGUGAUAAAUUUCAAAAUUUUACAAUGAAAAGGGGUUGGAUUAUAAUUUUUCUGCACCUAGAACACCCUAGCAAAAUGGAGUUGCAGAGAGAAAUAAUUGUACCUUAAAAGAAAUGGCUAGAACUAUGCUAUGUGAGAAUAACCUACCAAGUAUUUUUAGGCUGAGGCAGUGAACACAGCAGCAUAUAUACUCAAUAGAGUCUCAAUUAGAGCCAUGAUAUCAAAGACUCUACAUGAACUUUACAAUUGUAGGAAACAAAAUAUUUCACACCUUAGGAGUUUUGGUUGUAAAUGUUAUGUGUUAAACAAUGGAAAAUAGUCCUUAGGUAAGUUUGAUGCAAAGAGUGAUAAGGUAAUAUUUUUAGAAUAUGCAUUAAACUCAAAGGCUUAUAGAGUUUUCAAUAAAAGAACUUUAACUGUUGAAGAAUCAAUCCAUGUAGUUUUUGAUAAGUUUAAUGCCUUACAAAAGGAAAUUCAUGUUGAUGAUGAUGAUGUAGAGAUCCUAAAUAGCAAAUGGAAGAAAUGAGCUUACAGCACAAUAAGAAUAAUGAAGAAAGCUCACCUACAAGAGAAAAUGGAACUCUACCUCUAGAAAAUUUGCAAAGAACAUAAAUUCAACAUAGUGAUCUUCCAAGGAAUUAGAGAUUCACAAAAGGCCAUCCACAUGAACAAAUCAUAGAUGACAUUUCUUAAGGAGUUAAGAUUAGGAGAGCAACAAGAGAGACUUGUGAGUUUUCAGCUUUCAUCUCCCAAAUAGAACCUAAAAAUUUUGAAGAAGCUGAAAAAGAGGAAAGUUGGAUAAUUGCCAUGCAAGAGGAACUUUAUCAAUUCAAAAGAAACCAUGUAUGGUCAUUAGCCUUUAGACCUUCAAAUCACCUUAUUGUUGGCACAAAAUGGGUGUUUAGAAAUAAGGUAGAUGAGCAAGGAAAUGUAGUUAGAAAUAAAGCUAAGUUAUUAGACCAAGGAUAUAACCAAGAGGAAAGAAUUGACUAUGAUGAAACAUUUGCAACGGUUGCUAGGAUUGAAGCCAUAAGGUUGUUGCUUGCUUUUGCAUGCUUCAUGAAUUUUAAAUUGUACCAAAUGGAUGUAAAGAGUGCAUUUUUAAAUGGAUUCAUUCAAUAAGAAGUAUAUGUUGAACAACCACUAGGAUUUGAAGACUUUGAAAAACUAGAUCAUGUUUUCAAACUUCAUAAAGCCUUGUAUGGAUUGAAACAAGCUUCUAGAGCUUGGUAUGAGAGGCUUUCAAAAUUUUUGGUUGAAAAAGGCUAUGUUAGAGGUAGCAUUGAUACAACAUUGUUUAUCAAAAGAUACUUAAAUGAUUUAAUUGUUGUUCAAAUUUAUGUGGAUGACAUUAUGUUUAGUGCAACUAAUGAGGCUUUAUGCAAGAAUUUUACCAAAGAGAUGCAGGGUGAAUUUGAGAUGAGCAUGAUGGUAGAGUUGAAGUAUUUUCUUGGGCUUCAAAUCAAACAAAAUGAGAAAGAAAUCUUCAUCAACCAAGAAAGAUACACUUAAGACAUGCUCAAAAAGUUUGAUAUGCUGAAGCUAAAAUCAAUUUGUACACCAAUGAGUCCAUCCACCAGACUUGAUUUAGAUGAAAAAGGAAAGAAUAUUGAUCAAAAGCUCUAUAGAGGUAUGAUCGGAUCAUUGCUCUACUUAAGAGUAAGCAGACCAGAUAUUUAGUUUAGUGUGUGUUUAUGUGCUGGAUUUCAAUCUCAGCCUAAAGAAUCACACUUAACUACUGGUAAAAGAAUUUUUAGAUACCUCUUAGAAACACAAACCUAAGGAAUGUGGUACUCGAGAGAAUCAUUAUUUAAUCUUGUAGGCUAUUCGGAUGCAAACUUUGUAGGAAGCAAAAUCGAUAGAAAAAGUACUAGUGGUACAUGCCAAUUUCUAAAAAGUAUGUUAGUAUCUUGGUCAAGUAAGAAAUAGAAUUUAGUAACUCUAUCCACAACUGAAGCAGAAUAUGUUUCUCUAGGCAGCUGCUGUACACAAAUUUUGUGGAUUAAACAACAAUUAAAGGACUAUGGAAUAACAGUACAUAAUGUACCAAUAUUUGUGAUAAUACAAGUGCAAUCAAUAUAUCAAAAAAUCCUAUGCAACAUUCUAGAACUAAACACAUUGAAAUUAGGCACCAUUUUGUUAGAGACCAUGUAGUGAAGAGAGAUGUUAAAAUUGAGUUUGUGAAUACUUUGCACCAAUUAGCUAACAUCUUUACCAAACCUCUAAAUGAAGAUAGAUUUUGUGAGAUUAGAAGGAAUUUAGGAAUGAUUAAUAUGCAAGAGUUGUAAGAAUUUUUUUUUAACUCGUACACAUUAAACAGAAGGCACUUCGUCGACUAAAGAAACUCUUAGUCAACUAAGAGCAUUCUAUUUCAUUAAAUAAUAAGACUCAGUUAAGUUAAAGGCAAAGGGAAUAAAAUAAUAAGAAGAAACUGCCUACCGAGAAGUACAAUAGAGAAGAAAAAUACCGCCUAAAUCAAAAAAAAAUUAAGAGGCAAUUUUUGAAUUUUGAAGGUGGAGUUACCAAUUGCACUUAAAUAGGGGGAGUCAGACAGUUUUUCUCUUGGAAUUAAACUGAUCUUAACCCAUUUUCUUUACACUCUGUCUCUCUACUGAAACUGACGUCUGAAACUAAAACCCUCACCUCUCAACCAUUCGAAACCCUAUGUUGAAAAUCUUCCAAACUAAAUGGUGAAAUCAAUACAAUCUCAAUAACUUUUGGAAAAUAAGAAAGGCAAACGGCCAUUGGAAGAAAACAUGAAAGCUAAAAUACUAAAGAAAAAGAAAAUGAUUGAGUGGGAAUCUGUAAAUAAAGAAUCUAGAAAAUCCAAGAGCCACAAAUCUGAAAAAAAAGAAAGAAAUGAGCAAAUUGCACAAGAAAGGUACUUCUUCAUCUUCUAAAUUCAGAAAUAAAAUACAUGAAGAGAGAUUUAGGAAAAUAGAGAAUGCACCCAUCACUUGUGGAAAAUAUUUUGAUUGGGAGAGUUUUAGUGAAAUACCUGAAAUUUUGACAAGUCUAUCAGAUUAUUUUGAAGAGCUAAAAUUGAAAGAGUUCAACACAUUUGAAAACUGAUCAUAUAAUGCUAGCUUAGUUAAGGAAUUUUAUUCGAGUAUUGUUGUUGACAAGGAUGAAUUGGGGGAACCAGAUGAUUAUUCUAAUGAGGGGCUGAAUGUGUUUUUAAAUGGGAAGGAAUUUACUAUCAUUGCUGCAGACUUAGGGGAACUUCUUAAGAUAGAGUGUAAUGAGGGAGAAUUUGAAUUCCUUGAGAAGUAUGACCCCUAAUCCCUGUGGAAAGUGAUCAUUGGGAAGAAGCAAAAGUAUUCCUCCAAAAGCAAUGCAGGGCUUAUCACAAGUCGUCAAAUAAGGAUUCUACAUUACUUUGUUGCCGCUAAUCUUCAUGGGAAGAGUGGAAGCUUAAGCUACAUUAGCCUCCAAGAUUUAUGGCUAAUGGAACAUGCCUUUAGUGGUGUUGCACUUAAUCUAUGAAGGUUCAUGAUUGAAAGAAUAAGGGGUGCAUGCAGACUGGAGAAGAUCAACUUGCCUUAUGGAAAUAUCGUCACUUCUCUAGUGCAAAAGAAAGGAAUUUGGAGUUCUAGGUAUGAAGCAGACAAGGUCAAAACUAGAGACCAACCCAUUUAUCUAGGAAGCUUACCUAAAAUGGGUUACAAACUUGAUGGAGAAAGAUACAUUAAAACCCUCAAGGCUGCUCUAAGAAAGGAAUCCUCCUUACUUGCUCAACCAGAGAAUACACCAUCCUAAUUCUCAAAUGAAGUAAUCUUUAAUCUGCUAAUGAGAAUUGAUGGGAAACUCACAGAUCAAGGAGCAAGAAUUUAGAAAAUUGAAGAAAAGUUAAUAGAAAUGGAAAGCAAAAUGAAAGAAAAAUAAAAAAUGGCAUCUGAACUAGUUGCUGCAGACAGCUUUGUAACUCUUAGCUUGGCUUUUGCAAGACAGGAAACUGAGGUGCAAACUGAAGGUCAUGAACCUGAGGUGGAACAACAGAGAAAAUCUCCCUCACCUGAGCCUCAGGACAAGGAAGAAUCAGUACAAGCAACCAAAGAGCUUGGAUCACUUAAUGAAAAUCCUCCCUUUGAGCCCCAACCUCAACCAAGACCUUAACCAUCUCCUCCACAUUCUAAAAAGGUUUCAAUCAUGGGACUUUUCCAUCAAAUGGUUCAAGAGAGGGAAGCUGAGAAAGAGGUAACUAAGGCAAAAGCUCAACAAACAGCAUCUGCAUCAGCUUCUACUGCAGAAGGGACGCUUGGAAAAGGAAAAGCAAAGAUCAUUACUGCUCCCCAAGUCAAUUCCAAACCACCUGGCAUGGGUAAGAAAAUAAUAGCAACUAAAACAAAGUUCAACAAAAUGAGGAAAUCAUUCAGAUUGGCUGAGAAGGCUAAGCCAGCACUAAUCUCAUCUCCUCAAAACCCUCUUGAGAUUUCAUCCCCUGAACAAUCCCUUGAAAAAUCACCACCUCAACCCUUUCUUCAACCCCUCAAUGUCAAAUACUACACUGAUGAUGAGUUCUCUCCCUCAUCCUCCUCAAAAAGUGAUUAGAAGCUGAUGAUGACAAAAAGGGGGAGAAGUAUAACAAGGACCCAAGGGGAGAUAGGAAGUAGAAAACUGUCUAGGGGUAGUUUCGAAACAUUAAUAGUUAUUUUGUGAUAAUUUGCUGUUUGUGCCAUGAUGGCAAUUGAAAACUUAAAUUUAACCUUGUUGUUUAUGUUUUUUUAUGUGUAAUGGGAUGCUGAUAUGUUUAUGUUAUUUGGUUAUUGAUAAUUAAAUAUUUGAUGAUGUCUUACUAUCUAUGGUAUUUUAACUGUUGCGUGGUAUUUUAACUGCUGUUGAUAAAAAUCUGUUGCUGUACUGAUAAUUGGGAUAGUAUGAUGAAGAUUGAUUUUUAUUGUGAAUGGAUUGUGUUUGUGAAUACAUAUGGAUGCUGAGUAUAUUAUAUAUGAUGAAUAAUUAAUGGUAAAAACAAAAUUUGGUAACAAUAAAUUAUUGAUAGACACUGUUGAAAUAAAGAUGAAAAUCUAUUAACAUUCACCUGCUGUAAAUCACUUUAUAUUUCUACAUAUAUAUACUCUGAAUGAAUAAUGUUAUUUUCUAUUUGACAUGAAUAAAAUUUGCUAGAAUGAAUAAACAAGAUAUGCACACACUAAGGGGGAGCACACAUUUAGGGGGAGCAAUCCCCAUUCUCUGCAGGAUUAAAAAGAAUAAAAAGACAUUGUGCUAUUAAUCAAGGAAUGUUUUGUCAUCAUCAAAAAAGGGGGAGAUUGUAGGCUCCAUUAGUUUUUGAUGAUAAUAAAACAUUUCCAUUCAUUUGUGUCUAAUUUUUCUACUUGAGUGUGCAGGACAAAAUUAUAUGCAAAUAAACAAUCAAUCAUUAAAAUGCACAUAUCAAAUAGCAUAGAAAUAAUGAAGUCAUAAUUGAUCAACAAGACAAAAGCCCUUUAGUUGAUUAAUGAAGAGUUCGUUAGUUAAGAUUUAAAUCAAAGGAUUAGCGGGCUGAAGAGUAUUGAGAAACAGAACCAACUUAGUCGACCAAGGAAUGAGUUAGUCGACUAAGUGCACAUUGCCAGAACUGCCAGAAACUGGGAACAAAAGACAGAGAUGACUUAGUCAACUAAGAUAUCGGUUAGUCAACUCAGAACAUUCUGCCUGCAAUUUUGAAGUCUACACUAAAAGAUAUAUUAACGACUAGAACCAACUCUCAACUGUUUCUACUGGCCAGAAAACUGUCAAAUUGGCAUCAGAGUUCUUUCUCCAAAUAUAAAAAACGGUUCUAAUGGCUAGAAAUAAUAGAUUGAAGGCUUCCAAGCAAAAAAAGCUCAAAAACCAAUAAAAAAUCUCUGUACACUUUACUGCACUCAACGCCCAUCUUUGUAGUUGUGUUUUGCACUUCACCUUGUACCACUUAGAUCAACUCUGUGAUCAUAGGUACACUUCUAUUUCAUUUCUCUUUAUAUUCUUAGAGUGAAAGGGUAAUUCUAAGGGGUUCAAUCAAGCUAGAAUUGCUUGUUUAGAUAAAGGUUCUAACUUAGCCUUGAAAAGUUAGGUGUAGCUUAUAGUUGAGCCUGAAAAAAUCUAUUUUGAAAGGUUUUGGCUAAGCCUAGAAAAAGCCAUUGUAAAGCUUAGUGAAAGCUUGUGAAUUUCACCGGUUCUUAGUGAAUUGGUUGGAAAAUCCUUGGUUGGAUAAUUAAGGUAGUGGAUGUAGGUCUUGGACCGAACCACUCUAAAUUCUGCUGUCUUAUUUACUCUGUUUUUGUUUUAUUUUCAUUCCUCUUUUAUCUUGCAUUUGUCUACACUUAGAGACAAUUUUUGAAAAAGGCAAAUUGUGUUAUUGGCCUCCCUUCUAGCACAUUUAAUGUCAUGACCCAAAUUAUGAGCCAUGACCGGUGCAUGGGCCCAAUGGACGUAUUCCACUAAGCCCAAGCAAGCCUACUUAUAUUACUUGCUUAUCAUUCCAUCCCACGAGUUACUAAAAUCACAAUUCAAAAUCUUAAUUCGAAAUGAUGAAAACUGUUGCCAACUAAUACUGGCGUUACUCAUUAAAAUAUACACAUACUGUCUACAGUAUGUAUUCUAAUAAUUAACAUCAGAUUUGUCUAUACAUGUCAAAAGGAGACUCGAUGUCCAGCGGAGAAACUUGACGAAUGUACAACUACUGAAUGCUGAGACACCUACUAAUAGUCGAGUCUUCAAAAACACCUCGACCUAGUUACCAACUGCCUCGUGAUCUAAAAACAUGAAGUUGAAAACGGUGAGUAUAAACCCAGUGAGUGAACAAGAAAGGGAAUAAGCAUACCAUAAGGAAUGUUUAACGAAAUCAUGAUGCAUUCAUUUUUCAAAACAAUGCAAUUUAUUUUAGUUCUCAUUAAACCCCUCAUGUAAACCCCAUAUGAGAAAAAUCGCUUAUUGAAAAGAGUCCAUGCUCAACAAAGGAUUUGGAGAGUGAAAACUUUAAUAGCAUUCAUGGAAAUCAAGUCAAAUAAAUGUCGAGUCUUUGCUACAGCGGAAAGGCACGUUGCAGCGAGAAUGGAUUUUUGCUGUAGCGACACUUAACUUAAAUUAUCAUCUAGUCGAGGGUUUCUUAACUGGCCGAGGGUUUCUCACCAAACCUCCUCAUUUUAAACUCAAUUCAUUUAUUCCUUAAUGUUGGAAGUCCAUGCUCAACUAUGGUGUGAGACCUUGUCAAGCUCGAUUAAAAGACGGUAUUGUUCUGAGUGGUACAACUAAGUUAAAUCGAGCCUUGAACUAGUUCAAAUAGAAAUUCUAAAAGGAAUUUAAAAAUUUUGAAACCCACAGAAUGGCUUAGAAUAGUGAUUCAGAGUUCAAGGUCCAGUUUGGAGUCCAUCAGGAAAAUUGACCGAUUAGGGACAACGGUCAUUUUACCAUGUGAUGAUAAAAUGGAGAUUUCUAGCUAAAAGUUGAUCACAUUUGACCAAGAAUAAUUAUAUGGAAUAUAUUUACGAUUAUUGGAGUAUAAAAUGAUGUUUAGCAGUGAAAAAUUAUGAUUCCCGGUAUUUUUGGAGCACAAUGGCAAAAUGGUAAUUUUGCCACUAGAUGACUAAACGGGAAUUUUUAUAAAACAAUUAUUUUACCCCAUUUGGUUAAUAUUGAUCAAUAUUUUUAUUAUUUGAGGUUGAAAAGUAGAAAUAAUAUGAUUUCGGUACAUUUCGGAGUAUAGGGGCAAAAUCAUAAUUUUUUCACCUCGGGGGCAAAUCGGUAAAUUUUUCACCCAAGCACUUGUCAAGACCAAGGGAUUUUAAAUGUGGUAGGAUUGGAUAAAUACCAGAAUAUUUGUGGUGGAAAAUUAAGAAGAAAAAGUCAAAAAGUUAAAAAUUGGGCCAAUAAGCAUGUGACACGUGGCAUUAUUUUAUUAUUUUCUAUAGAAAUCAGCCCAUUAAAUCCCCAAUUCUCUCACCAUAUUCGGCCUAGGCAAUCAGCAACAAGAACAAAGGAAGAACAAAGGGAAAAACAAGAAAACCUAGGUGGAAAUUAAAAAAAAAAGUGAAAAAAUCAAAGUAACGAGGUAGGUAAGUUAAAAUAUCUUUAAUUCUUCUUGAUACCUAGCUUAUCCAUGCUUUUGUUCUUGAUUUCCAUGGUUGAAUAUUGAGUUAUCAUGAUGAAUUCAAUUCUGAAAAAUUGGUAUGGAAGAGAAAUUGUUGUUGGAAUAAUUUGAUUUUAGACUAUGUUAGUGUUUAGGGAUAGUUAAGCAUGGUUAUGAACAAAAACAUAAAAGAAAUAUUCAAUUUAUCUAGGGUUCCUUGUUGGUCGAACCAUGAGGGCUGAAUAUCAAUGGGAGAUUGUUUUUAUUUCAAGGAAUAUGGCUUGGGAAAUGAUGAAUUAAGGUGAAACGAUUAUGUAGAAAAAAAUUUCGGUGCUAGUGCACCAAAUGACCGAAUUUUCUAUAAGGAACUGUGAGGGUUCUAAUGCUGAAUUUGGCUUUAUUUAAAUGAUAUGUGGUAAAUUAAGGUAUUAGAGGAGAAAUGGAUUAAUUUGGAGGUGAUUUGGACACAAUCGCCAAUUAAUCAGUGAUCGAUCAAAUUUAAUCGAUACCGCGAUUAAGCGGUAAUCGGACGUAUUUUUGCAUUUACAUAUCAAGCAUUAGUAAUUUAAAUUAGUUUAUAUCAAUUUAGGGACAAUAUAGUAAAUUCCUCGACUUUGUUAUUUGUCAAGGUAGUGAGACAUCCGAAAAAGGCAAAGGAAUUGCGCUUGAGGACUAUUAGUCUGAGUGCACCCGAAAUCUGGAUUUUUGAUACUGGUGAGUGGACUGCCUAUCAAAAUUGUUUUGGGAAUAUGACUGUUUUGAGCAAAGUGUUUGAAUGAUUUUAUGCAAAUUUUCAUGAAAAUGUACCUUGGGAACAAGUUUUUAGUAAAAUGAUUUUAUAUUGUGAAAAUGUGCUCUACAAUGGUUUAUGUGUUAUCAUAAUAUGAUAAAAUGCAUGAUAUGCAUUGGAUGCUUCUUUGCAUGUUGAUUUGGACCCGGCUAUGUGUGAGUAGGAGCGCACAUAAGCCGUUGCUGACCCAGCUAUGUGCGAGUAGGAGUGCACAUAAGCCAUUGCUGACUCGACUAUGUGCGAGUAGGAGUGCACAUAAGUCGUUGCUGACCCGGCUAUGUGUGAGUGGGAGUGCACAUAAGCCGUUGCUGACCCGACUAUAUGCACAUAAGCCGUUGCAUAUGAGAUGAUGAUGAUGAGAUGGUGUGCAUGUUGAUGAUGGGUAUAUGGUUGUAAAUGCAAAUAUGUAAGCGUUUGUUUUAUUGAAAUUUGGAAGUUUACAUGUUUUACAUGUUGCUAUUGUUAUUUUAGCAGGAUGGCUUGUUUUAAGGGAAAAAGGGUUUGGAAUAGUAGUUAGAUGAAAAUGGCCUUAUUUUCAAUCGCUGCAUCAUGAUUGUCAAAUUUCCUAGUUGAGAUUGCUUGUUCCCUUCUAAUAUUCACUCACUGAGUAUUGUACUCACGUUUUAUAAAAAUUCAUGUUUUCAGAUCAGGUGACUAUUGGACCCUAGAUCGAGGAGUCCCCGUAGUGCAUCUCUUGGGUAUGUAUCUGGCAUUCGAUAGUAAUCCUUUUAUUCUAAAUGUCUCCGCUGGAAGUCAUGGGUCCUUUUGUAUUGUGAAUACAAUUUAACAAUGUGAAUAUGUGUAUGCAAUAUAAAUUGCUAAAUACAUUACUAGUAUAGUGCAUGUAUAUUAUUAUCGAUAAUGCCAUUGUGUUUUGGCUAUGUUCACACUCAGUAAAAAGUGUGUGUGUGUGUAUGCAUGAUAAGAUAAAUUUGUUAAGAAAAGGAUACGCUUGCUUGGGCUUAGUAAGCUAUGCUCAUUGAGCUCAUGCGCCGAUCAUGGCUCGAGAAAUUGGGUUGUGACAUAUGGUACCAAAGAAAUGGAAAAUAGGGUAGCAACUGAACCAAAUGAGGAGAAAAAUAGAAAGUUUUUCGCUGCAGUGAGAUUCAAUGUUGCUGUAGUGAAAUUUUGGGUUUCAAAAUAGAAAGUUUCUCGUUGUAGCAAGAAUGAAUCUCGCUACGGCGAUGAUGCUACAAUACUGUCUCGCUGCAGCGAGUUUCCAGCCAGCCAACCCUUUCAAAAUGCGAGAGUUUCUCGCUGCAACAAGAAUGAAUUUUGCUGCAGCGAGAACAAAGCAACAAGAGAAAAGUUUCCCCUCACUCCACAAAAAAGGCCAUCAUGCUAAACCAACAAAAUCAACAUAAAACACAUGAAAAUUCCAAAAGUGCAAUGUAUCACAUUUCACAUAUAUGUCAAUCAUAUAUCAUAUGCAUGAGCUUUCAUUUCAUAAGUAUAGAUUUGCAUAAUUACAUAGGUAAACAUCAAUAUCAUCAUAAUCACCCUCGGCUCAUGUACAUCCCCCCACAUCGUGCACAUAGCCGGUGCCAUCGUGUGCAUCUCCCCACAUCGUGCAUAAUCAGUGCCAUCAUGUACAUCCCCCCACAUCGUGCACACAAGCACUAUCAUCAUCCAUCUCUCAUGCCACCAUCAUCAUCGGCAUGUGCAUCCCCCCACAUCGUGCACACACACGGUUAUAAUCAUUAUACACAAUAUCAAUCAUCUUGCACAACACACAUAUAUAUAUCAUCAUAAUGCAAUAAUACAUGAAUCCAUAGCAAUCACAUAUCACAACAUAAAACCAUUUAGCAAAAGCUUGUUCCCAAGGCACUUGUUAUUAUGAAAAACUUGAUAAUUCAUUCAAAUGUGUAGCAAAUACAUUAUGUUCCCCAAAACAAGUUUUGAAGGCAAUUCACUCACCGGUAUAUUAUCAAGCCUUUAGCUGACUCUAAUUCCCCUAAUGAUCCAAUUGGGGUGAUGGGGCUUUGUUAGAACCUACCAUGAAAUUAACAUUACCAUAAUGUCAAUUGAUACUUAUGAACCCUAAAAGCUAUCCGUUAGCAAGCUUUCAAUUGCCACUUUAAAUGGCUAUCUAUGUUCACUAUCUUAAUCACUAUAAAAUGAAUGAACAUCCUCAACAAUAAAACAGCUCAUAAUCCUAAUUACUAUUCAUUAUCCACAGCUAAAAACCAAGCUUAGUUCAUCACUCACCUUAGUGUUUCUUUGUAGUGGAAUUCUCUUCCAAUAGCUUCCAAACAAAUGGGGUAAUUCUCUCUUUCUCUCUCUAGAACACCUAACUAGUGAGAGAAAGUAUGGAAAUAAGAUUUAUCAAGGGUUUUGAAGUGAGAGAGUGAAAGAAUACAAGAGUUCUAAUCAAAAGGGUUCAAAGGUAUGAAAAAUAAAGCUAGAGAGAGAAAAUUAUGCAAGCUCCAUAUCAAGCUUCCAUGGAGGUUGGAAGCAAUGUGAGAUGGAAGAAGAAGAAGAAGACAAGCUGCUGGAAAUUCAAGAAGCUGCUAGAAGGAGAAGAUAUUUAUAGCCAAACUUAUCCACUCCACUCAAAUUACCAAAAUACCCCUCCACACUUUGGCUUAUUCUCCUCUAAUCUUUUAUGCAAUCUUUUUACUCCUUUAACACUAGAACAAGGUCCAUAAUGGUCUAGAAAUGUUCGGGUUCAUGAAAAACUUAAAAAUUUUGACUCGAGGUGAAAAAUGACCAUUUUACCCCUAUUGUGAACAUUAUUGUCAUUUCUAGUUUUUUUCGUGUUUUCAUCAUUACACAUCCUUUUUGCAGUCUUAUACCUAUUUAGACCUUAAAAUAUCAUAAAACGUUCUCCUGAGAGCUUAUUAGAGAAAAUGACGAAACUACCCCUGGCUUGUGUUAUUGUGUUUAUGCCUAGUUACAAGCCUAUAGAGGUUGAGGUCUCACAUUUAAUUAGGACCAACAUCAUAUAUUUCCUUCAAAAAUAUAGUAGCCAUAUAAAAGCAUGCACGUUCCAAAAAUGUGUGGCAUGUAAAAAUAGUCAUGUACAUCCACAUAUAUCCACUCAUGAUCAACAUAUAAAGCACUAAAAGCUUUCAAUUAAAUUGGGGAGCUAUGGAAAAACAAUAUCUCUCCACUGUGCAAAAGAGUACAAGUCUAAAAACUCUCAAGACUCUCGAAUAAGUAAUCAUAGAUAAUCAACCCGUGGACCUUUCUUCCACGUAAUAGCAAUCUGGGAGACCUCUUUCCACCGAAUUUUCAUAGCCAUGGCAAUCUCGAUGAUGUUGGCCAACAUCGGAGAAAUCAUGUGGUCACAACCACAUAUAUCAACUCGUGGCCUUGCCAUGUAUAACAGCCAGUGGCCUUGCCACGUAUAAUCAUAAACCGUGGCCUAGCCACGUCUACUAGCUCGUCGGUGACCCAAAAGGUUCUCUAGCUAAAGCUCACUUAUGCACAAGGGUCACACUAUCCCGAUGUGACAUUCGACCUACUCUCGAUGGUCUCAGUUUGUCAAAACCAUUUUCAAAACCAAAUUAAGGUUUCUAAGAGUUUCCCUUAAAUCAUUUGAAAACAAGGUUCGAUAACCUUUCAAAAUUUCUUUUCACUUUAAAAUGCAUGGUGUAAACAUUUGCAUACAAAAUUCGGAUUACAACUAUAAUUGCUUUGAAUCAAUUUCUUUUCUUUAUAGUUCCAUUCGUUUAUAGUCUUAAUUACUAAUUUGUUGUCGACCUUUUUAUAUGAGACAUGAGGACCAUCUAAUAUAACACUCCAAACAUCUCACUGCAUAGAUUUUAUGAACAUUUCCAUUCUUUUUUCCAAUAAGGAUAAUUAUUACCUAUAAAGAAAGGUGGCCUUUCUUUGACCAAGUAUGGUUGGCGUUACCACCAUUUUUAUCAAUUUGAGCUUCUACAAAAUUUCUUUCACCAAUUAUCCCCCGUCUUGGUAUAUUGUUCAUUUUGAAACUCAAAUUUUCAAAGAAAAGCACUUCAAGGAACUUCAAAAAGAAAGUAAUGAUGGCAACUUGGAGUGAUACUGAUGAUUCAUAAGAUGAAGAGGGAUGAAAACGCUGUAAAUCUUUAGCACUUGAUGACUACAAGGUAUAUUAUUCAUUUUCUCAAAGGUGGUUAGACCUACAAAAUUUGACACCAAUUGUUAGUGUAGAAGUUUCAAAAUGAACAAUAUACCAAGACGAGGGAGAAUUGGUAUAUUAAAAUUUCUUUGAAAAUUUAAGUAUAAAUAUCACGACUUUUUCACUCAAAAAUAUUUAAUAGCAUCAAAAAGAGUUUUCCAACAAAUCACUUAAACAGAAAAACAAUAUAUCAAGAUAAAAUAUUUUUGCCAAGUUAAAUGCUAGCUAUGAAAAGUAAAGAGAAAUAUAUUUUUCUAACUGUAAAACAAUAAAUCAACAUAAAACUAUUUUCCUAAGGCAAAUAUAAGCAACAACUAAUAAUGCGAAAAAAUUAAAGAGAAACACAAGAAAUUUAUAGUGGUUAGGCUUUUUUGAUGCAUGUAUCCACUCCCUUGGCAACUAAGGAAUUUCGAUACACUAUCGACGAUUCUUACUUUUUAACGGGACAAAGCAAUACCCCUCACACAAUCUAUACAGGGAUUCUUUCCUUUUAUCGAGAUUAAGUGAUAACCUUUAUAACGAAUUUUUCACGGGAUCAAGCAAUAACCCUUACAUAAUCCACAAAGGGAUUAUUGCUUUUUAACGAGAUGAAGUAGUAACUCACCAACAAUGGUUUCUAAAGGCUUAAGCACAAACCAUCACAAAUAGCUUUUCAAGGUUAAGCUAGAACCUUUAUAAUGAAAUACAAAUUUCAACAAGAAAAUGCCUUUAAAAAGUAGGGUGCUAAGACUUUAAGCUUGUUUGAAGCUUUGGUUUAGGUAUUCUCAUCCUUCAAAAUGGCUCAAAUGCAGCUUUUUAUAGCUGAGCCAUCAUUUGGAGCUGUUAGACAUAAGUCUGAAUCAAAUAUGAUCAUUGAUGAAUCAAAUAUGAUCAUUGUUGAAUCUUGAGGGUCGACUACAAUAGUUUUAAGGUUAACUAUGUUCUUGACAUUCAUCAAAUUAGGCUUCCAUAGUCGAGUAUAAUCUUUCUCUAGUUGAUCUAUCUCCCUAGAACGUGUUUCUUGCAAGUUUGAGCUGUUAUACUUGUUACAGUCUUUACACAUGCAAGCCCAUGUGUCACACGAGUAAUAUGGAGGUAAGUAAGUAUCAUAUCCCACAAGAAAUUGUAUCUAAAAAUUUACUAAAUACUAAAAUUAAUGCACCCUAAUUUUAUCCAAGUAAACCAAAAUUUUGAAAUUUAAUUAAAGAUAAAAUCUACUUAACAACAUUACUCUACGAAAUGGAAACUAAAUUAAUAGAAAAGUAAUGGACUAAGAGUCUAGGAUUAUGGUUUCAUUCAACAUUUCAUGUGUAAUAAUGUUUCUCUUAAUACAUAAAUCAAUGGGUGGUGAUGCUACUCUAGAAUCCACAUUAUGUACAAGUUUCCAUCUAGAUAUUGCACAAUUUCCUAACCUAAUUGGUUCUAUAUAUGUCUAUAGUAAUCAAUUACGAUAAGUUCUUUAAACAUGUAUUCUAAUUUUACUACAAGUGGCAUUUAGGCGUAUGUCUACCCUAAUUGCUAAUCAAUUCAGUCAAUUUCUAUGUGAAAUGAACACACACUAUCAAACCAUGCUCUAAUAUAAACUAACUUCAUCAAGUCUCAUUUAGAUACCCACAUGCAUUCAAUUGUUGAUCAGCAAAUCAAAGGCAAUAAGCUCAUAUUUGAAUAAACAUCACAAUACCAAUUAAUAUUCAAUAAAGGAGGAACAUAAUAUCCACACUACAUGUUGAAAUCUACCACAAUCCUAAAAAAAUCAAUUUAACUCAUAAUAUCUUCAGCAAACAGCAACAUCCCAAGAAAAUAAAUCAUUUUUACAACAAAAGCAAAAGCGAGAAAGCCAAAUUUACAGAGAGAAACAGUUUCAGCUUUUCAAAAGCUCAUUUUCCUUAAUUUCUCCUCAUUUCCUUUUUUUGUAAAAAGCUUUUUUUUCUCUAAAAUGUUGCUCUAUCUAGCCCCCUUUUUUCCAACUAAAAAAGUGCCAUUUAUACCCCUCUUUAGAAGCCCUUAAGUUAAAAAUUUAGAAGUGCAGAAAAUUUAGAAACACAUGCUGGCACUACUAGAAUUUGAAUAAAGGCUAGAGAAUUAGGGAGUCGUGGCACUGGUGGGGUGGCACCAUGGUGUCCUGGUCUCUAUUUUGAUGUGUGAUGUAUUCCAAUCCCAUAGCCACAACCACUCAAGGCCACGGCACCAACUCUUCUUGUGUUUUCCCUACUGCAAUUUAGUCACUUCCAAUAAUAUUUUGACCACGACUUAAUCAAAACUGGGUAAAGUGAUAAAUAUAAAAGUAAUAGCCCUUCCUCUUAGAUUUCCAAUGGUUUAAGAAUCACAUGAUUAAACAUCUUUAUCACAAGUUAUGCUUGAGAUACCAUAGUAUGUUUGAUUAGAGUUUGCACUUAUUCAUCCUUGCAUAGUUCAUCAUUCAUUAACCUUUAUGAACUUGACAACCUUAAAAAGCAAAAGCUCAAUCAAUGACAGCACAAAUUAGGACUUUAAACAUGAAAUUGAUCUAAAAUUACUUGAAAUAAAAAUGAGUCAACAUGUAUUAAAAUUCUUAAUGAAAGACAUGAAAAGUACUUAAAAAUCAAUUCAAAAACACAAAGACUUAGCUAUUUUUAUGCCCAAAAUUGUGUAAGAUAACUCUCUAUAAUAGAGUUAUCACACCCCUCAACUUAAUAUGUUGCUAGUCCUUGAGCAAAACCUUAAAAUGAAAUAAACAUAAAGGAUGAAAACAUCUCUUACAAGUCAGUUGCACCAAAUCCGACAUCAUGUUUAAUUUCCUCAUAAGUUAUCUUAUUUUCUUAACUCAAUGCAAAGUAUAAAUACUAUUCAAAUUCACAUUUCAACUCAAUUGCAACCUUCCUUUGAAAUGGAUUCCUGUGUGUGUGUAGUCUCUUAUAAUGAACAUCAUGUCAUUCAGAUAGGUUUAUGCUUAAGCAAAAUUCAAAUUUAGUCUAAAGUUUCAUAAGUUUGCUUUUCAUCUCUCUUUCCACUAAUGUAGACUGGCACAUAAUCAAGGAUCCCUAGGACUUUAUUCAGCUUGUAAUAUAUGGCUAAGGUCAAGGUGGGAUAUGGGAUAAUAUGUAUCUCGAAUUACUCAAAGCACAUAAUCAUUCCAAGACCUAUAAAGAGCUUUAUUUUUCACUUCUCCUAUUCACACCUCUUUUAUUCUUUUAUUGACCCUUUUUCAUUCAUCACACACGUUAUUCUAUUUUUGAUUUCAAUCUUUUUUUAUUCACAAUUUAUCACCCCUAAACUUGUUUCUUUUUGUAGUAGGUAGUGGGGUGAAUGCUAACACAACUUCUCAAAUUUUUUUCACAAGCUUCACCUUUUCUACCUUUUUGAUCACUUAGCUUAAUACACUCCCUAAAUUGAUCUAUAUACUUAGGAGUGAUGUGUGUUAAAGUGGAGAUUUAUUUACAAGCUACGGUUAUUUAAUUAUUUGUUUAACAAAGAAAACAAAAAAAUUAGGCUCAAAAGAGGUAAACUAUGGAUAAAAUAUAGCAAGGUGGGCUCAAAAGGCUCAAAUGAUCCAAAGGUGGCCUAAUUCAUUUCUUUAAUUAGCUGUAGCCUAGGAUUUCACCUCGAGAGAAACUCAAACAAAUUCUAAAACUGAAGACUUUAUUCAAAAAUUUACACUCACAUAUACUUAUUUUAAUUGAUAAUCAUAUGAGGCAUCCAAAAUUAGUGUGCAACUAAUUUCGAGUUCAUUUUUAAUUUUAUGCAUGGAAACAUUUUUUCAUAUGUGAAAAGUCUUUACUAAUCAGCAUUAAUAAUAUUAUCCAUUUUUAAUCUUAUUAGACUAUAAUUAAAUAUUAUUACAAACUAAAACAUUUUUUAAUUCAUAAUCCUUAAAUAUUACUUUUACUAAUCCUUUUAAAUUAAAGAUGAUGUGUCUUCAAUUAUCUAAUCUCAUUAGAUAAUUUGAAUAUAAUAUUUAACAUAACAUCAUCUUUAAUUAUAUUUAAACGUCCUAUUCAAAUUUCCCUCUUGAAAAGAAGGAAAUUAAUUCAAGAUAUUUAUCUUGUCCAUAUUUAUUACACUUUCAUAUUUGUAGGAAUCAAAUUCCUAAAUUUAUAGAUCUAAUUAAUUGAAUUCUAAUAUCCUUACUUUAAGGAAUCAAACUCCCUAAUUUCAAUAUGUCAAAAUUUAUCUUUCUAGAACUUUUUCCAUAAGAUAUUGUUUAGCCAAUUAGUGUUUUUAAUUGCACCAAUUUAGGUUCCAAAAAUGGGCAUUAAAAUCCCAAAAACCAUGAUUUGACAAAAGUUUGGCAGCACUGUACCAGUCAUGUUUUUGUGGCUUAAUGCGACACCAAAUCAAGGAAUUUAAUUCCCAAAUUUAAUCAUGGUCACCUAACAUAUUGAACCUUUCCAUUUUAAAAUUUUAUAAUUUUUGAACUUGAUUUAGCUGGUCAAAACCCCAAAAAAUCAUAGCCUAUGUCUUCUAAACAUAGCUACAGUUUUUAGAUUGCAUAUGCAGCAUUAUGAUGGCAUAAAUCAAGAGUUUAAAUCCCUUAAUUUUAGUAAUCUUUCCAGGAAUUUUUUGAACAUAUUCAAACUUCAAAAUUUAUCCAAAGAGGUAUAACAAUUGCACAACUUUAGGACUCUUUGAAGAUGCCUUUCUCAACCAAAACCAUGACCUGAAACUAUGACUGGCAAUAGUGCUUUUGACCAUGAUUUCAUGGCUUUACUGCAUCGUUUGCAGCUGAUAAGCAAUCAUAUUGAAACACUUCCAAUGUAGACUACUUUCAAAUCUUUCUAGCAUUUUUAGAGGCUAUUAAACCCCCAUUAAAAAUUGAAAAUCGAACCAUAUAAAAAUUCGGACAGAAACUAAUUCUGUCACCAAACCGCAUCUUGUUUCCCAUGAAUUCGAACCCUUUUCUUUCCUCACUCCUUUGUGCAUUUCAUGCACAUAUUAUUCUUGCCAAAAAUUAAACACUGAAACCAUAUUAGAAAUCCAAUAAGAAUAUAAAUUAAAAUCGAAUCUAUCUAUAAACAUUCUUUAAAACAAAAACGAUAUUUAAAACUUACUCUAUCAUUGUCGAAUGCCUCGUACCUAAUCACAAUUGAUAUUAAGCAACAACAAGAAAUUAAUUCACAUUUAAAACAAGCCAAGGGAGACUCCGAUACCACUGUUAGAUACGACAUGAUUAUAUUGAAAAAUGUAGCUAAAUAGAAAAAUAAAAUAUUUCACCUACCUCAAAUCACCUUGUUCUGUUUAAUGCGAACAGAGCAUUAUGAGAAAUGCAAUCAGAAUUAAUUACCUUGUCAAAAAUAUUAUAUUCAAUUGGUAUCCUCUUGAUGUUUAAAACCCAUGUACACCCUAAAUUGUGUAAGAACCCGAGGCACUCAAUCGCUUGGCCUCUAAUGUUGCACACAUAGCCACUAAGGAAUCUUUAGCGAGAUGGGAACUUCCAACCAUGCAUUUGUGCCAGCAAAAUGGACAACAAAUUAUCCUUCUCUUCCUCUCUUAGUCUUCAACGAAAUCACAAAAAAAACUCUUCCAAAAGAGUCUUACAAAGGAUGGCGGCACUAAAGAGAGUUGUAUUAGGUUUCUAUAAAACUAAAACUAAUAAUUAAAAGUAGUUAACAAGAUGACUUUAUAACUAGGUUAAUUAACAAUAUUAUAACCUCUUAUAAUAUUAACUUUAGCACUUAAUUAAACCAUUUUAAUUUAGUCCUUAUUAGUUAAUUAACCUAGUUUAAGAUUUAAGUGCAACUUAAUGACCACAUUCCUCCGAUAAAGGCAAGGAAAUUGCAUCCGAGGACCAGUAGUCACAGUACUUCCAAAAUUUGCACUCUAGACAUUGUGAGUAAACUUACUGUCAUUUUAAUUAUCUAGGGUGGCUUUUAGAUGAUUUCAUGAAUUCUAUGGAAAAAUGGAUUUAAAAAGGUAAAUUUUCAUGUUUUAUAAAUAAAUGUGUUUCAAUGAAAUUAAUUUACAAAUUGUUUUGAAAUUAAUAAUGAUUUUAAAAAAUAAAGUACACGGAGACUGCUAUUUGUUGCAAUUUGAUUGCUUAAAUUGAUUGGCUUAUGAUAAAUCGGGCAUGAUUAGCUAGUUGGCAAUUGAAUUGAAAUACGGAUUGUUUGUUUGCCUUGAAAGUCUGUGAAUUACAAUAUCAUGUUAUUGAAUUUUAUUGAUUGGUGGGAUAAUUAUUAACUUACUACAGUAGGCGGGUUUCAUGGACCAGCCUAUGAGAAGGGCACGGUAACCCCGUUUAUAUGUGCUCACCUUGGUUGUAGAGGCGCAUAAGGUAGCUUCUGAGGUGAUAUUUGAGUUCACUUCACACCAAACCUAUCACAACCCGAAACCUCCCUCGGGCACAUGACAACCGUCGUGACGUCCCGAUUGACACUCAUUGCUCGAAAUGCCAAUCGGAACCCCGCAAGGCUUACAUAUCAGUUUCUUGCCUUUUCUGUGAGCAAUCGUUUUUAAAUAUUCCGUUUUAAACAAUUACCAGUCGUUUCUGGCUCAAGUAAAUCAAAAGACAAAAAUAUAGCAUUUUUAUAUAAAACAAUAUUUAUAGAAACACGUGUAAGUAAAAUAAAUUCAUACAUACAAUAAUUUACAAAGUUAUAAUGUACAAUAAUAAUUACAAUGACAAGUGGCCCAUGAAUACACCAAGUACUGGUGAUAGUAACCUAUUGUCUGUGAGGUAGAGAUGUCAACUAGAAUCCUCUACAAAAUAGGGUAUCUACAAGCUGCCACAGACCUGAAAUGUUUAGAAAUGAGGUGGGUGAGAUUUUGCAAUCCUAAUGAGUAAACAGACAUUAUCAUAAAUAUCUAAAGAUGAGUAACAUGAAGGCAAGUUUAAACACAAAUUACAAACCAUUUCAUAAGGUUUUCAAUUUAUUCCUUAAACCCUAAAAUAUUUGUAAUUUACCAAAAUAGUUGUUAAGGCUUAUGACUUUUAUUAAAACAAGGCUCAAGCCAAAAUUAAUCCUCAGGGAUACCUUGGCCAAGGCAUCUAACCGAAUCCGCCAAGGUAGUUAUGAUAUUUACAUAUGAAACACAUUUUUAUUUUUAAAACAAGCCGUUCAUUGGCAUUGGUAGAGUUACAUAUUCACGUGGGGGUUCGACGUGAAGUGAGCUCUAAUACUACCCCGGGAGUUACCCUCCUCGCCUCUGCAACUGGAGUAACUAUGUAACCGGAUUUACCAUGCCCCUCUAAUAGGCAGUCCACGGAAACCCGUCACUACAGUGACUAAACCCACCAAUUUUAAUAAAAUUUCGACAAUAUAACGUGGCAUUUAUUUAUUUACCCAGCCUGCAUAGUAAAAGACAACUUACAUAAAUUCCCAAUGCAAUUAUAACAUAUAGCCACAUAUACUCAUAUAUCAUAAGCCAUUCAUAGGAAAAUAUAUAUUUCAAAAUAAUUGGCAACCUUCAAUUACUCAAUUUCAUAAUCAACAUAAUAUAUUUUUAUUUGUCACAUUUAUUUCUAAAACAUCAAAAAUCCCGUUUUAAUCUCGUUUUCAUUUCAUAAAAUACAUAAAGAGCAUUUAAAAAUAAACUCUAGAUAAUUUACAAUAAUAAUAGGUUUACUCACCGUUUGUACAAAUUAACUGAUUUUUUUAGGUGCCCCGAUCACUGUUCGUAGGGUACGACUUCCUUGCCUUUACCGGAAGACUCUCCUCCUAGACACAUUGCAAAAUUUACCCAAUUCACCACAUUGAUAUUAAAUCUCUAUAUAAUUGACUUAAAUCCUAUACUAAUGCAUGGUAUGAAAUGCAAUAGCUUAAAACGGCUUAAACGUGAUAUUAACCUAUUUUUGGCACUUUACCCGUUAAAUUGCUAACGCGCUCCAUUUUAGCUCUAAAUUGUCCCAUUUUCUCCACAACGUUUCUAACCAUUAAAUAUCAGCCAAUAACCUUCUAAAAUCACCAAAAUCAGCUCACUUUCCUCCUUGGAAAAUUCGGUCAAAAAUGGGACAUUUACUCGGUUAAUUUUCCACUUUGUUUUUCUAUCACAUUUAACCAUUUUUCAUCAUUUUCUCUUCAUUUCUCUUAGAAUAAAAAUCAGUUCAUCAUCAUUGUACAUCAAUGCAUAUUCAGCCAAGGGUGGGUAUUGUGAAAAUUUCAUGCUUUCUUGCCCAAUUUAAUUUCUAUACACAUUUAACUAACUAAAACUACCAAUUUAACUAAAAAUCAAAACCUAAAAAUUCCAAAAUCUCUCCCCUAGAAUUUCGGCCAGCCCUUGGUUUCACUUUUUGAUCUCUCUCCUCAAGCAUUCUUAAUGGAAAUAAAGGCAUAGGAAAGGUAGAAAUCAAGCUAAAAUCGAAAAAUCUUACCGUUAGAGGCGUAAACGGACGAAAAACGCGAUUUUCCCUUUGAAUUUUCUAGUUUUCCUUUGUUUUUCUCUUUUCUUCCUUUCCUCUCUAUUUUCUCUCUUGUUCUUUCCUUAUGGCCGGCCAGCACUUAAUAUGGGGUUUAAAUGGGCUAACUUUUCAUUAAAACAAUAUUAAAUCAUUAAAAAGUGUCAUGUGUCACUUUCCCAUUGGCCCAUUUUUAAAAUUUCAUCCAUUUGUUUCCAAAUUUUCACCAUACACUUGUCCCACAUAUCCAUAGCUUAAAUACAAUUCUCAGACUUAUCCAAAGUCUUGGUGGAGUAAUUUUUGAAAUUUACACUUUUGCCCCCAUAAAAGUGAAAAAUUACAUUUUUACCCCAAAAACUCAAAAAUUACCCAUAGACAUAUUUUUCAUCCCUUAUACUCAUACCAUUCUCCAAUUUGUCAAAUUUGAUCUAAAUUCUCUCAAAAUCUCAAAUUUUGUCUGCGAGUGGUAAAAUUACGAUUUUACCCCUGAACAUCAAAAUUUCCAAUUUUACCCCAAAUGAACCCUCGAACUCCGAACAAUCAUUUUUAGUCAUUCAUGGACUAUAAAAUAUUAAAUUUCAUCAUACGAUUCCUAUUUGAACUAGUUCGAGGUUAAAUCAACUCAAGUGUACCGUUAGGUACAAUACCGAGUUUCGUCUAUUCUUAGGACUUUCCUAGCAUAAUAACAUGCUACUCAGUGCAUGUAUGUCAUGACAUGUGUUUAUAGGGUCGAGUUUUACAGAACCACCACGUGAUGGUGAACUCAGCCAACGCUAAGGAAGGACUGUGAUGUCCAACGAAAAAUGUGUUUUAUGCGAAAUGUGAAUUUUUAACAACCUUGGCGGUCUUGGUAGGAUGCCUCGGCCAAGGUGUCUUCGAGGAUGGAUUUAUGGCACAAGCCUAGUUUUUAUGAGAUUCAUAAGCCUCGUUACGUAUUUUGAAUGAAAUGUGUUCUAAUGCUAUGACCUAGUUUACGAUGAUUUACUUUAUCAUCUCCAUGUACUCAACUCUAGAUGUUUAUGAUGAUGUCUGUUUACUCAUUGGGAUUUUAUAAUCUCACCACCCUCCUUUUCACCCAUUUCAGGCUCAGUAUAGGCUGUAGAUAGC